GUCGAGUUUUUGAGUGUACUACCACUACUAAGUUGCAAGCAGCCCUUACAUCUCCCAAGGAAUCUGAGAGCAAUGAAGCAGUCGAGGCCAGUUGAGGGUGGAAAUAAAGUGUCUGAUGCACCUAGAGAGAAGCAGGGUAACCGCAAAGGUGCGAAGUCAUCUGAGCCAAGCAAAAAUACUAAUGAUGGUGCUCGUGCCAAGCAAGCGACCUUGAAGACUGUUCUUGGAGAGGCACUGGGUUAUGGGCCUGCACUUUCUGAGCAUAUUAUUUUGGAUGCUGGUCUGAUUCCAAACACAAAAGUUACUAAGGAUAGCAAAUUUGACUUUGAUACAAUUCAGCGUUUAGCCCAAUCUGUUGCUAAGUUUGAGAAUUGGCUAGAAGAUGUUAUCUUAGGUGAUCAAGUUCCUGAAGGUUAUAUUUUAAUGCAGAAUAAAAUUUUUGGAAAGGACUGCCGCCCAUCUCAACCAGAUCGUGGUAGCCAGGUUGUGGAUGUGUUUUUUUUAAAUUUAUGUAUGCUAAUCUAGAGCAGAACUGUCAUUUCCUUCCCUUUUUGCUUUGAUAUGAUAUAAUCAAGUUCCACAUAUGUGUGAAUGUAAACAUGUUUGUUUGGUUUACCAUUAGAAUAGUGUUAUUCAUUAUGUGUUUUAAUACCCUUUGCAGAUCUAUGAUGAAUUCUGCCCAAUUUUAUUGAACCAGUUCAAAUCAAGGGAGUUUGUAAAAUUUGAGACUUUUGAUGCUGCAUCGGAUGAGUUCUACAGUAAAAUUGAGGGUCAACGAUCAGAACAACAACAGAAGGCAAAAGAGGUCUCUGCCAUGCAGAAACUCAGUAAAAUAUGCAUGGAUCAGGUCUUUAAAUUAUUGUCUGAUAUUUGAAGCCAAUAGAAUCAUUUCCUUCUUUUAAGAAGAGUGGUUUCACAUACUUUCUAGCCUUUCAGCUAGUUGCUUGCUUGCAACUAUGUUAUAGUGACUUGGGCUGCAAGCAAUGAGAAUCUAGCCAAUGCAUCAGUGGUUGUAUGGGCAUGCUAUGGUCAUUCUCUCUUUACAUGUCAAAAGGUUCUCUGCUAGAAAUAUUAUUCAGUAUUUUAUGAUCAUUGCCAUGUGUUAUAGUCUUUCAACUUGAUGCUGUAGGAAAAUCGUGUGCAUACACUGAAGAAAGAGGAUGACCGCUGCAUUAAAAUGGCAGAAUUGAUAGAAUAUAACCUAGAAGAUGUUGAUGCUGCCAUAUUAGCUGUCCGUGUUGCUUUGGCAAAUGGUAUGAAUUGGGAGGAUCUUGCCCGAAUGGUGAAAGAAAAGAAAAAAUCUGGAAAUCCUGUAGCUGGCCUCAUUGACAAGCUUUAUCUUGAGAGAAAUUGCAUGACACUGCUGUUGAGUAACAACCUUGAUGAAAUGGAUGAUGAUGAAAAGACACUUCAUGUGGAUAAGGUGUGGUGGCAUGAUGCAAUUUUUUUUUUUUUUUUGCAUCUUACUGCGUCAUAAUAACAAAACUGCUUAUGUUUACUUCCAUUUGAAGGCAUUCAUGCAGAUUCUAAAUUACCAUUAAGCUUAUCUUGUUGGAUGUGACAUAUGCUAAUUUCCACUCUGGUUCACACCUGUCUGAUCAAACAAAUUACAGAUCAUGUAAAGCCCAUAUCUUUAUUCUUCAAACUUGUCAUCUCUUUUCUUUUCACUUUCUAGGUAGAAGUUGAUUUGGCACUUUCAGCACACGCCAAUGCUCGGCAGUGGUAUGAACAGAAGAAAAGGCAGGAAAACAAGCGGGAAAAGACUAUUAUAGCUCAUGAAAAGCUUUUAAAGCUGCUGAAAAGAAGACUUGCAUCCAGCUUUCACAGGUAGCUGAACAUUGCAGUUGUUUUUCCCCUUUGAUUUAUUUUGUACUGAUGCUAUUUUCAAAUUUUUGAAUCAUUAAAUGCAGCUGGUCCUGAGUUAUUGGCCCUUGGUAUUAUGUUACAUGUGUGCUGUGAGGAGAGUUAGUACUUAACCAUAUCUUUGCUGAACAUUCACAGGAAUGGAUGAUUAGGACCUAAGUUGAAUGUUUAUUAGCAUCUAGUUUGAUUUAAAUGAUUUGAACAACAUGGUACCCUUUGUAUACUUCCUGUGUACCUUGUUGCGUUCUUUCUUUGGCACGUGUUUAUAAUAUCUCACCAUUACUUAUAAAAAAACUAACAACACACUUGCCUCUCAGCACCAGAAGAAUUAUGAAGCAUUAUUUUAGUUUUGUUUUUAAUUAUUGGUUGAGCUUAAAUGAACCAUUAAGUUGUCUUUUCUCAAUGGUCAAGUGUCUGAAUUUUCUCAUCUAUAAUUGUGCUGGAAAAAACCGUUGCCACAAUUUCACACAUGUGAAAAGUUAACUGGUUUGAGAAAUUUAAUUGGUUCAUCAGCAGUAAGAAUUAUUUUGUUAUCAGUGGACGUGAUGCUCAACUGAACGAGAUGAUUGUCAAGCGUUAUAUGUCAAAAGGGGACCUAUAAGUAGAUUUUCUCCAUUAAUAAACAAAUUAACUCUUAAGAAGAGAAAAAGGGCAAAAACCUUUAUCUGUAUGGGGAAUAUAUCAAGGGGAAAAAAAGAGACGAAAAGGAAAGUGGCACUGGAAGUUAAGAGAGUUAAGGAGGAAAAAAAUGAGGCCCAAUUCCACCCAUUACUAUGCCACAAAAAAAGAAGUUUCAGAUUCAUACAUUUCAAAUCAACCAACAACAACUCCUCAUCAACAUUUUUGUUUUUCCAAAGGCACCUAAACACCUGUUGCAGAAUACUACUCCACUACUCUUCCUCAUAACUCCUAUGACAUGUUAAUCCAACAUUGACUCUCUAUAAGUAGAUAUUAUUUUAUAAAAUCUCUUUCAAAUGUUUCUGACAGAAGGAUCCUUUAAUGAUUUACACAAAAGUUUAACAUGUCUUAGGCCAAAUAUUCAACCAAUAAAAAGAUUUAUUGUGCAUAUUCAUUAAAUAUUGGUAAGUGAUAGUCUGUUAUUUGGUUUUGUUUUUUGUGUCUGUUGUUGUAGUACUUAUUUUAUUUUAGUUUGGUAUUUUAUUUUAUUUUUUAUUUUUUAUUGGACACUUUCUUUAGAUGAGAAGACUCAGAAGAGUUGUGUAAAGACUUCGAAUUUCCAACUUAUUGUAAUACAGUCAUCAGCAUUUUGGUGAAAGUAUUUCUGAAGCUUAUAGGCUUUAGUUAUCUUUCUAAUGCCAGGUAAUUUCUUCUUCAUCUAUUUACUUUGUGGAAACCACCUCAGUCACACUUAUGUAUCUUAUUCCCAUACCUCUGCAAUUUGAGAUUUAAUAGACCUGUUUCUCCUAUUAACAUCAGGGGAGGCCUUUUCUGCUUUAUGAAUUAAUCUUCAAAAAUGUUGAUUGUAAGUUGUACUUUCUUGUCUCUUUUCAUGUCAAUCAUGUACAUUGGUAGAUGUUAUAGUUGAAGAAUAGGGUUUCACGAGAAUAAUUUUCUUUCAUUGAGAUUAUUCUUUUAUAGAGUUUACAACAUAUACAAAUCCUUCAAAUUAGGAAACUAAAUCACUGAUUAAAAGGAAAGAAUAACUCCUAACAAUUACUUUCCUAAAAAUACAAAGAUUGACAACUAAUAAAUAACUUACAACUUUACAAAAUUAUUUCUUUCCAUAUCAGUUUCGGUUUUCCAACACUCCUCCUCAAGCUGGCUUAAAGAUAUCUUCCAUAGCCAGCUUGCCAACUAGAAAAUCAAAUUGCCUUUUUUGUAGUCCUUUGGUGAAGACAUCAAUCACUUGUUCCUCAGUAGGGAUAUAGGUCAUACAAACCAAUCCGUUGUCUAUCUUCUCUUUAAUGAAAUGCUUGUCCACUUCCACAUGUUUGGUGCGGUCAUGGAGAACCGGAUUGUGAGCUACUAAAAUUGUUGCCUUGUUGUCACAAUACAACUUCAUAGGAGAUGGACCUGUCAUCUUUAACUCUUCCAGUAAUCUUCUUAUCCACAUAAUCUCACAAAUACCAUGAGCUACAACUCUAAACUCAGCCUCAGCACUACUUUUAGCAACCAUGUUUUGUUUUUUACUUCGCCACGUGACCAAGUUGUCAUCUACAAAUGAACAGUACCCAGAGGUGGACCUUCGAUCCACUAUGCUUCCAGCCCAGUCUGCAUCGGUGUAGGUUUCAAUUUGUAGGUGUCCUUGUGACUUGAACAAAAGACCUCUACAUGGUGUCCUCUUUAGAUACCUUAGAAUCUUGUAAACAACUUCAAAAUGCUCUGGUCUAGGCGCAUGCAUAAACUAGCUAACCAUACUCACUGAGAAUGCUAUGUCAGGGCGUGUAUGGGAUAGGUAAAUCAAUCUCCCAACAAGUCUCUGAUAACGAUUCUGGUCCUUCACAUUCUUGGUUUUUGUAGGCUGCAGUUUUACAUUCGGCUCUAUAGGUGUUUCAGCAGGCUUACAUCCUAACAUACUUGUCUCAUCAAGAAGAUCAAGAACAUACUUCCGUUGAUUUACAAAGAUACCUUCUUUGGACCUAGCAAACUCCAUCCCAAGAAAGUAUUUUAAUGCCCCCAGGUCCUUAAUCUCAAAUUCCUCAGCAAGUUUCCCCUUCAGCUUCUCUAGUUCAUUGCAAUCAUCCCCAGUUAACACAAUAUCGUCAACAUACACAAUUAAGAUGACUACUUUACCUUCAUUUAAAUGUUUGUAGAAUAUCGUGAUCUGGUUGACUUUGAGUAUAUCCAUAAUGCUUUAUUACUUUGCCAAAGCACUCAAACCAAGCUCUAGGCGACUGCUUAAGUCCGUAUAAAGACUUCUUCAAUUUGCACACUUUCCCAACUCCAAAACUUUCUUCAAAACCUGGUGGAGGACUCAUGAACGCUUCCUCCUCUAGGUCUCCAUUAAGAAAGACAUUUUUAACAUCCAAUUGGUGUAAGGGCCAAUUGGAAUUUACUGCAAGGGACAACAAAACUCUAAUUGAGUUUAUUUUAGCUACGGGGGCGAAAGUCUCUUGGUAGUCUAUCCCAUAGGUUUGAGUAAAACCAUUUGCCACAAGUCUGGCUUUGUAUCUCUCAACACUUUUAUCUGCUUUACUCUUUAUUGUAAACACCCAUUUGCGCCCUACAACUUCUUUUUCCCUUUGUAAAUCUACAACCUCCCAAGUGCCAUUCUUUUUUAAGGCACUCGUUUCCUCAAACAUUGCCAAUUUGCAACUCGGUUCAUCUAGUGCUACUUGAAUAUUUUUAGGUACCACAAGUUUUGAAAUAUUUGUAGUGAAUACUCUAUAGUUGUCAGAAAGGUUACUAUAGGAGAUAUAUUUGGCAAUGGGAUGUUUAGUGCAAGCUCGGGUUCCCUUUCUAAGAGCAAUAGGGAGAUCAAUGUCAAGGUCCUGUGCAGGAACAAUUGGGGCUAAUCCUAAACCGGGUUUGGGUGCAAAUAUUUCUGGACUUGGACCAAAGUGUGAUGGUAAACUUAGAUCAGUAACAGAAGAAGAAGAAGCAUGUAUAUGAGUAGGAAUAGAAGAAGGGUUACCUGAGACAUUUAGAGAGCCAUUGCCUAGGGCUUUCGGUUGACCAUGUGCUGGGAUGAUCGGCUGGUCUUUACUUCUUCCAGGGACUUUUUUCCUUGAAUAAACCACAGGCUCAAGAUUGUUUCUAUUUUUUUCAUUCGUAGUAUUUCUUCUUCUGACAGACCAAUUUCAGAUUCGGAUUCAAUUGGCUUAGUUUCUUUAUUUUCUUUUUCAAGAGAGAUAUCAAGAAUUACACUAGGCAAAGGUUCAACAAUUUCCCAAAAAUUUGGUUCCACUAAUUUCUCCCCUUGAAGUAAAUUUUUGGUAAAAUAUGAGACAUUUUCCAUAAAGGAAACAUCCAUAGUUGUGUAAAAACGUUUUGUAAGGGGAUUAAAACAUUUGUAACCCUUUUUAUUAGGAGUAUAUCCUACAAAAACGCAUUUUUCUGCUCUUUGGUCUAACUUAGAUCUUGACCUUUUUGGAAUGUGUAUAUAUGCAGUGCAACCAAAUAUUUUCAAGGGUAAUUCAGAAUUAAUUUGAGAUUCUGGAAAUACCUUUUUCAAGCACUCCAAAGGAGUGGUAUACUGCAAAAAUUUUGUAGGCAGCCUGUUGAUUAGAUAUGAAGCAAUUAGUAUGACAUCCCCUCAUAAGUAUUUUGGAAUAUUCAUGUAAAACAUCAUAGCCCGUGCUACUUCUAACAAGUGUUUAUUUUUACGUUCAGCUAUUCCAUUCUGUUCAGGGGUAUCAGAACACGAGGAUUGAUGUAAAAUUCCUUUCUCAUUUGAAAAGGUUUCCAAAACUUUAUUAAAGUACUCAGUCCCAUUAUCAGAUGUCAAAAUACUGAUUUUUGUUUGAAAUUGGUUUUCAAUUAUUCUGUAAAAUUCUUUAAAAAUCCUUUCGACUUCAGAUUUUUCCCUCAUUAAAUAUACCCAACAAAGACGUGUAUGGUCGUCUAUAAAGGUCACAAACCAUUUUUUUCCUGAAAUUGUGGUUACUUUUGAAGGUCCCCAAACAUCACUGUGAAAAAGAUAAAAUGGUUUUGAUGUAUAGUAGGGUUUUGGAAUGUAAGUUUUUUGUUGGCUCUUUGCCAAUAAACAACUUUCACAUUGAAAUGAUAAAGGAUCAACCUUUUGAAAUAACACUGGAAAUAAAUGUUUUAAAUAAGAGAAACUAGGAUGACCUAAUUUGCAAUGCCAAACCAUUAUUUGAUCACGAACAGAAAGAGAACUAAUACUACUUGGUUCUUGAGCAAUUUUAUUACUAGGUAAAUUAUCCUCGAAAUAAUAGAGACCAUUGAUUAUCCUAGCACUGCCAAUCGUCUUCCCUGAGCUCUGGUCUUGAAAAAUACAAUGGGAUUCAUAGAAGAUAACACAACAAUUAGAAUCUCUAGAUAAUUUGCUAAUAGACAAGAGAUUACAAGUAAGUUUAGGAACAUGGAGAACAUAUUUAAGAUCUAUUCCCUCAGAGGUUUUUAUUAGACCUUUUCCUGCAAUAGGUGAGAAAUUACCAUCAGCUAUCCGAACCUUUUUAUUUCCAGGACACGGUGAAUAGGAUUCAAACAUGUUUGAGGAAUUGGUCAUGUGGUCGGAUGCUCCAGAAUCGAUUAUCCAUGGAGUAGAUUUAAAACGACAAGAUAGAGCAUAUAAUUCAUUACCUGUGUGUGCCAAAGAAACACUAGAAGUACCGGAUGUCAAGUUGGAUUUCAGCAGUGCAAGAAGAUGCUCCAUUUGCUCAGUAGUGAAGGGGCUGGUCUCAGCCUCAUUAGCAGUAGGAAUAAUGGCUCGGCUUGGUUUUGUUUCCUUUCAAAUUUGCAGGUUUCCCAUGGAUUUUCCAACAAUUCUCACGAGUAUGGCGAGGUUUGUUGCAAAAAUCACACCAAACCCGUGGUCUUUCAUCUGAUUUGUGCUGAAACACAGCAGCUUUAUUAUAGCCUCCACUCGUGGUAACCAAGGUUGAACCUUCAAUAGCAACUCCAGGUCCCUUCUUGCCCAACAUCACAUUCCUUCGACUCUCCUCUUCUAACUUUUGAAAAAACUUCACCAAUUGAAGGCAGGGGUUGUCUUCCAAUGAUUCUCCCCCUUACCUCAUCAAACUCAACAUUAAGGCCAGCCAAGAACUUGAAGAUCUGAUUGUCUUCCAUGGUCUUCUUAUGAUGAAGUCCAUCCUCGGUAGAUUUCCACUCAUAGGUGUUGAAGAGGUCAAGGUCUUGCCAGAUCCGCUUCGAGGAGUUGAAGUACUUUGUGAUGUUGUCCUCCCCUUGUUGUAUCUUACCAAGUUUGAGGGUUAAUUCAAAGAUCUGUGAUUGAUUCCCUAAAUUAGAAUACAUUUGAUUUACAUUCUCCCAAAGCUCUUGUGCUAUUGGAUAGCACAUGUAAUUAGAGCUAAUGUCUUCUUCCAUAGAAUUCACAAGCCAUGACAUCACCAUGGAAUUCUCAGCAUCCCAUAUAGCAUAGUUCGGAUCAUCCACUGCAGGAGCCUUCUUUUCACGCGUUAGGUAGCCCAUCUUUCCACGUCCUCUGAUGUACAUCCGAACUGAUUGAGACCAUCUCAGAAAGUUGUCACCAUUCAAGCGAAUCGUGGUGAUUUGGAUAGAGUGAGAUUUCGAGGUGGUAGGAUUGAUUUUUGAAGAAUCAGUGAUGAUGGGAUUGUUCAGAGAAGGUUGAGGAACAGUAGUGGACUCGUUUGAAAUAUCCGACAUGGUUUCAAAGAACAGGGAUUGAAAGAGAGGAAGGAGGAGGAUUUCGGCAAGCAAAUUGCGAGCUUUGAUACCAAGUUGAAGAAUAGGGUUUCACGGGAAUAAUUUUCUUUCAUUGAGAUUAUUCUUUUAUAGAGUUUACAGCAUAUACAAAUCCUUCAAAUUAGGAAACUAAAUCACUGAUUAAAAGGAAAGAAUAACUCCUAACAAUUACUUUCCUAAAAAUACAAAGAUUGACAACUAAUAAAUAACUUACACCUUUACAAAGUUAUUUCUUUCCAUAUCAGCUUCGGUUUUCCAACAGUUAUUAAUUCUUUGAGUUAUGAAAUGGGAUUUAGGAAUUUAGGAUUAAAGGGAAAUAUGAUUUCUAUGAAAUGUGUCUUAUCUAAUUCAUAGACCUCCAUGAUUUCAGCUUUUAUCAGCUUGCUGUUAUCCCUCAGCUGAUUAUUGUUAUUAUGGAAUAUAAAUUGAUCCAAUAAUGUGGAGUCUUAAUAUCCCUCUUUUUAAAAAAAAAAAAAAAAAUCUGAAAUCUUAAUGUCCCUGUUGUUUCUUCUGAUAUUGCUCAUUUGAUUAUGAAUUAGGUAUAUCCAUGCAGAUCCACAUGGAGCUUCAAGUACUGUGAUCAAGAACCACAAGCCUGAACAUCCAGUACCCCCUCUUACUUUGAACCAAGCAGGAUGUUUCACUGUAAGUUGGUCAUCUUUCAAUAUUCUUUUGGUAUUAUUUCAUUUUAUUGUGUCUUAAGGUAGGAGUGAACAGCAUAUAUGCACUUUGAAUUAUUUAGCUUACAAUUUUUUUGUAAAAUAGGUUUGUCACAGCCAGGUGUGGGAUUCAAAGAUUGUCACAAGUGCUUGGUGGGUUUAUCCUCACCAGGUCAGUAAAACUGCUCCUACUGGGGAAUAUCUUACAGUUGGGAGUUUCAUGAUCCAUGGGAAGAAGAACUUUCUUCCUCCACACCCUCUUAUGAUGGGCUUUGGCUUGUUAUUUUGCUUAGAUGAGAGAGCUCCUUGGGAUCACAUUUAUAUGAAAGGCGGGUGAGAGGUGAGGAGGAAGGGGCACAAGAUUUUGAGGAGAAUGAAUCUCUUAAAGGAAAUUCUGAUUCUGAGUCAGAGAAGGAAGAAACAGAUGAAAAACGUACUGCAGAGUCAAAAAGCAUAACGGAUCCACCAACACAUCAACCAAUAUUAGAAGGCUUUUCUGAAAUUAGUUCUGCUCAUAAUGAAUUGACCACCUCCAAUGUUGGAUCCAUCAAUUUGCCUGAAGUUCCUCUUGAAGAGAGGAAUAUGUUGAAUGGAAAUGAUAGUGAGCAUAUAGAUGAUAUUUCUGGAAGACAUGUUUCUUCUGUCAAUCCACAACUUGAGGAUCUCAUUGAUUGGGCUCUUGAACUUGGAUCUAAUACUGCAUCUGGUAAGAAGUAUGCUCUUGAAACUUCUCAAGUUGAUUUGGAAGAUCACAAUCAUGAAUACAGAAAGGCUAAAGUCAGAGAGAAACCUUAUAUCUCAAAAGCUGAAAGAAGAAAGCUGAAGAAAGGCCAGAAAACCAGUACUUCAGAUGCAGGUGGUGAUCAUGGAAAAGAAGAAAUGGGGUCUCUAAUUGAAAGGGGGUUCUCUAUAUCUUUAACUCAAGUUUUGUGUUCCAUUUUCAUUUGGAUUGCUGAUUGAUAGCUUUUUGGUUUAUUGUUUGGGGCUCUCGGUGUCCAUGUGGGAUUAACACCCAUAGAUGCUAAAUUCUGGGAGUAAUGUCUCAAAUUUUUUUAUUUAUUUUUUGUGUGUGUGCAGAUUUCGCUUUGGAUGCUAGCUUUUACUCUUCUUUAAAUCUAGGCGUGUUCUGGGCGUGUUCCAGGUUAGUUGCCUACUUGAAACCUAGUUCAAAAAAGCUGUCUGUAUUAAGAAUUCAUUUCCUGAAUAAGGCUGAGGAUGGACUGUUUGCCUGUGGGCUUUUGUUUGGGCCAAUAUUUGCUUGCGUUUGUGAUUUGGACCGAUGCCAUUGGGCUGGCUUCUUUAAGCUUAGUAGAAAUUUUAUUUCUGUAGUGGGUGGGACUUCCACUUUUGUUAAAGUUGGGUGACAGUCUCUUGAUAGGGUGGGUGUCUUUGGGCAUGCAGAGUGCAUGUAGCCUAUUACGUGUUUACCCCUCUUCAAUUUAAUGCACUUUGUCAGGGACUUAGGCCUGUUUGGUUAUUGUUUUCGAGAAUUGUGUUUUGUUUUUUAGAACAAAAAACACCAAAAACUCAUUUGGAACUUUAAUCACUUAUUGUUUUUAUUAGUCUGUGUGUUUCCAAAAUGUUUCUUUUUAGAGAACAAAAAAAACAAGUUUCCUUUGUUUUUUCCACUGUUUAGAGAACAAAAGGAGCAUCCCUAUUCUCCAUGUUUCCAAUCCUUUGUUCUCACAUUCCCUAUUGUCACCUGUGAAAUAAUCCUCCUCUGCCUCAUCUUCUUUUGUUCCAGAACUUCCAUCUACAUCAGAGAGUAUCUUGUUUCCAUUAGUCCCCUCAUCUUCCUCGCAUCUAUCAGUCGCAAAAUCCGAUUUGCUUCUAUUGGAAUUAUUGACUUCGUCAAUGCCAUCAUCAAUCCCAAUUUCUAUUAUCAAAUUCCUUUUCUGGGUAUAAUCCAAAACUCCCUAAGAGGGUUUGAUCAGAAGAUAAAGAUAGUAGAAUUUGCUGUUUAACUUAACAUCACAAUAGAAACACCUCAAAUUUACUUCCCCAUUUUCCAGAAUCUUCUCAUCAUCACCCUGAAUCAUACCAAUCUGCUUCACCCAUGGAAUGAAAGCGAUCUUCAAUAAUUCACAAUAAUCAAGUUGUGAUGAGGAUGAGCAAUCCUCACACAUAUCCUGUAAUUCAACCAAUUUUCGAUCAUUCGAAUAGCAUCCAAGUUUUGAAAUCUCCGCAAUGUGGGUUUCACACAGAAGAUAAGAGAAAAAAGAGUUGAGAAAAAGGAUCAGAAUCCAUUCAAGAACAUCAUAGAUGAGAAUAAGCGUGAUCUUGUUGGUGUUUGGUUCCAAACUUGUUUACUGCCAUUGAUGAUGAUGAUCUAUUCUUGAUAUUCAUAGAGAGAAAAGCAGAGACUAUUUAAAGAGAUUAUGAAAAGCAUGCAUUUUAGUUUUCUUAUUUGAGAAUUUUAGUUUGGUAUCAGUAUGUAUCUUAAGAUGCAUGUCUUAAAACGCUCCAAACUGAUGAGUGUUUAACUUUUUAUAAUCCUACGUCCCCAUCUCAUUGUCACUUUGCAUCUACUAAAGAGUUGGUUUUCUUAUUCUUACAUUUCUACAAAUGCAAUAGGAUGUUAUGAUCCGACCAACACCAGAAGCCUCAGUUCUUGGGCCUAGCCUCAUAAGUUUUUUUCUUAUUAUUUACAAUAUGCAAAUGUCCUAAUUUUAUGUGAAAGGGCUGCAGUACUUGGUUGGUUUCUAUUUGCUGUUAAAAAUGUGCAUCAAACUAAUCUUUUCUCAUUUUGGACAAGAAACUAUGCCUACUCUCUUUCUAUUGGCUUGAAAAAUGUCCAUCAGACUCACCUUUGACAGGAAACUAUACCAGGUUAGUUGGCUCCCUCCUUCAUCACACUAAAAAGAAAAGCUGAUGUGCUAGAGAUGCAAUUUGGACAAAGAUGCUUAUGUAUGUUAUGAUUCAACCUUCAUGUCAUGCUCCUAAUUUGUUCCAUUGUGCGUCUUAAUGUUGGUAGACAUUACAGCAAACUUUGGACUUGAGGAGACCCCUUCCCUUGCCUGAUGGUGUCAUUAUAAAUGGCCAGAACUAGUUCAUCCUUUAUUUAGUAUAUGAAGCAAGCCAGAACCUACAAGUGUACGUCUAAACUGCUAUUCAAAUGGAAUAAUAUUUAGUUUUCCCUGAAAUGAAUGGGGAGUUGGUACACUGGUCUACAAUGAUCUAUCCUGAUCUCCUUUCCCUCUGUUUUUCAUGAAGGUGGAAUUUGAAAACAAGUGCAGCCAGACCCAACCAUUAGGGGUCCUAAGAUAUUCAGAUCACACAACAUCUGACUGGGCAGCCAAAUAUUGCGGAAUUCAAGGGCGAGGCGGUCAAUGCACCUUGUGAUGGAGUUGUGUGCUGUGGGAGUUCUUUGAUAAGAGUUAUCAUAUAUAAUGUAUUUGCUGUCAUUCAUUAAUAAGUUUUAUUUGAAAAAACUUGUUGAAUACUCAAAUUAAUAUUUGAAUCGAACUUGUUAAAUGCAUUUAAAAUUCAAAACCGACUCUUAUGGUUUUCGGAUAGCAAUCUAAAAUAAUGUUAAGUAUGACUAACAUGAUCAUCCAUCUAUAUUUUAGGAAAUUAGGCAAGAUUUUUGUGUAAUAAAUUUUAUUUUCAAGAGUAUGUUAAGUACUAAAAUUAAUAUUUAAAAUUCAAAUAUAAUACUUAAGGCUUUAUGGAUACCGUCAUUCAUCAAUAUUUGAGGACAAUAGAGAUUUCCACAUAAAUUAAUAUUUAAUUAAAAAUUAAAAUACUAUAAUCAUCAAUUUUAAAUAACUUAUCAACAAUGAUUCCAAAAAUAGGUAUAUAAAGAAAAAAAAAAUCCUCAAAAGGACAAAAAUGGGUUGGCCAAUGCAAAUUCGAGGUUCACUAGCCCAAUGAUCCAAUCCACAAUUUGUCAAAGGUCAAUUUAAUGUGUAGCCCAAAGUUUGAACCAAACUUGAUCAGGCUUCGAUUGACGGUUUAACCGGUGGACUGUCUACUUCAAUCCAAUUUUUAUUUUAAAACAUUGGAUUUUACCAUAUAAGUGUCCAUAAAUGGAUCAUCUCUAAUUUUAAGCAGGUACAAAUUUUCAAACCUAACUUAUGGAAUAUUCGAAGUUGACAUCGUGAGUGGAAUAAAAUUUAUUAAAAUCAAACUUAGGUUUUGAUAUUAAUUCAAAACAAAUGAUGGUAUCAGAAGGAAGGAUGGAAAGAGUAGGUAGACUACUAAAUAAAGGUUGUCAUCAUUUCACCUAUUAAAUGAAGAUUUUAAUGCAUCUUCUUAAUGGGCUCAACAAUAUUUACUUUUUUUUCUUGGAUGCUCCUAAUAUAUUCAUUUCUACAUAUAAUUGCAUUUAUUGUCUAAUUUAUAUGGAAUUAUCUAACAAUAUGAAAAUCUUCACAUAAUUAGUAUUUUUAUAAUCUUUAUACCGAUUAUAUUUUAAUAUAUAUUUUUAUUUAUUUACUAAUGAAAAUAUAAAUGGAAGAUAUUUUAGUUUUUUCAUUUGACAAUUAAAUUUUUAAUCAAAAUUUUUUAUUUACAAAUUGAGUAAUGUAAAAAAGAAAGCUUUAAACAAAGAAAUGAAAUAAAGCGAAAUAGAGAAAUGAAUUCAUAAUUUAUGAGGCAUUUAGAGUGAAAUUUAUCUAAUAACAAUAAAGACUUUCAAGUAAUAUAGUAUGAAAUUAUUAGCAACAUUUUAAAUAUAAAAAAAUUGAUAAAUGCUUUGUCAAGAUGGUCGAAACAAGAAAAAAUAUUUCUUUUUUUGGGCCAGCAAAUUGGUAUAAUUUAUUGAAACUUACAUAUUUGAAGUAUUAUUUUUGUAUUAUUUUCAUUCAAAUCUCAAUUUUAAGAAUAUUUAAAUAAUAAUCAGAUUUAAUAGUAAAGUUAAAUAAAAACUUAGAAUUGUACAUAAUAUAUUUGACAGAAAUAAUAUUAUUUUUUUUAAAGAAAAAGUUGUGAGCUUGUCUACGGAUUUUUUAAUAUAUUUGACAGAUUUAGGGUGUUAAUUAGGAGUAUUUUAAGAUGCAUUAUCAUUUCUUUUGUUUGAUCAGAUUAAGGUAGGUGGGUGGUUAUUCGGACAAAAAUACCCUUCAAUCCAAGAAAUUAUACCAAGCAACUCAACUAAUUUUCCUUCCUUUCUCUACAGUCUACUGCUUUGUCUCUGUCUUCCGGCGCCAACACAACUUCUCGCCUUCUCGAAAAUCAAGCUUUCAAACUCCUUUUCUUCACUAUUUUCUUUCGUUGCACAACCCUUCCCGUAUUCUGUUGUAGCUAACCUCCCAUAUACCAGAGAGAAAACUCCUCAAAAAACCCACAACCUAUUCGUUUACCAGUUUCCUUCUCCCUUCAUACCACAUUCACUCCUCAACCCCUCUUCCUUCAAACCCCAGUCGAAAAAAACGGAAGCUUCAGGCUCCCCUCAAAUACCCAUGAAAAUUGUCUAAUAAGAGAGGGUUGUGCAACUUUCCAUUAAUUACAAAUUUUAGGAAAAAGAAAAUGUUUCUUUCGAAUCACAAAUUUUAGUUAUUGUUUCAAUGGAAUAUAUCAUUUUUUUUAGGAAAAAAAAUGUGUUUCAUAGUAAUUAUUUAUCUUUUCUAACCUAUACAAAUAUUUUCACUUAGGGAGUGUGCUUUAUGCGUGCAUUUCCAUUAAUUAUAAAUUUCAGAAAAAAAAAAUGAUUCUUUCAAAUCACAAAUUUCAAAUAUUGUUUUAGUAGAAUAUUUCAUUCUUUCAAGAAAAAAAAUAUUUCUUUCAUAUCACAUAUUUCAACUCUUAUUUUUAGAAUAUUUCAUUAAUAAGUACUAACAGAUUGCAAAGCUAAAUACUUCUCAUUAAUGAAACAACGUAUAAAUACAUAUCCAAGAGUGGUUGAAGAUCCUACAAAUUAAGAAGGUUACAAACUGAAUCCUAUAUCUAUGGAUGAUAGAUAAAUACAAUUAAAUACAUUUGAAUAAGCUGAUAUGAAAGACUAAGUCAAGCUGAUAUGAAAGACUAAGUCAAGCUGAGAUGAAUAACUAAGUCAAGCAACUGAUUAUCUCUAUUAUGCACCUUCAAGAUGAAGCUCGGGAGAGAAGUCCAAUCUUGUGUUUAAGUUGAAGAAAACGUUGUCGUGGAAGUGGCUUGGUAAGAGCAUCUGCAAGCUAAUCUUCAUAGGAGACAUGGGCUACACGAAGAGCUCCAUUUUGAACUUGAUCCCUGAUAAAAUGAAAGUCCAUUGCAACAUGCUUCAUACGGGAAUGAAAAAAUGGAUUGGAACAGAGUUGAGGGGCCCCUAUAUUAUCACAGUAAAUGACAGGGCAGGAGGAAAGCGAAAUACCAAGAUUAGUCAAGAGAUAACAAAUGAAAUUAAGUUCAGCAGCUAUAUUUGCAACUGAGCGAUACUCCGCCUCAGUGGAGGAUCUAGCAACAGUCUGUUGCUUUUUAGAACUCUAGGAGAUCAGAUUUUUACCAAGAUAAACAACGUAAGCACCAGUUGAGCAAAAAACGUCCUUGUCCCUUGCCCAAUCAGCAUCAGAAAAGGCUUGGAGAUUGAGAGAGGUAUUUGAGAAUGCAUGCAAGUUGAGAGUAGAGUCUUUGUAGAGUUGUAAACCAUCAUCAACGGUGCCAACAAGAUAACGUAGUAGGCGUUUGACAAAGGACCAAUAUGCAGUUGUUGGGCAGUGCAUAUAUUGGGACAAUUUGUUGACAGCAAAGGCGAUGUCUAGUCUUGUUAUGAGCAAAUAAUGGAGACUCCCAACUACCUGGCAAUACUCAGUGGGAUCAAACAGAGAAGAACCUGAGUUUAACAUGAGAGUCGGACUGGUUGGGAUGGGAGUAGGAAUAGUCUUGGCAUCUUGCAUCUUGGUUUGAGUGAGGAGAUCCAGAAUAUAUCGCCUUUGUGAGAGUAACAAGUCAUGUUUGUUUGGGACAACUUCCACACCCAAAAAGUAAGUUAGUAAACCAAGGUCUUUGAUGGAAAAUUGCCGAGCAAGGAUGGCAAUGAAGUGAUUAACUUUGGUAUCAUUAUCGCCUGUGAGAAUUAAAUCAUCAACAUAAACAAGGAGAUACAUAAUGUGGCCAUCAGCAUGAAAGACAAAGAGUGAUGUAUCAGCAUAUGAAUUCUGAAAGCCAAACUAUAGAAGAAAGUUUCUGAGUUCAUGGUACCACGCCCGAAGGGCUUGUUUCAGGCCAUAUAUUGCUUUGUUGAGUUUGCAGACAUAAGAGGGGUUGUCAUUAUCAACAAAUCCCGGUGGCUGUGCCAUGUAUAUAUUCUCUGAUAGAUGUCCUUGAAUAAAGACAUUAUUAACAUCAAGUUGCUUUAAGGACCAGCCACGACUGACGACGAUACUGAGAACAAUGCGGACAGUAGUUAGUUUUACAACGGGACUGAAUGUGUCGUGGUAGUCUAUUCCAGGACGUUGGUGGAAGCCUUUGCCACCAAUCGGGCCUUGAACCUGUCAAUAAAGCCAUCAUAUUUGCGUUUAGUUCUAAAAAUCCACUUGCAACCAACCAGAUUUUGACUGCUAUCCGGUGGAACUAUAGCCCAUGUGCCAUUCUUUACUAAAGCAUCAUACUCUUCAGACAUGGCUCGACGCCAUUUAUGAUCUUUGAGAGCUUGGGUCAAGGUGGGUGGUUCAUGAUCAUCACUUUUGGUUAAUUGAGUGUGAAAAUUCGGUUUGGUGAUGGGUUUGCGGAUAUUAUUUUUGGCUCUAGUAGUCAUGGGAUGGGUGGGUUGUGGCUGAAGCUGAUGUGGGCUUAUAUGUGUUGAUGGGUGUUAGGGAUUGUGGGGAUGUGAAGGUUCACGUGAUGGUGAUGGAGGUGAUGUGGCAGGCAGGUCUGGUGGUGGUGAAGCGGCACUGGGGGAUUGUUGUUGAGCGUCCACGACAGAUGACGGAUUGAGUGGUGGUACUAAAGGCAAGUUGGGAAUGCGAAGGGGUGGUGGAAGCCAAGUAGCAAUGGAAUCUGAUGGAGGAUAAGAGGAAGGAGCAGAGAUAUGACGGAAGGGAAAGACAAACUCAACAAAUUUAACAUGCCUAGAAACAUAUAUUUUAGACGUGGAUGGAUCAAGGCAGUAGUAGGCACUCUGAGUUAAAGAGUAUCCAAGGAAGACACAUGGUUUGGAUCGAGUGUGGAGUUUGUGGGUAGUAUAUGGUCUAAGCCAGGGAUAGCAUAAACAACCAAAAAUUUUGAGUUUUGAGUAAUUAAGAGUUGUUGUAAAAAAAAUUUCAUAAAGAGAGGAAAGGUUCAGUAUGGGUGUUGGCAUGCGAUUUAUUAGGUAAACUGUUGUGGCUAGGGCAUAAGGCCAAUAACUUAAAGGAAGAGAUGCAUGAAAGAGUAAGGUUAGUCCAGUUUCUACAAUAUGAAGAUGUCUACGUUUUGAAAAUCCUUUGUGUUCAGGUGUGUGAGGUGGUGUAGUGAGAUGAGAAAUACCAUUUGUUGAAAGAAAAUGGGCAAGGGUAAUAUAUUCACCACCAUUGUCCGAAUAAAGUGUUUUGAUGGUUUUAUCAAAGUGUUUCUCAAAAAUUGCUUUAAAUUAAAUAAAAAUAUCUUUGACUUAUGACUUUUAUUUAAGAGGAUAAAACCAAAUAUAUUGGGUGAAGUGAUCCACAAAAAUGACAUAAUAUUUUAAUCCAUUAUUUGAUAUAAUAGGAGAUGUCCAAACAUCAGAAAAGAUAGUUUCAAGGGGUUAAGAAGAGACAAUGGUGGAUUUAGAAAAUGACAAUUUGUGGCUUUUAUUACUCAAACAAGCAUUACAUGGAAAAUUAUUGGAUAAUGAAGAAGAGAAAUCAAAUUUAUUUUUGGAAACAAUCUGUUUCAGAAUUUUGAAAGUUGGGUGUCCUAAUCUUUGAUGCCACUCAGAUAAAGUUGUUUUGCGGCUGGAAAAUGCAAGCAAAGGUGGAGAUAUCGGCCACUCAUAGACGCCAUCUUUAGUGUUGCCCUUCAGAAGUGUUGUCCUCGUUUGAAUGUCCUUUACAAGGAAAGCAGUUGGUAAGAAUUCAAUGGAGACAUUAUUUGAGGUACAAAAUUGAGAAAUGGAAAUGAGAUUCUUUUUCAUAGUAGGAACACAGAGAACAUUGUUCAAUUUAAAAGUGUUAUGAGUUGUGUGGAGAGAGGAAGAACCAAUAUGAGUAAUGGAGAGACCCGAGCCAUCACCAAUCAUAAUGUCAUCCGAGCCAUUGUAUGGAGUAUGCAUGGAGAGAUUGUGUAGAUCAGUUGUAGCAUGGUGAGAUGCGCCACCGUCGAUGAGCCAAGAUGUGUGGUUGGGAGUGUUGGAGGCAUAAUGGGCUCUUGGUUGCCAUGGGGUGGCAGAGGGAUUGUUCGAAGCAGGAGAAGGACUAUUGGAUGUCUUCAAAUUGAUAAAUGAUAGUUUUUUCAUUAAUUCUUUCAUUUGCUCAUGUACAGAGUAUAUAUAGAGGGUAAUCACCAUUCUAAGAAUGAGAAAGAAUGAUAUAAGGAAAUAACAACUAAUAUCCUAAUAUCUCAAUAUUCCUAAUAUCUCAACUUUCCUAAUAUCUAAACAUUCCUAAUAUCUAAACAUUCCUAAUAUCUCAACACUAAAUGAUAUAAGGAAAGAAUGAUAUAAGGAAAGCAUUCCUAAUAUCUCAACACUCCCCCUCAAGUUGGUGCAUAGAUGUCACACAUGCCCAACUUGUCUAAAAAUUUUGAGAACACUUGACUUGAGAUAGCUUUGGUGAGGAUAUCGGCCAAUUGAUUUUCUGAUCAAAUCUUAGGCAAUUUCACAAUCUUAUCAUCCAACUUUUCCUUAAUGAAGAAUCUAUCCACCUCGACAUGCUUUGUACGAUCAUGUUGUACUGGAUUAUGAGCAAUGUCACAUGCGACUUUAUUGUCACAAAACAAUCGGAUUGGUUGCCUAGAUAGGCAACCUAAAUCCUGUAAGAGAAGUCUUAGCCAUAAUGCCUCACAAAGUCCUAGAGCCAUACCUCUAAAUUCCGCUUCUGCACUUGAACGGGCGACGACAUUCUGCUUCUUACUUUUCCAUGUCACAAGAUUACCACCUACAAAGGUAAAGUAACCAGAUGUAGAUCGUCUAUUAUCCACUGCACCGGCCCAAUCAGCAUCAGUAUAUACUUCUAUACUCUGAUGAUCAACAUUUUUAGCGAACAAAAUUUCCUUCCCAAAAGCAUUCUUCAAAUACCUCAAAAUACGCAUGACUGCAUUCAUAUGUUGCUCUCCAGGAUUAUGCAUGUAUUGACUCACUACACUCAAUGCAUAAGCAAGAUCUGGUCUUGUAUAAGCUAAGUACAUUAAUCUCCCCACAAGUCUCUGGUAUCUUCCCUUAUUGGUUGAUACUUGAUUAGGCUUAACACACAAUUUCAGACCUUCUUCUAUUGGUGUAUUAACAGGUUGACAUCCCGACAUUCCAGUCUCCUGUAAAAGAUCUAAGGCAUACUUUCUUUGAGACAGAAAAAUUCCUUCACUUGAUCAAGAAACUUCAAUCCCAAGAAAGUAUUUCAGAGGACCUAGAUCUUUCAUUUCAAAUUCUCUAGAUAGAUAAUUUUGCAGAGCUUUUCUUUCUUUAGGAUCAUUUCCUGUAACUACCAUGUCAUCCACAUAUACGAUGAGUAUCGUAAUCUUACCAUGUUGCUUUUUCAGGAACAAAGUGUGAUCUGAAUUACUUUGACGAUAGCUAAAAGCUCUUAUUGACUUUGUGAACCUUCCAAACCAUGCUCUCGGGGAUUGCUUCAACCCAUACAAUGACUUCUUCAAUUUGCACACCUUCUAACAUUGCUUUUCUAACACCAUGCAUCUUGGUGGAAGAUCCAUGUAUACUUCUUCAGAUAACUCGCCAUGCAGAAAGGCAUUUUUCACAUCGAAUUGUUGUAAUGGCCAAUCUAGGUUUGCAGCUAAAGAUAGUAAUACUCGAACUGUGUUGAUCUUAGCUACAAGUGCAAAUGUCUUUGUGUAGUCAAUUCCAUAAGUUUGAGUGUACCCUUUUGCUACCAGUCUUGCUUAACCAAAAAGGCAACAAUCAGCAAGCCAAAUGAAUUGGAACAAAAAAACUCUAAGUUAAAGAUAUAGAGAACCCCAUUUCAACAGAGUCGACCCUAGCCAAAGUGAGUCAAAAUAGAGAGCUUGAGGAUCUCGUUUCCUCUUAAUCUAACCAGAUGAUCCGAAAAUUUCUUGAGCAAACGUGAUAACGUCCUUCGAUACGACGUGGAUAGUGUUCGCCAUCAUAAUCGGAUUUGUUUUCGUAGUAGCAUUCUUUCUCUUCAUUUUGCUAUAAGGAUUUGUCUUAGUAGUCUUCUUCCUCCUCGAAAAGCCCUAACGUUAAUUUUCUUAGCUCAUUUUCUCAACUCUCACUGUAAAUGUUGUACUUCCUAGGCCUUUCUACAUUUUUAAAGAGGUGCUCUACUUUUACAGGUCUCUGAUGAAACCUACUACUCCACUAAAUUUAUGGAGCUUUGACCCAAAAUAGUACAUUUUAAAAAAAAAUUCCAAAAACUAACAUUGUUUCCAAAAUAAUACCCAAUUUAGUGCGUUUGUGCUACAUAAGCUGUCAUGUCAUAAAACCGUAAUUGGUGACUAUGGUUUUAUUUUUUUUAAAUGUUUAGAAACCGUAGUCACCAACCACGGUUUUAACUUUAAGUUAAAAGCCGUAGUUGGUGACUACGGUUUUGACUUUUUUUAAAAAUGGUCAAAGCCGUAGUCACCAACUGUGACUUUAACUUUAUAUAUAUUUAUAUAUAACUUUAAUUUUUUAAAUAAAAAUAUUAUAUUAUUUUGAUUUUAAAUAUACUUAUUUCAUUAUUUAAAAAAUAAUAAUAUAUGAAAUUAAAUAAUUGAUAUUUUUAAUUUGAUAUAAAAUAUAUUUUUUAAUUUUAUUAAAACAAUAGGCACUAUAUUUAAUAUAAAUAUAAAUAUAAUUAGUUAAUUAAAAUUAAAUAUAAAUAAAAUAUAAUAAAUUAUAGUUAUUUAAAAUAAAUAAAUUAUAAAUGCCUAUUUAGAAAAAUAUAUAUAUAUAUAAAUUAUUAUAUUAAUUAAUAAUUUUUUAUAUAUUAUAUGUAAGUGGUAUAUAUAUAUAAGUUUAAUUUAAGUUUAAAAUUUAUCACAUUUUUAUUUAAAUAUAUAAAUAAAUUUUAUUAAAACAAUUGAUACUAUAUUUAAUAUAAAUAUAAUUAGUUAAUUAAAAUUAAAUAUAAAUAUAAUAUAAUAAAUUAUAUUUAUUUAAAAUAAAUAAAUUAUAAAUGCCUAUUUAGAAAAAAAUAUAUAUAAAUUAUUAUAUUAAUUAAUAGAAAAAAAUAUAUAAUUAUUAUAUAAAUUAUAUUAUUAUAUUAUUAUAUUAUAUAAAUUAUUAUAUUUUUGAAAAAAAAAUAUAUUAAAAAAAAGUGAGUCAAUUGAAACAAAUAAUUGGAUACCAUCACCAAUUAUCUUGCCUAAAAGAGCUUCAUGCCACAUAAAGGAUCACAUCGAAAUUGUUGAUGCAAAGCUCUAAGGUUCAUAACAGAGCCAUCUAGACCGUGACAUUUAAGUCAUUGGUAGAUGAACUGUAAUAAUUUCAACUUGUACCAAUCAGCACAAAAAAAACGUAGGAACCCUCAUUUCAACAAAAAACAAAUAUUUAGAAAGUAGACACAUAGUAGACCCAUAGGAUGCAUGAAGUAAAAUCUAAAAACAGGAGAAUUGAUGGAUGAGAAAGUUGGUCGACAUUAUAAAUCAUAAAUAAAACCUCAAAUGCAUACGGUCUAUGAUUAUAAUAGCAAAAAAAUACAAAAGGUAAUUAUGUUCAAUGAAAGCGACAAUCUAUCAUAGUUAUAGGAAAUACUUCAACCCAAUGUCCAUGUUAGUCUCAAUCACCAUGAAAAAUUUUCCACUACUCAUCAUCAAGUUGUAUCUAUAAUCUUCCUUGGGAGAGAUAAAAAGAAAGCGAUUUGCAUUGAGAGAGAGAAAAAGAAACAAUAUGAUUGAAGGGUGUGUGCAGGCCUAAGUAGGCACACUCCUCCUCGCUCUUUAACCAACAUGAUUGUAAAACUAGUUAUAUAUAUUUUUUUCUUUUCUGAAAAGUACCUCAUCUACAAUGACACAAUAUUAUUGAUAUAAAUAUUCCCCAAAUGAUACGAGGCAAAAGUAUAUCCAUAUCCAAUUUGGGAAACAAAUGAUAGCCUAUAACAAUUCAAAUUCCAAACUUUAUUGGUUCCAACCUCAUCUCAAAUCCAUCAAAGUAGGGGCAUGGCUCUUACCCUUUUUUUCAAUAAUUGAGAAAUCUAAAACCAUUUAUCACUAAUACUACCAUGAUGUUGGUAAAAUAACUAAAAAAAUUUAAAAAUAUAAAUUCCCAAAGUGGCCUCAAUUUUUUCUUAACCUGAAUUUGCAUGUUCGUAUCAUAUAAUUCUUCAACAUAUCUAGAAGGAUUAGACAAAAACUGACAAAAGGUUAGAAACCCUAUAAAAUCAGGGUCAAAAACUCACUAGGAAAUUGCUUCAGAUGAGUAGGAAUAAUUAAUAGAUAGUAUGAAACUUGAGAUAGUUGAAGACCAAAAAUAUUGCACCACCAUGGAGUCUUAUGUCUUAGGUGGAAUCUUCGUUUGUAGGAAACAUAAUAAAUUUAAAAGAAAGUUAACUACAAACAAAAAUAGGAAUCAGAAUCCCUAGAAAAGUACCCUUGAGAAUCCUAGCAAAUAGCUUCCCAACCAAUAGAAUCAAACUAACAGAACAUUGCUCUUGUUAAACGUACCUAGUCCAAAGCGUCGAUCCCACCAAAAUCUCUUUAUUGUCCAGGGUGUUCUCCCCCUUCCACCGACUCAACUUCUUGCCAGAAACCUUUAGUUUCAGUUAUCUUAUUCCGGGUUAUAUCCAAAACUAUAAUUUAAUAUAACACAAUAAAGAAAAUUAAAGUGCAAUAACCUAAAUCUAAAGGCUUUGGAACUUUAUGAAAUUGUUUCGGCUAUCUCUUACCUCUGCAAAUUGCAAUUCAGGAAAGCCCAGUGUCGGAUUUUACAUGAAUCUCCCAUUGAAGCCCAUAGAACAUUGGAAACGUACCCAAUUUCGACAUUUUCGAUUAAACCUUAUAAAUGAUUAAUUAAAAACCCACCCCAUAAAAGAUUAAUCAAAAACCCUCCACAUCAAAAUUUUAGUCAAUCAUGACAUACUUCAGACUUGUUGAGAGAACUGCAGGGAACGAACCUGUGUCAUAAAUACACCUUAUCCCAACCUUAACCUUAACCCUAAACCCUAACCCUAAUCCUAAACCUAGCCCUAACUCUAAUGCAAAACAUUAACCUAAAGAUCAUAAGAAAUGAAAAUGACUUUUCUUCCAAAAUAGUUGUUUUUAAAAAGGAGAAUGAUUAAAAAUAAUAUUUUUAAAACAUUAAAAAAUAUCAAAAAACAAAUUAAAAACCUUUUAGAUUCUAAAUAUGUGUUAUAUAAAAUAUUAGAAAAAAAUUGUUUCUAAUAACUAUUUUUAAACACAUUUUCUAAAUGGAGAUUAUAUUUUUUUUAGAAAAAUUUAAAAAGCAAAAAACAAAAAAUCACUCAAAAAAAUAAAUCUCAAGUUCAUUUCAAAAUGAAUCCAAAUUAAUAUGAUAUAUAAUUGGGAUUUAAAUAAAUAUAAUUUCAUAAAUUUUAAACAAUGAUAUAAAAAACAAGUAAAAUCUUUUAUAAAUCUAUUUAAUAUACUUACUUAUCAUUGUAUUUCUCAUUCUAAUCUAUUUUUCAUUCUUUUAAUUUAUUAACUUUUACUUUUUCAACUUUUAUAUUUGUUUAUGUACAAUUUUUGGUUUUAUAUACUUUUCUAAUAAAUUAAAGGUUUUUAAUUUUUUUAAAUUAAAAGUUUUGUAAUUUUAUAUUUAAUAUUUUAAAAGUAGAUUCUGAUUCUCAUAUGAUUUUGAAAAUUUUAAACAAUUUGGAUUUGAAUGCUUGAUUAAAUAAUGGUACAUUUACAAUAAUACUUAAUUAUUAGAUUAUAUAUAUUUUUUCAAUAAAAAGUUUCAUCACUUUGGCUUAAUUAUUAAAUUAUUUUUAGUACAUUUUAUUUUAGUUUAACAUGGCAUGGUAAAACAAAUAAUUUUACAUCUUUUUCUUUCUAUUAUCAAUGCAAAUUAGCUUGUUAUAAAAUUUAUAAAAAACGUUAACUUCAUUAAUUUCCCCCUAAAUUAAUCUUUUAAAAAAUGUUAAUAAAAAUAUUACUGCAUUUCACAAGUGACAACAGAAAAAAGAAAAAAAAAGUUUAUGAUUUUAUUUAAAAAUUGAUGUGUGUAAAAUGCAUAAAGGGAAUUUUUGGCUACUCAGCUCCAGAAUAUGCAUGCAUGGCCACCUUGCAAUACCCAGAGUCACUGCACACGUAUCAUCCCGAGCUGGAAGAAUGAUACUGAUCUCUUGCAGGUCUGUACCAGAAGAAGCUCUGGCAUCGGUUCACCCUCAAGCCUUGAAUGUGGCACUUUCAUUCCCACUAUUGGAGCUUAUGUAUUUCAUUCAUGGUAUUCAUCAGUACCAUUGUCGGAAAGCAGUGUUCUAUAUGCUUCUGUGACUUAUGAUCGUGUGAAGAGUUCUGUUUUGGAAUCUUUUGCUUUGAGCAGUGGGUUGAAUUUUAAUGGUGAUUCAGUUCCAAAUAAGCUUGAGAUACCGGGUUUUACCUUCUUGCUGAAAAUGGUCCUGUUGACAGUGGAACUGAUGAGAAAGCAAAAAUCAAAUGAAAGAACAAAGACUGAUAAUUCAAGGCAUCACUCACUUCUCCUGCAGCUGCAUGCAACUCGGCUUGGCUGUGAACCAGACGACAUAUGUGACUUUGGGUUACAAGCAUGUGACACUCAACCAAAUACAGUCGCUGAUCCCAUGAAAGAAUUCAUUUUCUCAGGAAAGCUAAACCUUAUCAUGAUCAUGACUUUGUUUUCUCAAUAGUCGAUGACCAUAUAUGGUUUCUGAAGUCUGAACCAUCAGCUUUCUGUUCCUCAUAACGAAUCUUAUAAGGUGGAUCAGGAAGGCUUAGAUGAAAUUACCCUAGUUGAGGUUGGUCCAAGAUUUUGUUUGAAUCCUGUCAAGAUAUUUGGUUGCAGCUUUGGAGGCCCAGCGUUAUAUGAGAAUCCAUUUUACACAUCAUGAAAUCAGAUUCGAUCGAGCACUAGAGAAGAGGAAGAAUGUCGACAAGUAUGCGGAGAAAGAGAAAGCCAAGACAAGAAGGAAGAUGCAUGAGUUUGAAAAUCCAUUAGAAGCUGAUGAGUUUCAGAUAUGUCAAAGGUGUAGCAUGUGAUCUCGGGCAAUGGUAUAAGUUUUGGAAGCCUGAGAAUGAACGGAGGAAGAGUCCAAGUGGAAGCAAUACAUGUGGAUAGUUGCAGCUUUAAAGAAACUCAAAAUAGAGCAAGGAUCAAGACAUGGCAGGGAGGGUCUGGACAUGCCAGGAAUAUCACAUUCAAUAGCAUUAAGUUCUAUGAUACAGAGAAUCCCAUCAUCAUCGACCAAUAUUACCGUCCCCAGAAUAGAUUGAUAAGGUUUCAAUUUUACCACAUUUUUUUAUUUUUGGCAGCACGUGCAUGAAAGAGUAGGCCGGCAGUGACAUUUUCUUGAGGAAUCAGAGAACGACACGUACUCGAAAUAUUCUGGAGACCGUUUGGGAAGAUAGUGGAGAGCUGCUACAGGCCGUAACAGAGGGGGAGCGUCUUUGGUUGCUCAAGGGGAAGGUUACAGAGAGGGGGUGGAUAGCUUGGAGGGCAAGAAUAUUUGAGGGGAGGAGAUAUUUUUGUUGCUUGGGAGGCAAGACAGAGUGGGAGAAGGGAUUUUUCAGGGGGUAUUCUUUGAGAAAGAAAAGAACAGAGAGCUUGGGGGAAAGGCUUAGAGAAGGCAGAGAGAACCAGUAGAGAGCCUUGGGGGAAUGAAGGGGUGUUAUGGAGGUGAGCAGCCUAGUGAGAGAGAUGGAGGUUCAGAGUGAGUUUUUCACAGGCUGGAGGAAAACCCGAGCUGGGCAGAGAGGGCUGUUAUGGAGGUGAGCAGUCUAGCGAGAGAGAUGGAGGUUUAGAGUGAGUUUUUUUUUACAGAGUGGAGGGAGCUUUUCAGAGAGCUUGAAGAGGAUAGCUAGAGGAAGAGAAAGUUGAGAGGAGAAAGAGGCGUUUCGAGCUGAGCAGAGGAGGAGCUUGUCUUUUCGGUCCAGGUAUGAUUUCAGCAUGCUUUACAUUUUCUAUUUCAGAUUGUUCCAUUCUAUUUCCUGCUGAUUUUCAGGUUCAUUUGGAUGUUUGAAUGUAGACAUCAGAUACUAUGUGUGUUUGUGGAAUCUAAGACAAUUUUUAUGCAUUUUUUAUCUGAUUCUAGUCUGGCACUUUUGGCUCUGUUUAUGAACAACUUGAACAUUCCUCUGUUUUAUGAAUGAUUUGAAUAUAUAACUGCAUCCGAUUUUCAAAAAUCACACUCUUGCUUCCUUUUGAUCUCACCUGUAUUAGCCCAUGGAUGUCACCUGAAAUGAGGCUCAUUACGUUCAUGAUUUGCUUGAUCUCCUUUGGAUAUUUCUUCAGUCCUUGCCUUGCUCCUAUUUUCUUUUGUUCAUUCCCCUGUUUCUGGUAAGUCCCGGGUGUGAGGAUCAGAUCUGGAUUGGCCGAACAACUACAAGAGAGUGCUCUUCCAACGGUUACAAAUGGCCCUUUUACCAUCAACCACACUCUGCACCAAAGCCACCUCUUCUGUAACUACCACAUGUUGGGCACCUUUAUGCAAAGCUGUGUAUUGCAGACCAUGAAUCUCCUAUAGCGGACAUGGAUGCUAGAAUUGGUAAAGAAACUGGUUCUGAGUUUUCUUCCUACGGGUCCAAAAGUGAAAGGGUAGGGAGAAAAUCUGUGGAAACCCAUGUUGGUUGGACAGUGGAGGAAAAGAAUGAGAAACCGGCGUCACCGGGACCCCCUCCGAUUCGAGUCUCGAUCACCGAAAUGGCAGGGCGAGGCGUGUUCGCGACUCGGAGGAUGGGAAGCGGAGAUCUCAUCCACACAGCGAAGCUUCUCAUAACUCAUCCUUCGCUCUCCAGUAUUCAUAGCGUCUGUUACUUUUGCCUCAGAAAACUCAAACCUGUAACCUUUUCUGAAGAUUGCACUGCUCGAUUUUGGUAGCCAAGGAUUUGCAUGGAAAUGAGUGGCGAUUCCGCCCUAUUUUUUGAGGCCAACCAAAGAAGCACCUUCUUCAAAGUGGUUGGAGUCUUUUUUUUAUCAGUUUCAAAAAAGCUUGUUACAGGGGAUGCUUUUAUUUUCCUGAGAGGUGAAAAAGGGGGGACUUCGUGUAGGGGGAACACGGUAUACAUCUUGGUGUUCUUGCUACAGCUUGGCAUGCAGUCUCUACGGGUACAGUAUUCACCGUCCGUUUCCCACUGAUUUAGUUCCUAUCCUACCCAGUGGCUGCAUCUCCAUGAGCACAUUGAUCUUGGAAUCCAAUAUGAUCCCUCAACUGGAAUUUAUGGUAUGAACCUCUUUGUUGUUUUGGAGCGCCUGGGUUACCGUGCUGGCCUUCGUAGCAUGUUAGAAUCCAGCACAGGGUUACGAAGGAUGAUGCUAUGAAGUGGUUCUCCUUACAUCUGCUGCUUCAUUUAUCAAGAUGAUACAAGGCACAACUUUGGGCAUUCAUGAGGUUUCAUUUGCCCCUUCGUCCCACUCCUACCUAUUGCCUGCAUUCUCAUCAACGUCUACUUAUUGGUGAAUCUUGGAUCUGCUACCUGGACCCGGGUUUCUAUAUGGUUGGUGAUGGGAACGCUCGUUUAUGGAUUCUAUGGGAGAAGACACAGCUCACUGCAGGAUGCAAUUUAUGUACCAGCAGCCGAUGUGGAUGAAAUCUAUGGAAGCUUUUCACACUGCUCAGACGGCUUGGGUGUGGUGAUAUUGGCAGUGUGUAUCAGCAAUUCGGAAUUUGCAUCAUGUUCUGGGUGGUGGUCUCUACCCGAAUGCCGCAUAUCUGAUCAUCCGUGGCAUGAAGACACUGCAUUUUCAUGUACAGCAACAAAACUCAACACAGUUGCACCCCUGGGGACCCACUCUUGAAUGGUUUGCAUGGUCACCUUUGGGCCACGUGUCAUUUUUUUAUUUUUUAUUUUAUUUCAUCACCUUUGAUUUAAAAAUAAUUUCUCAAUUUCUAGUUUUCAAAUAGUUUUCCAAUUUCUAGAUUUCCAAAUAAUUUUAAGUUUUCAAAUCUUCAUCCUUAGAUUUUUUUAUUAGGUUCCAAAAAUCCAUUUUCCAAUAAGAUUUGCCGCCAUUUUCUUUGCGGCAAGCAACUUUCGUAUUUUCCUUUAUUUUUAAAAUGUUUUGGAAUAAGCGUGAAUUUAAUUUCGUAAUUCCGAAUAAUGGAAAUUCAUGAGAUUAAUUCAUGCAAAAAUAAAUCGGGUUUUGGUGGAGCCCAACAUUAGGAUUUUCUCAUUGAUUGAUUGAUUGUCAUUCUUGACUUUGAUUUGCUCUGUGACACAUGUGAUUAUUCGUUUACUAACUUUUGUUUUCUAUGAAACAAACAACUCAUUACUCAAUUACACGUCUUGUCUUCCUUGUCCACUUGAUUAUUUCUAAAUUGAUAUUCUCUUGGUAUCCAUAUUUGAUCUAUCAGUUGUCACACUUGCUUUGACUUAAUUAGUAGAGACCUAAUUCUUAGGGCCUAGAAGGGUGCUACAGUUUUUCACCGUACCUUCCUAAUAGGUAACCCGACCCUCGGACCCAGACUCGGUUUUUCACAGACCUGUUUUCCUUCAUGAGUCAUGUUUAGGGUUUUCUUUUUUAUUUUGUUUAUUCUUUAAAAAUAAAACAAAAAUAAGUGGCGACUCUAAGUCAUUUUCUAAAAAAUAAAUCGUUUUCAAAUAAAAAGCGAGUUUGCCAUCGAGUGAAAGUACAUGAGCAGAAAUGUAGGAUCCACAGGUAGCCUAUACUACAAGUAUACAAAACAAGCAUAAAUUAUAUCAUUUCUUCAAAAUGAUUUAGUCUUCCUAUGAUGCAAAGGCAAAAGCCUCAAGACGCUCUCAACAUGAGUAAAACAACAUCCAAUCAAUAGCACAUGCAAAACUCAAGCAUUAAUCCCAACAAGUGUCUUUUACUCUACAUCUAGAAGUGGAAAGAAUAGGGUACGUAUACAACUCAGUAGGAGUAUGAUCAUCCUAUAUAUAUCCUUAAAAACCUUAAAUUAAACAUAUAGUAGCAUGCAUGACAAACAUUUUAUAACCAUUAACAAAUAUGCAAUAAUUUCAAAUAUGCAUGCAUAUGAGUGAUGGUUUCAUUUUUGCUUUGCCUCAUAUAUUCUCUCACACAUGACAAAGUGUCAAUCCCCACCAAUGUACAUAUUAACCACCAAUGCUCCAAAAGAUGCUUGAUCAUAAAUAAUGACUAUUUUAAACUACCACCCAAGGACAAGUCAUAUUUCAUGUCUUUUAGGAUUCAUACCCAAUGAUAGGACCAACCUUGUCUUUUGGGACUACAACCCGAGGACAUCACCAACCCCGUGUCUUUAGGGACUAAAACCUAGAGGCAAGACUAACCUUAUACACCUACAUCAAAGUGUCUUUCUCGAGGGCUUUAAGGAUUUUCACCCAUAGACACACGAUAUCGAAAGGCAGUGUCUGUAGUUUCUCAUAGAUACUUCCCACAUACUAAUUUGUUCUUUGGAUAUUAUCUGUCAUUGUUCACCUUGAUUUCAUUGCUAUAUUUUAAAACAAUGAACUAACAACACUAUAGCACAUUGAAAUAUUUUAUAAAAUCAUAUUAAAGAUAUGAAUUUCCAAUAAACACUUUAGGAAAAGAAAAUAAAGAUACACAAUAGAAUGAUAUAAAAUUCUUUACCUUACAUUGACUUCUCCUUUGCAAUUUUUCUAUGUAGACAACUCUUAGCCAUUACAAGAAACUGAAAUGAAACAAUAUAAUUUAGGUUUUCCUACCAUAAAAAUUACACAAUUAAGGCUAUGACAUUUUUUCUUUAUUCCUAAUUUUAACAAUUUACAGUUGCUAACUUUAAUUUCCAUACUCUCUAAUCUAUAUGCCCGUAAGUUUUCAAAUCAAAUUUAAGGUGAAGUAAACAAUAUUUCAUCUACAUAUUGAUAUUCCCUAACUAAUGAACAUACACUAAUUAUUUUGAUUCUCCUUAAACUCAACCCAUUAACAAGCUCCAAAUGCACAGAUAAACUUACUUAAUCACAUGAUUCAUUAAUUUAUUUUUUUCAAUUAAAGCAAACUAAACAAACGAGCAUGCUGAUUCUUCCAUCAAAAGAUACUUAAAUUGAAAUACUUAAAACCCUAAUUAACUUUAAUUUAUAGCUAAUUAAAUUCAGUUUUUAAACAUACUUUACCAUUAAUUUACUUCAAAAGACUAUUUGGACUCUAAAUCUACCAAAAUUUCUAACCUUGUCUUUUUGUUCACCUUGAUUCCUCCCCUUUCUCUCUCUAACCCACCAAAAUUUUGUAGAGAAUGGACUGAAAUGAAGGCUCACAACUCUUAUAUAAUGGUCCACAAGCAACCAUGCAUGAGGUGGCAAGCUCUAAGGCUACCACUAACCAUAAGUUUUCCAUAUUCCAAUUUAGUCCUCCUACUUGUGAUAUUUUAUGCUUUUGUAGCUGCUAAUCAAUCACUUAAGUCCUCUUAAUUAUAAUUAACUCCCAUGAAGCUAAUACAUCUUCUUAAGCCGUUAACUAAUCAUACUUAACCUCAAUCAAAUUUUAAUUCAUAAUUAAACAAGAUUAGCGUUAAAUUAGUUUUAGACUCUAAUUAAGCACGUUUAAGGUUAAGUACUUAGGUAUUGUUGUUUAUUUAUGUCAUUACUACUAGGUAUUACAAUCACCCUUCAAAGCUAUUUUAGACGUGGGUUUCACAAUUGGAUUGGCCUUUGCAUUAGAGAUAUGUCCCUAACUAGAAGGUCCAUCUUGAGGCAUAAGCUCCCACUACCCUUCACUUCCUUCUGUUGCUUUUCCACUUUAAAAACAAGCUUGCACACAUCACCAUAAGUCUAGUAAGGCUACAAUUGGACAACAUUACCAAUUUUAGGUUUCAAACCUCUAAGAAAACAUGCUAUGGUUUGUUCUUUAAGUUUAACAAGAUCACAUUUCAUCGUGAGGUGGUCAAACUCUGCUGUAUAUUCUUCUAAAAACAGCUUCUUUUGUUCGAAGUUGUGAAGGUUAAGAAAAAUAUUUUCCUUGAGUUGUUUGGCAAAUAUUUUCUCUUCAGUUCCCUCCUCAUCUUUUCCCAAGUCAUUAUGCUUCCCCUUCCUUCAUGAGCCCUCUGUUUUUUUAAGAUUUUCCCACCAUAAAAAAAAAAAAGAACUUUCUCAACCUAAUAGCAACAAGUUUCACCCUACAAACCUCUAGAACUUCUUUGUAGUCAAACACCUGUUCAUAGUGUGAAACUAGUCAAUAAACUCGUCUGGUUGCAUUCUAUUUUCAAACUCUGGGAUAUCAACUUUAACAUCAAAGUCUUUUAGAACACUAUGAUUUCUUUGUACACAAGGAGGAGGAGAGACUUCUCUUAAAUGUUGGCUUGGAUCUCUAUGAAAAGGAUUGAUGUCUUCAUUUUCAUUGCUAGGAGCCUCAUGCUCUGUAUCAUGAUGGAAUUUAUUGUGCCCAAGAGCCUCAUAACAUUUUAAAUGAUGUUGUGGUUGUUGUACUUGUCUCCUUAAUUAUUUCACCUCAAUGUCACAAACGUCUCUUUCAUGACCAGGACGUUCUUCUUCAACAUUUUAUAUAUGUGACGACGACCAACCAUGAGAACUUAGGAUCUAUGCUUUGAUACUGAUUGACCCCAACAUAAAUGAAAAAAGAAAAGAACUAAAUAGAUAGGAAGGAAAAAUACAAGCUCACCAUCCAAGAAGAAAACACUAAGAAAUACUCUUUCUCUCUUUGACUUCCAAUUACCAUAACUUGGAACAACCCUCCAAGCAUGAACAAUUUCCAAAACUAUAUUUUCUAGGUAAAUUAUAAAGCCUUACUAAGAUCUCAAAAUCCACUGUAAUAUACCUAAGAAGUAGAACUUCUCCAAUUCUCAAGUAGCACUGGACAGCUGGACCUUUCUAUGGAAAACUAAAUAUAACUUUCUCUCUAGAACUCCUAAUGAAGUCCCGUUAAAUGCGUUGGAAUCUUAACUCAAAGACCUUUAAUGUGGCAUAUAGUAUGCAUAGGAAUUUUCAAUAUCCCAGUACUUGAUUUACCAUGAAUAUACCCUUACAAAAGUAGUUUUUACCUCCCUGCAUCUCACAUAAUUAAGUAAGGAGCUGCAACUUUUAUUUAAUUAGGUGUUAGAUCAUACAAUGGGACAUUCCUAUGUCACGCUUGGUUUGGUGUUUAUUAAAUAUUAAUUUUUCUUGAUGGUCUCUUGCUGCUUUUUGCUUGCAAAAUUAAAGUUACCCCACCUUUUAUUGUUCUAUUUUUGCAGUACUAAAUCAAAUCACAUGCAUUCCUUGUGUUUUUUUUCCAUUUUUUGACUCGAAACACCCUUUCUCAACUUCACUUAUGAUCACUAGUGAUCCAUUCUCGCUUGGAGCAAAUAAUUUGCUUUUUUCAUUUCCUAGUUUUAUUUCAUUUUAUUCCACUCUCUUCUUUGUUUUCUGUUUUUUCUGCUUUCAUUUGUUCAUUUUUUUCUCAGUAGUUACUGUCUGUUUUCUGAAGCAAAACUAGAAAAAUAAAAUAAAAAAUCCUAAUAAACUGAAAUGGUGUUUGCUUAAAUAACAUGUUUAGGGGAAUCAUUGUAAGAUCCAUUUCAUAUGUUGUUUUUCAUAUUACCACACAUUUGUGCAUUCCAUAUCAUAUCAUUGUAGAUGUUAAGAGUUAUUUCAACCAUGAGUUUUGGUAUUUUUAGUUGCCACAUAUCUGUCAGUCCCCCCUUCAUAUCUUGUUGGCAAUCUUACAAUCUUUUAGUUAGUUUUUGUCCUCAUUUUAUCGUAAUUUGAACUGAUAUUUCUAUUAAUAUUCUUAGAGUUUUUCCUUCCAAUUAUUGUAAGUUUUUAUUUUGGUUGAAAUUUUCAUGUUACCGAAUGGUAAAAUUUUGAUUAAUUAAUUCUUAAAUCUUGGUUUUCAUAUAUACUUUCCAACCCCAUUUUAUUUUUGCAUUUCUACAGUGCAUCUAGCAUCCCCAUUUUUGUCAGAGAUGACUCAUCCAUCCUCUCCAGAGUCUACGGUGCAGCCAUUUCCACGAGAGGAUCCAGCAUCCCCAUUUGAGUCGGAGACGAGUCAUUCGUCGUCUCCACAUGCCAUAGUGCAGCAGUUGCUUGUGCUGGAGCAUCCGGGAUCCCCAUCUCAGUCGGAGUUGAGUCAUAUAUCAUCUCCGCAUGCCACAUUGCAGCAGCCAUUUCUGUCAGAGAUGACUCAUCCAUUCUCUCCAGAGUCUACGGUGCAGCCACUUCCACGAGAGGAUCCAGCAUCCCCAUUUGAGUUGGAGACGAGUCAUUCGUCAUCUCCACAGGCCACAGUGCAGCAGCUGCCUGUGCUAGAGCAUCCAGGAUCCCCAUCUCAGUCGGAGUUGAGUCAUGUAUCCUCUCCGCAGGCCACAUUGCAGCAGCCAUUUCUGUCAGAGAUGACUUAUCCAUCCUCUCCAGAGUUUACGAUGCAGCCACUUCCACGAGAGGAUCCAGCAUCCCCAUUUGAGUCGGAGAUGAGUCAUUCGUCGUCUCCACAGGCCACAGUGCAGCAGCUGCUUGUGCUGGAGCAUUCGGGAUCAUCAUCGCAGUCGGAGUCGAGUGAUAUAUCAUCUCCGCAGGCCACAUUGCAGCAGCCAGCUCCACAUCCAUCCUCUUCAGAGUCUAUGGUGCAGCCACUUCCACGAGAGGAUCCAGUAUCCCCAUUUGAGUUGGAGACGAGUCAUUCGUCGUCUCCACAGGCCACAGUGCAGCAGCUGCCUGUGCUGGAGCAUUCGGGAUCAUCAUCGCAGUCGGAGUCGAGUGAUAUAUCAUCUCCGCAGGCCACAUUGCAGCAGCCAGCUCCACAUCCAUCCUCUCCAGAGUCUACGGUGCAGCCACUUCCACGAGAGGAUCCAGUAUCCCCAUUCCAUUCGGAGACGAGUCAUCUGUCGUCUCCGCAGGCCACAGUGCAGCAGGUGCUGGAGCAUCCGGGAUCCCCAUUACAGUCAGAGUCGAUUCAUAUAUCAUCUCUGCAGGCCACAUUGCAGCAGCCAGCUCCACCACCACUGUUCAUGCACCCUACGUUGUUGAAAUUAUGGCUUCGGAGAUGGUGGAUUAUAUGCAUGAUAGCAGCUAUUGGGUUGUUAUUUUUGAUUAGUUGGAGCAUUCACACAUCACAGAAGAAUGACGCGAACAUCUGGUGCACCACUCCCAAUGCGACAGUUACCAAGGAAAGUAAUGCACCUAGCUCCACCGUUCAGGGUGCCCCCAUCCUCUUUAGGACUAUCAUGGCAGCAGUUGAUGCAGCACCGGGUGAUAAUGAAUGGCCUUUCUGUAUACUGAUACAGAAAGGAGUUUAUAAAGAAAGAAUUGUGAUAGAAAGAAAUAAAAGAAAUUUGGUUUUGGUGGGGGAAGGAAUUAACAAAACCAUCAUAUCAUCAAAUGGAGCUGUCUUGUCCACCGAUCGCUAUAUUUCAGAACUCGCAACCAUUUGUAAGUUUUUCAACUUUAAUUUUAUUUAUUUUUUCAGUUUUAGGUUUAUAUUAUGUAAGCUAUUUCAUGUUAAAGUAGUUUUAUGGCUGAAAAAAAUAUUAUUGCAAAAGACUUUUAUUAGUUAAUUAUUUGUUGUAUUUUAAUCCCUUAGUUUUUUUAAGUAUUUUAAAUGUUAUGAUUCCGUUUUAUUUAAUAUUUUAUUUUUGUGACACUUUUAUAGGGGUUCUAGGAAAAAGAUUCAAGGCAAUGGAUAUUUCAUUUGAAAACAUGGGAGCUGAUCAACUAGAGAGUGUUGCAUUGAAAAAUUCAGGAGAUCAGUCUAUCUUCCAUAGAUGCAGCUUCAUGUCACAACAAGUCUCCAUUCAUAGUGAUCAUGUGGGGCAACAACUCUACCAUGAUUGCUAUAUUAGUGGCUCACAACACUUGAUCUAUGGAGAUGGACAUGCCAUGUUUCAAAGAAGUACCAUCCAUGUAAAUAAUUUGAAGCCAGAAGUGGGGGCUGUGAUUGCACUGCAAGAAAGAAGAAGUAAGUUCUUAGUUGGUGGGGGAUUUGUAUUUCAUUUAUGUACCUUUUCUGCUAGUACCCAAAAAGCAAUUAAUUACUUAGGUGCUUCUUCUGGACCUUCAUCUUUGAUUGUAAUUAUGCAAUCAUACUUAGAUAGAUCUAUUAGUCCUUUGGGAUGGUUAGUGAAGAAUAGGACAAGGUCUAUCUAUUUUGGUGAAUACCAAAAUACAGGUCCAGGAGCUAGACUAGAGCGAACAUCUCCCAAUUUCCACCAUAUCAGCCUUAAGGAUGCUUCUUCUUUUACUAUUAGAAAUUUUUUAAGUAGUACAGUUUGGAUUUUAUGUAAAGACAUACAUUGUAAAUUGGAUUUGGCAUGAACAUUAGUUACUACUUGUUGCAAUACACUAUUAUCAUUCUAUGUAUUGUGAGUUAGCAUUCUAAUCUACUUGUUGUAAUACACUAGAUUUCUUAUGCUAUCUAUAUAAAGUCAGCAUACUGGUCUUCACAGAAUCCCUUUGAACCAUCUCUUGUUGGCUGUAAGUUAAUAUUGUAGUAUUGAGAGAAUCUUUGAAGAAGGUUAAUAGAUAGCUUGUGGGAGGGGGAUAUCAGCUAUGAUACAUGUAUCACCAGGAAAUGAAGCCCAGGUGUGGUGGUGGUGUAUAAAGAACAUAAUUAUUGCAACUCCCUCUGAUGUGAAGUCACUUUUGACGAGGAGAUGACUAAGAAAUUUGCUCUUGAUGAGAAGAUUCUUACGUUGACCAAGAUGUUUGUUGCCACUGAAUACAUCUGCAGUGUAGAGAUGGAGACGGGAAGGGUGUGGGAAGGAGUAUGAUCACAAUUCAGAAGCAUAAGAUGGAGAUGAUGCUGCAUACAUGCUCAGGGAAGUAGGUGUUGAGCCUAAUGGGGAUGACGUGAAAUUGAGCCUUCCAAUUCCCAGUCAGGCAUAGUAGUGAAGGAAACAUUCGCAGCAAGACAAGGCUUUGGCCACAAGGCAGCAGAAGAGGUAUGGGCCUUUACUAUUUGUUAUCAGUCCCUCAUGGAAGUAUAGGCGAGCAUUAUGCUGUCAUACCACAGGCAUGCCUUCGGACUCGGCGAGCAUUACAAUUCUGUGAUCCCUGGCCUGGUGAUAUAGGUACCGUCAUUCAUAUGUGAAUACAUUAGGUGUGCAAAUUAUUUUUAUUUUAUCUGUGUGAGAACAUAACCCAUAUUCGAGCCUUGGAAUCUCAUCAAACUUGUCAACAUUUUUAUCUUCAAUUAUUAGCCAGUGCGAUCACUGCAUCCAGGUUCUAUCCAUUUUAUUUAAACCUGUUUCAGGUCUCCCCUCCAGUACUUAAAAGUACUGAAUUGCACUGAAAAGCAGCUAGGAUUGGCUUUUUACCAAGGUGUUUUCCUUGUUAAUAAUCUACAUCAUUUUCCUUGUUCCAGUAAAGAGGGCAAAUAUUCUUAAAAAGCUUGGUUGUUUAAUAUGCGGAUUUUGUGAUAUGAUGUUUGUGAAAAUAAAGCAGCUGCACUUGUAUGCAACCAAAAAGAAAAGGGUCAGCACACCUGGUUUCUGGCUUUUUUUGUUCUGUGGGAAGUAGUUUUCUGCUCAUUUAGACGAAUAAUGCUUCAUAGCAUGGACAAGAGGUGAGAAAGGCUUGAAGAAUGGUUCCUCUUUGCUUUUUUUUGAACCAACUUGGAAAGGAAGAAAUUGAGGAACCUUCAAAAGGGAUUUAACACACAAACCCGUCUUUUAAAGAAUUUGCAGCAGAAGCAACAAAAGCCUUUCCCAUUUCUUAUCAAUCCUUCAUGGAAGUAUAGGCAAAUGUUAGAUCAAGUGUUCGAGUGAAGUUUUGCUUUCCAUGUGUGAAAAGGCUUACAUAAAUACUGGGCCUAAAAAUUAUUGAUUCCAUGAUCAACUAAGAUGACAAUGACAGUAGCAAAGGAAAAAUAUUGAUGGUAGCAUAUAGAUUAUAGAAUUAGACAUUGGUAUUCAUUAAAUAAACGAGGGGAAGAUACCAGAACACUGCACAAGACUCCAUCCCUCGGUUUCACAAUUUGGGGAAUCAAAGGGACCUGUGACCACCUAAGAAAAGAGGACAUAUUUUCUUGUAUACAAAUAGUUACAAAACCUUGCAGCUAGGGGCGAAUAUCUCAUCCUACACACUAUACAAAAACAAUUAGCCUCGUUCAAUUUGCAACUCUUCCUUAUCUUCUCCCUUUAAUUUACAAACAACAACAAUAAUAAAAAUUAAAAAAAAAAAAAAAAAAAACUAGCCAACCAAGGCAUGGUACUUUCAUGGAUCCUCUCUCAUAUCUGGCCUUUCUCCUGGCCUGCAAAGCCAGCUGAGCAUCCCUCUCCCACUCAAAUUCCCUGCAAUCUGCUCCUUGCAAUAAAGAAACCUUCUCCAGGUACUGGUCUGAGAUCUUAUAUGCAUCCAACUCCUCUUCCAGACCCUUUUUGUCUUCCUUGAACUCACCCCCAUCCUUUCUUGUCUUGUCGAGCAUGAUCAGCUGCAGAUGCUGUACCAGCUGGACCUUUGGCCCUUUCAGAUGCCUCCUCUGAAGCAUCAACAAGCUUCUUUACUUCUAUCUCCACCCGCAAAGUCCCAUACCUCUGCAAUCUGUGACAUGGGGAGGAAAAAAAACAAAAAACAAAUACAACUGUCAUAUGGUUCACAGAACCAGUGAAAGGUUAUACCAUUAAGGCGUUCAAAUGAAUUUCAAAUUUAUCAUUUUUGAAGCUAUGCCAAACAAAUUUUAGUUCACCUCAAUGCUUGGGUAUUAAAGCAUAUGCAGUUUUUGAACUAGGAGUAAAUCCCACUGAGAUCAUACUGAUAAGAUGUCAAGAUAGGAAAUUAAAUAAAUUAGCUUAACUAUUACUGUUUGUCUUCAUUAUUUAAGUUGAAUCCUUAACCCACCAGGAACAAGCACCAACCAAGCCUGAGUUUUUUCUUUUUCUUUCUUUCUUUUUUUUUUUUCCUUUUUUGGGUCAAUUAAAUUGAUUGUAACCAGGAAGCCAAUUCACCAAGCUAGGGAAGCAUGUAGCAGUACAAGUGAUACAAUAAGCUUACUUCAACUUUUCCUCUGCCUGAAGCAGCUGCUGCAGCAUCCUAACUGCGGAAAGAGCAGCAGCAGCAAGUCUCUUCACCUCAUCAUUGGUGCUAUUCUCUGUAACACUAGAUCCCUUCUGUUGUACAUCUUGCUGAAGAUAAACUCUCUUCUUUGGCCCCAGGCCCAUAUAAAUGUCAUACACCUGUAUCAUAAAAUUAAGGUAAAAGACAGAAGUCUGGCCAACCAUUCCCAAAUGAACAGGAUAAUCAGAAAAUCCUCACAGUCGAAGUUCUGUUCACAGUUGAACUGGGUUUGUUUGUAAAAGAUUUGAGCACCUUAACAGAUACUCCUUUAUUCAUUUGCUCCCACACAGCAUCUACCUGAGAUUCUCUUUUUAGCAGAAUGAAGUGGCUUGUCAGCUAUCUUAUGUGGCAUUACUAAUCCUUAGCUUUGAUAAUGAAAACAUCAAUAAAAAGAAUUAAGUCUCAAGAAACAGCUUACACUCUUACCACUUUCUUCAGGUUGUGCCUCUGAGUUUGAAAUAGCUGCAACUUCUUUGACAGUCUCCAUUGAUAACUUAUUCUUCUUUUCCAAAGCACCUGAAACACAUAGUUCAACCAGUAAAGAAGAGACGCAGAAACCACAAUGAAUACAUAAGGCACCACAGUCAAUGGGCCUACCUUGAAAAUCAAAAUUGUGAAAAGUUUGGGAUGAACGGAUUAUUUUACCAUAUAUUGCUUAAGAAGAAAAAAAUAUAUUUUAGUGAUUUAUUUCAAAAUAUAUAUAAAUUUACUUUUACAAAUGGAUGCUCUACACCCACAUGCAAAAUGGUCUACAUUCUAAAAUCAUCUAAUCAUUUUGAUUCUUAGGCUCUUACAGCCCAGGCAACUUGCAAGUUGAGGAGCACUGCGCCAUAGGCCAGCCUAAUAAGGAAUCAAGGAUCAUCAAACUGUACACCACACCAUGUCAGAUAUGUCGCAUGUACACUAGAAUUUUUGAGUAGCAUUUUGGCAGACAUAUCUUUAUGACCACCUAGAGCCUAUUGCUUAACUAACUAGGCAUCACCACACUACCACUACUUGGCUCACACCUAACAUAGCAGAGUUGGAGGUCCACAUUGGCAAAGCAUUCUCUUUGCCAAAUCUGGACACUUAAAUUCUUAUCCUUCAAAAGCUCAAUUAUCACAAGGAUGUUGUCAAUCAUCCUUUCUCUUUCUCCAAAACAACACCACUGAUUACAAGUUAUAAGCUCCGUAUCAUACCCAUCCUCAUCCAUCAUCUUGCCCAAGACACCCUCCUUAUCCUAAUAAGCUUGUGACACAAUAGACAAUGCCCACAUCAGCUAUUGCAGAAAGUCUGUAUCAGCUUAUUGAAAAAAGAAGGAAGUCAUAGUCUUUAUAAGAAAAUCAAUAGAGGCACAGAAGGGGUAAGGUAAACGAUAUCAAGGAUCCACAAAUUGUUGUAAACUAGUAUAUCUAUAAUGUAAAUCCUCUGUGGGAUUGAACAGUAAAAAAGUGAAGGCUUAAUAUAUGAAUUUGAAGCAAACAGCAUGCCAAUUCAGAUAACUGAUUUAUAGGCAAACAGAAGAUAUGGUAAACAGUUCCAAUUCUUUGGUCAUAGCCAUUGAAGUCAACAUUCGUCGAUUGAUAUGCACACUUAUGUGUGCUGCUUGCAACUCACAAGGGCAGAAAGGACCAAACUCCAGGGCUUGUGCAAAAGCUUUAAUGGGUGUCUUCCGGGUCGGAUCUUAAAUGGGUCUAUGAGGGCAAUAUUGUCCAUCUACUAUUCACUUCCUCAUAAAGUAAUUUUAUAAAGGGGAAAUGUUAAAGAGAAUUUGUUAAAUGGGCCUCCCAAUCUCUCUCCACCCUGCAUAUAUAUUUUUUUAAAUGACAUAUAAAUAUAAAAGGGCAAAAAUAUCCGCUUCUUCAUUUCUUCUUUCCCUUCUUCCAUUUCAUUUUUUAAGAAAAAGAAAAAGAAAAAGAAAAAAAAAGUAGAGGUGGUGGUGGCGACCAAGGAGGACCACCAUUGCCACUUUUUGUUUUCUUUUUUUACUUCAUGAAGAGAGAAAGUGGAGGUAGGAUUAGUUUCAGUGGAGCAAAGAACAUAAGGAUAUUUUUAUCCUUUUUUUUUUUUUUUUGAUAGGUGAAAGCAAUUAUAUUAAAAAGAGAAGAGUAUACACAAUGUAUACAAGCAACCAAAAAAACAAAAAAGCGUGGAAACACAAAAAUAAGCACCCACACCCUACAGAGUUCCUAACCAAUCCACAAAAUCAAGCAUCGACAUGGAGCCAUCCCCAAUAUAUAGUCUUACCCAAUCCUAAAAUAGAUACAAAAACGAACUUUUAAAAAAAUGAAUAGAACAUUCACAAGUCUCAAAAGCUCUCCUAUUUUUCUCCCUCUAAAUAAUCCAAAAAAGACAUAAAGGAACAACCUUUCAAGCCUUUUUCCUUUUUCUACCAACAAAAAAGCCUCCCCAACUCAAGAGCAAACCUCACACCGAGGAGUGCAUCACCCACCAUACACCAAAUAAAGCAAAAAUCAGCAGUCACGACUUAUGAGCUUUCGGACAUUGAAGAAGAUAUGUUAGGGAAGGAAGCAAAUAAAAUGGGUAUAUUUAGCAUUGUCAUAUGAAAAUUUAUUUAUCGAUAAUCCAUAGAUAUUGUAGAUUUCUUAUAUAUAUAUAUAUGUGUGUGUGUGUGUGUGUGUGUAGAAGAGAAGAGGGAUUGAAGAAUAAAAGGUAAAAAUUCUUCUUCUUGAUUAUUCUGCACAGAGAAAUGUACAUAUAUAUAUAUAUAUAUAUACAAAAAUCCAAAAACCUAAAUUUAAGGACCUUCUCAACUCAAUUACAACAAAAUCUCAUUGAUUACAAGAUUGCCUAAUUCUCUAUUUAGAAUCACAUCUUUAUUAAUUUCAAUAUUCCACAGUCCUCCUCAAGCUGCUAAAUAGAUGUUUUCCAUUCCCAACUUGAAUAUACUUACUUGAAACUUUGUACUGCUUAAACAUUUUGUGAGUAUAUCUACAAGUUGGCGGUCAGUGGAUACAUAAGGGGUACAAAUCAAUCCACUAUCUAGUUUCUCUUUGAUAAAAUGCCUAUCAAUUUCUAUGUGUUUCAUUCCAUCGUGUAGCAUUGUAUUAUGUGCAAUACUGAUUGUAGAUUUAUUGUUGCAUUAAAGUCUCAUUGGCCUAUCCCAUUUCAUCUUUAAAUCUUCCAAAAUAAUUUUCAACCAUAGUAGUUCACAGACUCCUUGGGCUAAAUUAUGUUUAUGCACUAGAUCUUGCUACCAAACUCUGUUUCUUAUUUCUCUAUGUCACCAAAUUCCCACAAUACCCAAUAGUUGAUCUUCUAUCAAACACAAAUCAAGCAUAAUCUGCAUUUUUGUAUGCUUCAAGUACUAGUCCCGAACUUCAUUUAAACAGCAUGUCAUUUCCUAGAGGCCCCUUAAGGUACUGUAGUACACGAUUAGCAGCUUGCAGAUGAACCUCUUUUGGAUUGUGCAUAAAUUGGCUAAUCACACUCACAGUAGAUGCUAUAUCCGGGCUCAUUUUUGUAUGCUUCAAGUACUAGUCCCGAACUUCAUUUAAACAGCAUGUCAUUUCCUAGAGGCCCCUUAAGGUACUGUAGUACACGAUUAGCAGCUUGCAGAUGAACCUCUUUUGGAUUGUGCAUAAAUUGGCUAAUCACACUCACAGUAGAUGCUAUAUCCGGGCUCGCGUGAGAGAUAUAAAUGAGUCUUCCUACCAAACGUUGAUGCAUCUCUCUAUCUACCACAAUAUCUUCCUCAGUCUCUCCAAGCUUAUGAUUAAGAUCUAUUGGUGUGCUUGUUGGUUUACACGUCAACUUCCCUGUUUCCCUGAGAAGGUCUAUUACAUAUUCCUUGCUUUUAGUGCAAAUAACAAGUCUGGAUGUAUCAACCAAUCCAUAACCAAGCCUCUUGCCACAAGUCCAACCUGUGGUUGGUGGAAACAAUGUGAUGACUUGGUUUGCCUCAUGGAUUGUGAAUGUCGUUAACGAAGAACAUGCAAGAGAUGUCAUUUAUGUAGACACAACAAGAGACCUAUGGAUUGAUUCACAAUAAAUUAAAGCAUUAGAGGGUCAAAACAUAGACUCUUACAUCUUUGCCUCAAAAUAAAAAAGCAAUGGGAUGCAAGUAGGCUUAUAAAAUUAAGCAUAAUCCAAAUGGUGCCAUUGAAUGUUACAAGGUUCACUUAGUAGCUAAGGGUUAUAAUCAACAAGAAGAAAUUGAUUACCAAGAGACUUCCGCCCUAGUUGCUAAGCUCACAACCAUGCAUUGCUCACUUGCUAUUGUUGCAAUUCAAAAUUGGCAUCUUCACCAACUUGACAUCAACAAUGUUUUUCUUUAGGAAGACUUAGAUGAAAAGAUAUACAUGUAACUCCCACUAGAACUGAAAAUAUGGUUUACAAACUUCAAAAUCCCUUUAGAACCUUAAGCAAGCUUCGUAACAAUGGUUUGCCAAACUAUCAACCACAUCGAUGUCUACAAGUUACAAGCAAUCCAAGGCAAAUUACUCCCUGUUCACUUAAGCUUCAAAUAACUCCUUCACAAUCAUUCUUGUCUCUGUUGAUGAUAUAAUUAUUGCAAGUAAUUAUAUUGAAGGAAUUAAGGUGAUCAAGGAAAAUCUACAUGGAAAUUUCACACUAAAAAAUCUUGGAAUCUUCAAGUACUUCCUCCACAUUGAAGGGGCAUGUUCCAACUUCUAAAAACGAGAUUUAUUUAAGUCAACAAAAAUAUACUCAAGAAUUAUUCAAAGGGUUUCGUCUCCUUGGAACAUGUUCUUCAUAAACUCCUAUGGAGCCAACUCUGAAAUUAAGUAAAUAAAAUGGAGAACCUUUGUUAGAUGCUUCUUGUUAUAGGCGUUUGAUAGAAAGGUUGCUUUAUCUCAUAGAUGCAAUCAAUGAUAUCACGCUCAUCAGUAGAAGCAAAAUAUUGUGCAAUGACUACCACUUGCUAUUAGAUUAAUUGGUUACAUUAUUUACUUGCAGAUUUUAGAGUUCAAUACCCUCACCCAAUGCAUCUAUAUUGUGACAACAAGGCAGCUUUACAGAUUGUUGCUAAUCUAACUUUCCAUGAACGAACUAAGCACAUUGAAAUUGAUUGAAACAUGGUUUGUGAAACGAUUCAAAACAAAAUUGUCUGUACUCAAUUUGUUCGAUCACAACGACAAUCAGCUAAUAUUUUCAUGAAAUCUCUUGGUAUAGAUCUUCUCCAUUGCUUGCUUUCUAAAAUGGGUGUUCAUGAUCUCCAGAUGCCAUCUUGAAGGGUAGAUAUGGAAGAUAUGGAGUUGAUUCUUUCCCUUGAUUCUCCUUGAGCUUCUCCUUGAUAUCAACCCAGUAUUUUAUACUAAUUUGUUUCUUUAUUUCAUUUAUUUAGUUUCCUCCGUUUCCUUAUUUCUUUCAUUUAGUUUCCAUGUAUAUACCUUUGUACGAAUAGUAUAUAAACCAAUGUAAUCGUUUAGAAAUUGAUUUAGCAAUUGAAUAUAAUUGAAAGAGAUCAACAUGCUGUGAAGUUGAAUGCGUUACCUGUACAAUCUCUAACAUCAAGCUCUUGGCAAUUUGCAGGUCUCGUUUCUCCAAUGGAAUCAAGGAUUCUUCCAGUGCCAAAUAAGUGAAAUCAAUAUUUGCAAUGUAAGAAGACAUCUCCACUGCACUAGUUACAAGAAGCAAAUAUAUAUAUACUAUGCCAUCACUAGAAUUGAGAAUCAAUAAUUAUUUAUCUUUUCACUAGCAAUGUGAUAAAAAGACAUUGUACUUUCAAAAACUCUUCCAUCUAAAUCCCCUGUAGACAUGAUUCAGCAUAAACAAUGCUUGUUUUAAUGCAACAGGCAUUUCCACUACAAGAUUCAGAAACAAAAAUAAAGUUCCAAACUACAUCUAUAAACAACAUGACGGAUCCAGGACCCAAGAAAAUGGCAUAGCAAUUGAUCAACUUUAGCAUUUUGUGUUUGUUAGGAAUCUUUUUUUUUUUUUGUGUCUUUUUGAUAGGAAAACAAAAGCAUAUUAUAGCUAUAGGAGAAGAUACAAGAAAGAUGAGGUAAGGCACACUAAAGUAUAUAGGGAGUAUACAAAAGGCGAUGAGCAAAAAGAGAGAUGAAAGAAGAGUACAACACCCACCCCCAAUUAAUUAUCCCCUAAAAAAUCAACCAAAUUCAUCAUAGACAUAGAAGACCCAUCUAAAUGAAGUAUAAUACCUUCCAGGAAAUUAUGCAUUAAAGAGGAUUUAGGCAAUUUUUCCGAAAAUUCCACAUAAAGCAUAAUUGUUCUGAAAUUAUGCUAAAGAUGAAUAUUGUGUUUAAAGAUGUUGUAUUUUCUUUAUUUUGGAAGUUGUUUGAGGUUUUUAGGAAUAAAAUGUGAGUCUCUAUGCAUCUAGGACCCAAGAAAACGGCAUAACAAUUGAUCAACUUUAGUAGUUUUAAGUCUAUUAGAAAUCUUGUGUUUAAUGAUGUUGUAUUUUUGAGAUUUUGGAAGUUCUUUGUGCUUUUUAGAAAUAAAAUUUGAGGUUGUAUGGUUCACUUUGUUCAAUCUCAAGCUUAACAGUUGAUCAACAGAAGUCAUAACUGGUCUAGCGUCCAACAAACCAAUUGCUUCCAGCAGAUAAGCACCAUAUUCCUUUAGACAAUAUGAAUUCCAUUAUUUAGUACAACAAUAUGAUCACCUUGGAAAGUACUGGAUUUAACAAAGAUCUUUCGCAUCAAAAGAGCUUGUCCAGAUGAGUCUCCACAUGAGUCCAGCCAGUUCGGUUGCUCUUUUGAUAACAAUAUCAUAAACAUGCAUAAGCAAAAUAAACCACUCUACCUCUCAAAUAGAAAAGUACAAUGAUCUGAGGAGGUCAUGGAGAAAAAACAUUUCAGAUGUCCAGCAAGUGAAAGGCCAACAAGGUAUUCUCUGCAUUUGCAAGAGCUAAUGCCAAGAGCAACCUAUGCAACAAAAAUAUCAGUUUUGAACUAACUAUUACUAGCAAGGUAAAAUGAAUAGAACUCAUUGAAUUCAUAGCCUUUAAUUUUUAUUUUAUUUUUUUUGAUAAGUGAAUUCAUCGCCUUUAAUAUAUUUUACAAAAUUAUUAUUCUUAGUUUUGAUUAACUAUGAAUGGUAUCUAAAAAAGUAGAAUUGCUGAUGCUCAAUUUUGAGUUCUUACUGAAUUCAAUAGCAAACCAAGUGCACCUUCUCAAACACCACCAUCAUAUGCUUUAACUGCAGAGUCAUCCUCUUGAGUAAAAUGAGGGAAAGAAAAUCUUGGAUUUUAUUUUCAUGCUGAUCAAGUGUCCCGGGGACUCCACGUCACAACAGUAAUAACAUAUGACUUUUUUUCUUUUUUUCUUUUUUUAAAUUUUAUUUUAUUGCCUAUCGUUUAAAAAAACAUGAUCCAGAACUCUCAUAAUCCUCCACUGUUUGCUGAGAAAAAUAAGGAAAUGAUUAAAAACACACAGAAGCAAAGUUUGAACCUAGCAUGUAACUAUUUUCUUCCCCUAUUAGCCAAAAGAUCCAGUAAAAAAAAAAUUAAAGAUUUUUCCCAUUACCCAAAUCCCAAACUAUGUCAAAAAUCCUUUAUUAAAAAGUGUAAUUUUCCAACACUUUCUGGGCAAGAAAACAGAAAAUAACAUUUCUGGAAAAUCCAGACUUCUGGAGAAAACAGAAAUCUACCUGUUCCAUCGUCACUGAUGACAAGCAGCUUGAAAGCUCAGGUAAUCAACAACUCAUUGAUUGGGAAGCUCCAAAACCAAAAUGAACAAUCAAAAAUAGAAGCUGAUCAGAUCUUAAAAAAAUCAGAGACAAAAAAAAAAAAAAAAAAAAUCAUAACCCUAGAUUGAAAAUGAAAGAUGAGAGGGAAAGGGAGGCCACCAUUUGAAGGACAAGAGAGAGAGUGAGAAUUUGAACCCAACCCCAUCAAACCACCUUCUCUUGGGUAGGUUUCCAAAACCAAGGGUUGUGGAGCUUCUCGAGGGUGACCUUAUGAAGACGAUACAAGUAAGAGCUAGAUGUAGCUGUUGGUGAAGUUCCUGGCAACAGCUCUUGGUUUGCUUGCCAGCAGCAGCCCUUUGCAAUUGGAGUGGCGAGUGCAGUUUCAGGUGGAAGAUCUGCGACAGCUGAGUAUGGACAUAGGGUAGGAAACGUUGGGUAUUUUUUUACUUGGGAAAAUAAGGGUAAUUUAUAUACCAAACAGAAGAUGGCGCUUUUAAAGAGCACCAAUGUUAAGCUCAUCUUGAAAUGACGUUCCAGAAGCGCCAUUAUCUCAAAAUGUUAUUGGUUCUUCCUAUAAAGCACCAAUAUACAAGCAUCAGCAAUAAUCAUUUUUUAGUAAUCAAUUAUCAUGCUUUUUACAAGCACUAGGAAAUCAAGUGUCAUUAAUUUAAUUUUUUGUAGUAGCCUGCAUAAUACUUUUCUUGUGCAACACAAAAUUCAUAUAUUCGAGAUUCAUAUCUAGAUCCAAAACUACCACAUAUCAAAAUUCAAACUCAUCUCAAAGUGACAAUCUGAAGAUUAUACUGGAUGAUUUCAAGCAUGGUGACCAAAUAUUCAUUUUAAACGACUGGUGUUGUACAAGUAGAAAGUCUGAUGAAUCAAGUAGCUAUUUCCUAUUUCACUUUCAGGUUGCCCAAGACAUAUGAGAAAUGUGAUUUGCUUCACUUGAGGUCUCCUAGGUACUUUCAGUGAGGGAUAUUCUACGGAGUUGGCAUGUAAUUAAAUUCAUAAGAAGGAAUGAAGAAAGGCUCAUAUGAGAUUAUUGUGGUGCCUUGGAAAACAGUGUCAGUCAAUUUUUGAAAAGAAUAAAAACAUAUGACAGCAAGCUUGCUGAAUCUAAUUUGUGAUCUGGGCAUGUGGAUUGAAACGCAUUUGAAGAGUAGGAGACAGUUUUAAGCUUCAUUGAUAGUUUGGGUAGGUUAUGGCGUUAAGGGGUUCUUUGCCCUGUGUUGAGGAUGCUUCCCUUUUUUUGCCUUUGAUUUUGUGUGCGCUUUGGUUUGGGUAAUCCUUGUCUGCGCUCAAUAUACUCGUGCAACCUUAUGGCAUUCUUUAGCAAAUUUACUAAUAAGAGCUGCUACCCUUGAUAAGGGUAGGAUUUCCAUAUAACCGGGGAAUCCUUGUUUCUCUACCUCUCAUGCAAUACUUGAUUGUUCAAGCCAGUUUAUUAGAUCUUAUGUUAAUGACAAAUGAAAAACCAAUUGAUCAUAACAACAGGUUAUCUUUACCUUCCCAAAUGUAUCAUGCAAUCCAUCCUCAACAACAAAGUAAAAAGUUUUGAGUCCAAACGGGAUUCAAGCUAUCAUUCACAACCUGAAAGCAUAAAAAAAAAAAAAACCAAAAAUUAAGUAAACCCAUAAUCUGCAUAGUGAGAUAAAGUUACUUCCAAUAUAAGAAUUUCAGGACACAACAUUUAUGCAAGAGCUCAGGUGACCUUCCCAUUCAACACCUAUGGGUGUCAUCUCCUUUUAAGUGUUUGUGCAUUAUGAUGCCCCACAGGUCCAAGGAAAAAAAAAAGAAGCAAAGCUUCUUCAAAAUAGAAAGUAGAAGCACCUUUAGAAUACUCCCAACAUAAAAGAAAAACCAAAAGAAUCUCAGCUAGGACAGUCAAACCCUUACCCUAGUUUUGCUCCUAGUAACUAAUUUUUUCAAGAUAAGUAAAGCAUAGAGAUCUCUUUUCCCAUUAGACAUACCACAGGUAACACUUCUGCAGAUAUCACCUUAAGAAUCUCCACUUGUAAGAAUCUCCAAGGAUGUCAUUGAAAAUUAAGGGGCAAAAGGGUUGGCAAACCCAUUCUCCAUGCUAAAAGGAACAUAGAAAAGCUCUGGUGCACAAAAAUGAAAACCAAAUGAAUAAAAAAGCUGAGACAAUUUUUUUUUUGAUAAGUAAGCAAAGAUAUUGUAUUAAAAAGAGACGCUAAAAUAGCAGCUCAAGAUAUAUAAGAACAAGAUACAGUCACCCCCUUACAAUUGUAACCAAAAAGAAAACUGUCCAAACAAGAUGUACAAAAAAAAAAAAAACAGCACCCCCCCACCCCCAACAAGAACUCAUCCAAUCAAUGAAAUCUAUUAACGUCGAAAGACCAUCUUCUAUAGACAGUUUGGUCUCCGACCAAAGUGAAAAAACAAAAGAAGUUUUCAGUUUUUGCACCCCAUCUUUAAAGGCAAUUCUGUUUCUAGUCUUUCAAACAGACCAAAACAAGCACAGAGGGCCUGCUUUUCACACUGUUCUGCGCUUUUUGCCCACCCAAGCUUCAUCCUAACCCAAAAAGGGUCUCCCUUACUAAAGAAGGGAACACCCAACACACACCGAAUAGGGUAAAAAACAGUUUCCACACCUCCCUCGUUGUUUUGCAAUGGAGGAGAAGAUGGUCAAUAGACUCCUCAUAAACUUGGCACAAAAAGCAUCUAUUUACUAAAGCCCAUCCUCUCUUUUGAAUUUGGUCUAAAAUUAGAAUUUUUCCAAUGAGGCUUCUCAAGCAAAGAAACUAAUUUUUUCCUACACCCAAGAGUUCCAGAUUAUCUUCAUUGGGAAGCACACUGAUGAAUUAGGCUCUAAGACUUUGUAAAGGGGCUUUAUUGAAAAGUUGUCAUCUUUGGACUCCAACCACCUCACCCCAUCCUCCUCAUCCAACAUCACUUUUUCCCCACACAAUUGCCCCAGCAGGUUCUCCACCUCAUCCAGCUCCCAAUCAUUGAAAAGCUUAGUAAAACCAGGGUUCCAACUCUCCACCCCCCACCCUUUUCCCCACUUGCUAAAACAGUCCAUAAAUCACUUACCUAAGCCUGGCUGCAGCUAACGCAGAUAAGAAGGGGAAAGAAUCCCACAACAGUGAGGUUCCACACCACUUGUCCUUCUAAAAGCUCACCCUUGGGCCAUUACCCACCACAAAAGAUAUUCUAGAGCUAACAAGGUAGCUAAGUUUCCUAAUUUAUUUCCACAACCCUACUUCAUGCCCCUCCCUAACCUCAUGGGGGCACCACCCACCUUGAUCCUCCACAUAUUUCCCCCUUAUAACCUGGUUCCAAAAAGUCUCCAUUUCAUUUGCAAAACGUCACGUCCAUUUACCAAGGAAAGUCUUGUUGAGCGUAGCAACACUCUUAACCCUCAACCCCCCUUUACUUUUAUGUGAACAAACUGUUGACCACCUCACUAAAUGAGGUUUUCGCUCAAGAGCUGCACCUCCCCAAAUAAAAUCCCUCUAAAUCUUCUCCAAUCUCAUUUUAACCACUUUUGGCAAAUGGAGGUUGGACAUAAAAUAAAUAGGCAGGUUGGACAAGGCACUACAAAUCAAUGUAAUUCUCCCACUCUUAGAGAUAUAUUGUCGCUUCCACAUGGCCAACCUUUUGCGGAAUAUUUCCUCAAUACCAUCCCAAGCUGCCACGGAGUUAAAAGAAGCCCCCAAAGGCAUCCCAAAGUAAUUAGAAGGUAAACUACCCACCUUGCAGCCCAGCUCACAAACCAAAUCAUCCACGUUCUCCAUCCUUCCCACAAGGAUCAGCUCACUUUUAUCCAAAUUAACCUUCAAACAAGAGAUUGCCUCAAAUUAACCUUCAAAAAAAGUGAGUCAAUUGAAACAAAUAAGAAAUAAAUGUUUUGGAUAUCAUCACCAACUAUCUUGCCUAAAAGAGCUUCAUGUCACAUAAAGGAUCACAUCGAAAUUGUUGAUGCAAAGUUCUAAGGUUCAUAACAGAGCCAUCUAGAUCAUGACACUUAAGUCAUUGGUAGAUGAACUGCAAUAAUUUCAACUUGUACCAAUUAGCACAAAAAAAAAAACAUAGGAACCCUCAUUUCAACAAAAAACAAAUAUUUAGAAAAUAGACACAUAGUAGACCCACAGGAUGCAUGAAGUAAAAUCUAAAAACAGGAGAAUUGAUGGAUGAGAAAGUUGGUUGACAUUAUAAACCAUAAAUAAAGCCUCAAAUGCAUAUUGUCUAUGAUUAUAAUAGCAAAAAAAAAUACAAAAGGUAGAUAAUUAUGUUCAAUGAAAGCGACAAUCUACCAUAGUUAUAGGAAAUACUUCAACCCAAUGUCCACAUUAGUCUCAAUCACCAUGAAAAUUUUUCCAAUACUCAUCAUCAAGUUGUAUCAAUAAUCUUCCUCGAGAGAGAUAAAAAGAAAGCGAUUUGCAUUGAGAGAGAUAAAAAGAAACAAUAUGAUUGAAGGGUGUGUGUAGGCCUAAGUAUGCACACUCAUCCUCUCUCCUUAACCAAUAUGAUUGUAAAACUAGUCAUAUACUUUUUUUCCUUUCUUUUUUCUUUUUUGAAAAGUACCUCAUCUACUAUGAAACAUUAUUAUUAAUAUAAAUACUCCCCAAAUGAUAUGAGGCAAAAGUACAUCCAUAUCCAAUUUGGGAAACAAAUGAUAGCUCUAACAAUUCAAAUUCCAAACCAAUAUUAUUGGUUCCAACCUCAUCUCAAAUCCAUGAAAGUAGGGGCAUGGCUCUUACCUUUUUUUCAAUAAUUGAGAAAUUUAAAACCAUUUAUCACUAAUACUACUGUGAUGUUGGUAAAAUAACUAAAAAAAUAUAAAAAUAUAAACUCCCAAAGUCGCCUCAAUUUUUUCUUAACCUGAAUUUGCAUGUUCGUAUCAUAUAAUUCUUCAACCUAUCUAUAAGGAUUAGACAAAAACUGACAAAAGGUUAGAAACCCUAUAAAAUCAGGGUAAAAAACUAACUAGGAAAUUGCUUCAGAUGAGUAGGAAUAAUUAAUAAAUAGUAUGAAACUUGAGAUAGCUGAAGACCAAAAAUAUUGCACCAACAUGGAGUCUUAUGUCUUAGGUGGAAUCUUCCAUUUCAUUUGUAGGAACCAUAAUAAAUUUAAAAGAAAGUUAACUACAAACAAAAAUAGGAAUCAGAAUCCCUAGAAAUAAAAAUUGAGACCCCAAGAGAAGUACCCUUGAGAAUCCUAGCAAAUAGCUUCCCAACCAAUAGAAUCAAACUAACAGAACAUUGCUCUUGUUAAACGUACCUAGUCCAAAGCGUCGAUCCCACAAAAAUCUCUCUAUUGUCCAGAGUGUCCUCUUCCUUCCACCGACUCAACUUCUUGCCAGAAACCUUUAGUUUCAGUUAUCUUAUUCCGGGUUAUAUCCAAAACUAUAAUUUAAUAUAACACAAUAAAGAAAAUUAAAGUGCAAUAACCUAAAUCUAAAGGCUUUGGAACUUUAUGAAAUUGUUUCGACUGUCUCUUACCUCUGCAAAUUGCAAUUCAGGAAAGCCCAGUGUCGGAUUUUACAUGAAUCUCCCAUUGAAGCCCAAAACGUACCCAAUUUCGACAUCUUCGAUUAAACCCUAUAAAUGAUUAAUUAAAAACCCUGUAGACCCCCAUUUUGGGGGCUCAUUUUUCUCACUUUUCUGCAGACUUUUCUUACCAGGUGGAGGGCUCUCAAGGAGCCACGUGUUGAUUCAUGGUUGGCUGGUGAGGAAUCAGGCUAGUGGUUUGGAGAACCAAAGAGGGUUGGACACGUAUGAGAGUAUAUUCUGGGGUGGUUUGAAAGAAAUGAAAAAAAAAAAAAAAAGUUGCAGGCGGUUGCAAAGGAAGGAGGAGCGUAUUUUGUUUGUUAAGAGAGAGAUGCGAUAUUUUUUCUGGGCUGGUUACAGGGAGGUGAGGAGGAUUUGGUUGCUGUUAUAUAGAGAUAUUGAGAUACUUGGGGGAAGAAAAGCCUGAGCUGAGAGGAGAAAGACAGAACUGUGAGAGGAAAGAACAAAGUAGAGAAUUACAAGAGGAGCAAAAGCACAGCUGGAAGCUAACCCACUCUUGGCUUGAAAGAAGCAUUCCAGGUAUGAUCAUUCGUGAGUUCCUUAUUUCUCAUUUCCACCUUGAUUAACUCUCACUUUCAGUAUUUCUUAUGAGUAUUUGGUUUAUUGAUUGGUGUGGAUAUUAUAGGCCACUCGUUAGUUUUGUGGGGCUCUGGGUAUGCAUGCUCUGUUUUUAGAUUUAUUUUUGCUGUUUUUGACUUCUCUUGAAAAUAUCUGAUGUUGUAUUCCUUCCCAUAACUUGAUCAAAACUAUGCUUUCAUUUCCUCCGGAUUCCACUACUCAAAGCUCUUUGACGAUCCAUGGCAUAGAGCUAAGCUUAUACUCUGUUUUUAUUAUGUUUUCUUUCUUCCCUGGUUAUUGCACUGUUUCUUGUUGAGGGUGGAGUGUUGUCUGCAAUAACCAAGCUGUUGGGAUUCAAUGAGUGUGGUCAUGAGGGGAAAUGAACUCAAUAGGGGAUUUCUGUGAUUGUAUCUGUGCUUCAAUCUAUUGGUUCAAAAUGGUGGCCACGGAAUUGCAUUGGAGUUUUGUGUUCGUGUUUGGUUUGCCAUCUGGGUCUGAUAAGAUAUAUGCUGGUAGUGAAGAUGAGAAUGAGGAUUUGAGACAUCUCAUUUUUUUCCUAGAAUUCUUAGUGACUGCAGCCAGUUCAGUUAGGCAUGGGGAAGGAAAAGCAAGUUCUGUAGGUUUCGAUACACGGACAGUCAGAAAGGUCAUGGCAUGUACUCCAUUCGGUGAAGGCUUUGGUGUCGAUACCUCGCGCUCCUGGUGUUUCACGUAGUUGUUGAAUAGAUGGACACGCGAUCUCAACCCACAAAGGUUCUUGAUUCAAUCGUUAUACCUACAAAAGGCAUCCAGACAGGGUGUUCGGACGUACCCUCCGAUGGUUUUGUUAGCCAUGGUUAGAGAGAGAGAUAUAAAUCAGUUGGCCUUUUUCUAGGUAUCAGGAGGUUACCUUCCUCUUCGUGUGAAGGUUUAUAUAUAGUGUUAGGAGUAUUGUUCCUCUCAUUAAUGGUGAGGAGAUAUUUUAUGUUUGUCAUAAUGACAUUCGGAGGCAGCAUGGUCAUCACCACCCUACUGGCGGCUGUCAAAAACCGUGGUAGGUGAUGCUACUGUCAGAGAUCGUGGGAAGUGAUCAUGUAGAAUGAUCGUGAGAAGUGACUUGUUGUCACCUCAACUCGUCCUUUCACUCUGUAGGUGAUAGGACGUGGGCCAUGGCUGGUUUGUUGCGAUAGCGUGUAAGACUCGCUUUACUUUAGUCAAUGAUCCGGACAAUUAUAUCCGGAUAGCCAUGCUGGUUAUCCGGAUGUAUUGUGGAGCGGACGUAUUUAUGGAAGCCGUCCGGAUGUCUAUGCUUUGUAAGCGUCGUUUGCUCUUCCUUGAGGCAGUCCGGAUAUAAAAAGUGCGCCAUGUGUGCUUUAUAGGAAGGUCCGGAUGAGGGUGACCCGGAUGACAAUGCGUGUCAUGCGUCACUGUAAGAAACGUGUCACUGCAAGAUGCGUGUCACGUGUCCUCAGAGGGUGGGGUCCCUACAUUGGGGUCAUCCAUUUAGAUGAAGGACGGGGGCUUUUUUCAUUUUUUUCACUCUUCAGUUUUUAGAAAUGCAAAGAAUGAUGAGAGCUUGAUUAUGCAAGGUUUCUAUUCCGGUUUUAUUACCUGCAGAAUUGGGUGUUUAUAUUAUGACAGUAUCACAGCAUUUGUCAUCAAUUGGAAUCCAAGAGUUCUCAAUGCAGGCCGAUAAGUUGUUGCCUUUGGGGGAUCUCACUGGGAUGACGAUGCGGAUACUCAUGCGCUGUAAAUGCAAGAAGUCUAAGAGGGGCAAAGGCUGCCAUCCAUGCUCUUGAUAAUGAGAAUUUCCGGACUUUUCUCAAUAGUACGGUAAUUUAAAAAAGUUAUGCUUAAAUUAUUGUAGUAGAAGAAGUUUGUGGACCCCGCAUUUCGCGCUCGCUCAAUGCGUUUCCCACUCGAAUGGGCGAAACUCGAUUUUUUAUUUUAUUUGAAAAAUGAUUUUUAUUGAUUAAGAAAAUGACUUGGAGUCGCCACUUAUUUUUUGUUUUAUUUUUAAAGGGUAAACAAAAUAAGAAAGAAAAACCCUAAGUGUGACUCCUUAUUUUGGAAAAGGCGGUCUGUGAAAAACCGAAUCGGGUUCGGGGGUCAGGUUACUUAUCGGGAAGGUACGGUAAAGACCGUGCACCCCUCUAAGUCCCUAAAGUCGGGUCUCUACUAAUGAGAUGAAGCUGACGUGGCAGUCAACAAGAAAAUCGAUGAAUACUCAAAUCGAUCAUGCACAAUAUGAGAAGCAAAGCAUGUAUAAAGAAUGAGCAAAAUGUGAAUAGAUGCGUACCUGGGCGGCAAUCACGAAUGCGCAAUCAUGAAACAGGGUUAGUGAGCAAUGAACAAGAUAUAAUUAAGCGCAUAUCAAGGAACAGAAUAAACCAAUCAUACAUGGCAAAUAAAUUAGUCAAACAAUCAAUUAGUCGUGAAGUAACGUAUGUAGGGCCCCCACCAAAGCCCGUUUAUUUUUGCAUGAAUUAAUUCCAUAAAUUCCAUUAUUCGGAAUUACGGAAUUUAAUUCUUGCUUAUUUUAAAUCAUUUUAAAAUCAUGAAAAAAUUCGAAAGCUGCUCGCCGAAAAGAAAAUGGCGGCCAAAUUUUAUUGAAAUUGAGACUCUUAGGUGAUCCUGAAAAUUCUAAGGAUGAAAGAUGAGAAAAUUGGAAUUACUUGAAAAUCAGAAUUUUGAGAAAGAUAUUUACAAAAUGGGGUUUGAGAAAACCUUUUCAAAAUCAAAUAAAAAGAAAACCAAGAAUGUCACGUGGCCCAAAGGUGGCCCAUACUAAAGAUGGCCAAUGCAUGGCCUGGUAGGGAUAGGGCCCAGUUGACUUGUGCAUGCUAGGGCUGCUGAUAGACACUGCCUGCAGGUCCCAUACCAACAAGUCCAAGUUCCGAGUGGAGCCAUUGGGAAUUCCAGGUGCUUUUCUGACUGGUCACGUGACUCAGUGAGUCUGGAUGGUGCAUCAAAUAGACUGAACUGCAGAAUUGACUCGGUCCUAUUCCUCACUGCUUUUCCUAAGCAGUUUAUCUUCAACUUGCUUCAUCAAAUCAUUUAUUUCAUGUCGUUUUGCUUGCUGAUCUCGAAGCAACCUUUUAGUCUCGGCACGAGCAUGUCCGUGAGCAUGGAGGGUAACAUAGAAAAUGCCUCAUUACCCAUCUCAAUCACCCCAUGGACAACAUCCUGCUCAUAUGGAUCAGCAGGGAAGACACGUAGUUCCUCGAGCAAAGGACAGCUAGAUCCAACAGCUUCCAGCCCUUUGUCUUCUACUGUAUCCAGAACCCAAAGACGCUGUAGAUUUGGACAGUGGGCAAGAAGCUUAGCAAGUUCACCACUUUGCAGAGCAACAUCACUCAAAUUCAAGAACGUCAAAUUCAUGCAGGCAGGGUAUAGAACUGAGAGAUACAGUGGAGUAGCUUCCCACAAACCAGAGAGAGUAUUUAGAUUCUUGCAGUUGUUGAAUGCACUUUCAAGCUCUGCAUACUGGCGGGUUGUGAGCUCUUGAUGGAAGGACCCAGUACCAAGCUCUGUCAGUUGAGGAGCACACUCAAGCAACCUCUGUAAUUGUUCCAGGGUGAUAUUCUUGUUAACCUUCAAGAAUUUUAAAGAUCUACACCUACUCACUAGUUUCUCAAGAGCAUCAAAAGAGACAUCACUGCUCAGAUUCGCAAAAUUUAGCACUUCCUGUGACGUGAAGUUUUCGGGAAAGCAACUUAACCAACCCCCACCAAGGUCAUCAAUGCCAUUCUCCUGUAUGUCAAGCUCCGUCAUAUUCUUGCAAUGAGUAGCAAUGGCGGCACUGACGAUUGACGGUGAUUCGGAAGCAGUCUCGGAACCGAAACUAUAGAGACCGAGUUUUGCUCUUCCAGGGAUCUUCCAUUCCUGAAACUCCACUGAGCAUCUCGCGGCCCACCACAACAAACCUCAGGUGAUGAGUGAACAUGGUAGAAAUCCGUAAACCCCGAACUAUACUUCCACCAUCAUCAGGAUUACGAGGUCACAAUACACAGCGUACAUCAGCGUCGUGAAGCAAUAUUCAAUUUUUUUUGUCAUAGGCACCCAUCAAAGAAUCUUCUGUAAGGAUUGGAGUGUUGACCAACAGUGCCCUCAGGUUCAAUCGGGUAAGGCCUCAAUGGAUUGCAUUGCACCAACUGUCGCGUACCUCUGGAUGAACGCGUGAGCUGUUAAUCUUGUAAGAGAACCCCAAGCAACAUGCAUAACGUACCCCUUCGGAAUAUCACAACGAGACCCACUGGUGCCCUCAUCUGAAUGCACCUCCGCCUCUCAUUCAAGUAAUGGGUAUUGGACCCAUGUAUGCAUGCAAAGAUGGAGGAGUGAAGUGGUGAGAGAAAGGAUGUAUGGAUUUAGCUGCGAAUAAGGUCACGGGUAUGGGAAGAUGGGUGGUAUGGUGGAGAGAGGAAAUGAUAUGGUCAUGGAGAGUAGAAGCAUGAGUGCGAGUGGUGAUGAAUUUAUGUAUAGAGAUGGGUGUGAAGGAGAUUAUUGAUGAUGAAGUUAACGAGUGAGAAGGUCAUGGCCAAAAGUGGGAAGGAAAAGAAGCAUAGAAGACGUGGAUUAAAUGGAAAGGUGCAGUGGCAUGAGCACAAGAGUGGUUUAGAAGCAAAUUGGGAGGGGUGUGGGCCAUUCUCAUCACAGUGAAGCCCAUAGGAUACUCUCAUAUCUUGGUUACAACAAUUCAUGUCGCAAGGAAAGCCCAUGUAUUCUAAUUGCUUCAUCAAUGCUUCGGCAUGACCUGUUCGACUGAGCAUAAAGACAACAUGAUAGUAUGCAGCAAACACGGUGCAGAGGAGAAAUAUUGAGGAAAAUAGCGUGAAUCAGGACUCCUCCUUCCAAUAUUGGCUGAAAUCUGCUGACGGAGCCUCUAUAACUUGACUUGUUCCAAAGUCCGAUUUUGAAUAUGAUGGGAUGAUCUGAUGGCCCAAGGAUAACAAUGGGAAAACCGUCUUCAAACAAGCAGGAACUGUGACUUUCCUUCAUCAAUUCUCACACCUUAAAGAACCCAGAGACAUGAUAUAAAUAGGAACAAAUUUGACCAUCCGAUGUCAUAAUCAACAACACCCUGGAACGACACAAAAAUCCUUUCCAGAAGAAGAGAAAGUUCAUCUCUCGCUAUAAGCCAGGAACAGGGGAAGAUAAAAGGGAGGGAUAGACUGAGAUAAAAAAAAAAACUAAAAAAACCAAUUUAAUAAUAAUAAAAAAAACAUGAUUCAGUCUUCAUCUCACGACAACCAAUGAGUUGGAAGAAACAGGUGGGGUGAAUGAAAGAAGUUGCAAAUGCAAACAAGAAACAUAACUGCAAAUGUCAAAAGGUCAAGACCAAGCAAACCUCAAUGGAAACCAAACAAAAGAGAAUGAACACAUUAAGACCCUUUCAAAACAAACCAGAAAAUCAACAAGAAGAACAACGUAGAACAACCCAAAAAAAAACAACAUGGAACAAGGUGAAUGUGAAACUUACCCCAAUCUCACCUGCAACCCCUCUUCGUCCUCUGUUAUCUCCUCCUUCUCCCGAAAAACCACCUUCUGGAGACCCCCUCUAGCUUGAUGCCCAAGUUAGAAACCUCUCUCUCUCUAAUGGAAACUCUCUCCUUCUCUCAUGGAAACUCUCUCCCUCUCUCACUUUUCUCUCCUCUGAUCUUGCUCCCCUCCCUUCAAAAUCCUCCUAGCUCUCUGUUCUCUCUGGAAAACUCUCGCUCUCUGGUUCUUUUUCUCCUCUUUCUCAAAGCACUCUGGAAUCCUCUCUAUCUUGACCUCCAAGCCCAAAGGCAUGCCCUGCAACCUCCAGCUCUGAUUUUUCCUUCCCUUUUUCUCUCUCAGCUCCCUCCCUCAUCGAAAAACUCCCUCUGGAACUCAAAAAAAUCCCCCCAAAAAUAUCUCUCCCCCUCUCUCUAUAUCCAGCCUGCCCCCAACGGCCUCACAUAGUUGCCUUUCUCCACUACCCUGCAGCUGCCAUCCUCAAUGGUUUUCAACUUUUUCUGCUGAAAGAAAUCUCCACGUGUCAAGCUUCCAUUGGCCAUCAAAACCACUAACUUGAUACCCUAUCAACCAGUCUUGGAGUGACACGUGGUCAUCCCAGACGAUGACACUUGUCAUAAUCGGGCUGUAGAGAUGUCUCCCCAAAAUGGGGGUCUACAAAGUUAUUAUAAAUAUAUGGUAGUUUUUGCCACAUAGGAGAGAGGAGAGAGGAGAUAGGAGAUAGGAGAGAGGAGAACGGAAAUUUUUUUUAAAAAAAAGGAACUCGUCUCUUCAAGAGACGAGUUCCAUGAAAAUAUAUAUAUAUAUAUAUAUAUAUAUAAAUUCCCAAAUUAAAAAAAAAAAAUUCCUCAAUUCCUCAAGGAAACUCGUCUCUUUAAGAAACAAGUUCCCAUUAAAAAAAUAUAUAUAUAUUUUUAAAAAAUUCACAAAUUAAAAAAAUAAAUAAAUAAAUAAAAAAUUGGAACUAAAGGGAACUCGUCUCUUGAAGAGAUGAGUUCCCAUGGAAAAAAAAUAUAUCUUUUUUUUUAAAAUAUAUAUAUAUAUAUAUAUAUAUAUAUAUUUUAAAAAUUCCCAAAUUAAAAGAAAAAAAAAAAAAAAGAAUUUCCUCAAGGAACUCGUCUCUUCAAGAGACGGGUUCCCAUGAAAAAAAAAGUUAUUUUUAAAAAAAAAAAAAUAUAUAUAUAUAUAUAUAUUUUUAAAAAUUCCCAAAUUAAAAAAAAAAAUUUCUUCAAGGGAACUCGUCUCUUAACUCGUCUCUUCAUAUAUAUAUUUCAUGGAAAUUCCCAGGAUUUUUUUUUUUUUUAAUUUGGGAAUUUUUUUUUCCAUGGAGAAUUGUUUUUUUUUUUUUUCAUUUGGGAAUUUAAAAAAAAAAUAUUUUUUUUCAUGGAACUCAUCUCUUGAAGAGACGAGUUCCCUUGUGGAAUUUUUUUUAAUUUAUGAUUUUUUUUUUAAAUAUUUUCUUUUUCUUUUUAUUUGGGAAUUUUUUUAAAAAAUAUAUAUAUUUUUUUAAGAAACGAGUUCCCUUGAGGAAAUUCUUUUUUUUUUUUUUUGGGAAUUUUUUAAAAUAUAUAUAUAUUUUUUAAAAUAUAUAUAUAUUUUUUAAAUAUAUAUAUAUAUAUUUUUUUUCCAUGGGAACUCGUCUCUUCAAGAGACGAGUUCCCUUGAGUAAAUGGGGAAUUUUUUAAAAAAUAUAUAUAUUUUUUUUCAUGGAACUCGUCUCUUGAAGAGACGAGUUCCCUUUUUAAAAAAAAUUUAUCCGUUCACCCUCUCUCCUCUCUCCUUUCUCCUCUCUCCUAUGUGGCAAAAACUACCAUAUAUUUGUAAUAACUUCUUCUACUACAAUAACUUAAGUAUAACUUUUUUAAAUUACCGUACUAUAGAGAAAAGUCCUGCUCAUAUCCUCCUAUACCAUUCAUCCCUAUCAUGCACAUACCUCACCUAUCAUCCCCACCAUCCAUCGGACCCACCUUCAUCUCAUCUCUAUUAUUUUUCACGUGCAUGAAGUCUCGUGUACAUAGCCAUCUCCAUCUCAUUUUUUUAAUUUUUUUUUUGUCUUCAUACCCAUUUUACCAUUCUUCAUGCUCAUUGUACCCACUGCUAGCUGCUUCUUCCACCCUCAUAUCCACCACUUUCAACUUCAUCCGGCUAUCCAUCUCACAACUUCCCACAUCCUCCUACACCAUUCAUAUCCAUCUUUCAUGCCUAUAAGCCUACUUCUCUCACUACCCCCACUCAUCUUACCACCACACCAUUUUUUCUCACCGUUCCCUUCACUUAAACUCUUUUUCAUUCUCUCUCAUACGCAUGCAGCUAGCACGCAAGCUUAUUCUCCAUCUCGGCAUCUUCAACACUUGGUGGCUCCACAUUGAGGGAUGGAUUACGGUAGAGAUUUCUGGGUUUUUGUGUUGCAAAGUAAGAUCUUGGCAUGGCAGCAAAGAGAAUUAGACGAAUAUAGCAGGUUGAUGGUAUUGAAACGGCUUCAAAGGUUGCUUCUCAAGCCAAGAAAUUGCCACCUUCUAGCCAAAAGAAUGUUCCAGAGGCGGCUCCUAAGAAAGCUGAGUCAAGUGAUAGCUCUGAUGGCAGUGAUUCUGAUGAAGAAAAACCAACUGUUGCAAAGAAUGUAGCUGCUGCAGCACCUAAAAAGAAAGUACAGUCUAGUGAUAGUUCUUCUGAGACCUCUUCAGAGGAAGAAGAGGAACCACAGAAAAAACCAUCACCUAAAGAAGAUAUCGAUGAAGAGGACAGUGCUGAUGAAAGUGAUGAAGAGCCUCAAAAGAGAAAGUUGGAAGUUCCGACUUCAGUUUCUUCCAGUGCUGGUAAAUCAAGCAGUAGCGAAGAGGAAAGCUCUGAUUCAGAAGAUGAGCCCUCAAAGGUACCAUUGCCAAAGAAGGCUACUCAAGUGUCAAAGAAAAGCAUCGGUCCUGAGGAGGAUUCAUCCGAGGAAGAAAGCAAUGAGGAAGUGCCUUCCAAGACCCCAAAGAAGAAUGACACUGAUGUGGAAAUGGUAGAUGCCGGAGCACCCAAAAAAAAAAACCAAUGCUAAGCAGACUGAUUCAAAAAUCUGGGAAGAAAGCUCCCAAAACCCCUGCCACUCCUCAAGUGCAGAGCACUGGAAGCAAGACACUGUUUGUUAGCAAUCUAUCUUUUAGUAUUCAAAAAGAGGAUGUUGAGCAUUUCUUUAAAGAUGCCGGUGAAGUUGUUGAUGUCCGUUUCUCUUCAGAUGCAGACGGGAGGUUCAAGGGCUUUGGUCAUGUUGAGUUUGCUACUCCCGAAGCAGCACAGAAGGCUCUCAAAGUGAAUGGUAAAGACUUAUUGGGUCGUGCUGUCAGACUUGAUUUGGCCCGUAAAAGGGGCGCAUAUACUCCAUAUAACGGAAAAGAAAGCAAUUCAUUCCAAAAGGGAGGGAGUCAGGCACAGACAAUAUUUGUUCGGGGCUAAAAUAAAAGUUGCGAUGAGACCAGGUUAGGAGCACCCUGGAAGAGUAUUUUGGGUCUUGUGGGGAGGUUUCAAGGAUUUCGAUCCCUAAAGAUUAUGAAUCCGAUUCUGUUAAGGAGAUUGCUGACAUGGAUUUCACAGAUGGUAGAUAAUACUCAGUUGGAUCUUCAAAAAUGUGCUCGUGACCCUGAUAUAUUUGACACAUAUACUGUUCACCAUAUAAUAGAGACUAAUCCAAUGCAGACCAGCCAACAAGCCUUGUGCAUUCACCAACUACCAAGUUAUGCCAUUUCGGGACAAAAUGCCUAGGGAUUUGUGAUGAUAAUGAUCUCCUAUAUGAAGACUUCAAUGUGACUCCUGUGGCAGUAGCUCAGUUUCUUCUACAGCUGAGUAUUCUCGUAUUAAUCCCCAGAAGGCACCUUCCUGGUUUGAUCAGCAUAGCACCUUUAAAAAUGGACAGAUUUUAUUGAUGGUAAGUCUCUGAUAGUUUGCAUGCACAGAAUUCAAUGGACUUAAUAAAUGGUGCUUCUGGUACCAGCCAUGUCGCUAACGUCCAGCAUGGUUCUUCCCUCCAUUUUAAUGGCAAGCAAUCAUCUCUUUGCCCCUCUUUCAUUGUCUCCGAAUGGCACUGAUCAAAGUUUGAGGGUGUCAGGUUUGACUUAGAAGAUGUGGGUCCGUUGUUGCGAUUAAAAGCAUUGCCAAGACAAGCUGCAGGUCUGAUGAUGUUGAGUUCUUGAGGGGACUAAAGACACUUUCCUCAAUCGAAUGCAUCUGGUAGGAUAAUUCAUCCAAAUCAGUGUCAAAAGCUAAGCUCGGGUAGAAACUGUUUGCGGGACCUUGAUUCUAGUGACUAGCCUAGUUAGUGAAACAGUUGCUAAUAUGGUAAGUGGGGGGUCAGUUUGGUUUCGAUGAGGCAAUCAGAUGCUAUCAUGAUUGCUUAUCUGUGCUUUCCACUCGAUCUGGUGCAGCCUCACUCCCUGUGAUUACACUGAAUGAAGGUCAUGAUGUAAUCAUGGGUGGAAUCAUUAUGUAAUCAUAGAUGCAACCUCACAUUUUGUCCGCCAAACAUUUGCUUUGGUUAGGAAGGACCAUAAAUGUCGUUAUUGAGUGGAGGUUGACUACAUGCUGGCGGAGGGCGAAAUUGUCACUGGAAAUCACUGGGGACAGGUAUCACCAGAAGAAGAAGAGUAACCAAAGGACUUUGGUGCGGGGUAUGAUGUUCCAUCAUAACAGCAAUGAUUUUGACAAUGGUCUUUUUGAGGCUGAUUUAAUUGAGAAGGAUUUUGGGAACCAAAUUGCUGGAAUGGAUAGCUUCGGGUGCUGACUUCUGCUAGAAAGAAAUGCAGGUAUAAAGAAAGGGACAUUUGUACCAUCUGGACCCACAGUAGUCACUUGGGCCUUCUCCGCUGUUGGUAUUCCGUAUUGGACUACUGGUGCUAACGAUCCCUUGCAGCCACCCUCAUUUGCUCCUUUUCAAAACUCAUACGUGUCUUCAUCCAUCUUCAUGCAUGUUUUUUUUUAUAAAAAAGUUGGUUUUCAAACAAAUCUUGCUUUCACUCCACAUUUUUUAGGCUCCAAAAAUUUUUUUUUUUUCAAUAAAAUUUGCCGCCAUUUUAUUCCGAACGAGCCUCAUUUUCACAUCUUGCAUGAUUUUUUAAAAUAUUUUAAAAUAAGCAUAAAUUUAAUUUUGUAAUUCCAAGUGAUGGAAUUUAUGAAAUUAAUUUACACAAAAAUAAAUUAGGUUUUAGUAAGAGCCCAACAUCAGAGAUUUAAAAAUAAAUUUGAGUGAAAUGCAGUGUGAUAUCUGAUGAUCUUUAGAUCUAUUUAGUGACAUGUAUAGCAUAUUCUAUGAUCAUUAUUAUGCACUAAUCACAUUUCAUGCUAGCGCUUUAUCGAUUACUGCUAAGGUAUGCAUCAUCUCUCACUCUAAUCAUUCACCAUGUAUGCUUUGGCUUUCAGUGUGUGAUCAUGUUAAUAUCCAUUAAUUUUCUUACCAAUUGUCAUGAUUGUUUCAUUUUAUUAGUAGAAAUUUAUUUUUAGGGACUUAGAGAAGUGUUAUGGUUUUUACCAGUCCUUCCCGAUAAGUAACCCGACUCCCGAGCUCUGAUUUGGUUUUUCACAGACCACUUUUUUCAAAAUAAGAAGUCACACUUAGGGUUUUUUUUCUUAUUUUAUUUAUCCUUUAAAAAUAAAACAAAAAUAAGUGACAACUCUAAGUCAUUUUUUUAAAAAUAAAUUAUUUUUAAAUUAAAAGCGAGUUCGCCUUCGAGUAGAAGUGUACGAGCAUAAAUGCGAAGUCCACAAACCCACCCCAUAAAAGAUUAAUCAAAAGGUAAAAACCCUCGGUAUCAAAAUUUCAAUCAAUCAUGACACGAGACUUGUUGAGAGAACUGCAGCAAAAGAACCUGUGUCACAAAUACACCUUUAUCCCCAACCUUAAACCUUUUAACCCUAAACCCUAAACCUAAUCCUAAACCUAGCCCUAACUCUAAUGCAAAACAUUAACCUAAAAGAUUAUAAGAAAUGAAAAUGACUUUUCUUCCCAAAUAGUUGUUUUUAAAACGGUGAAUGAUUAAAAAUAAUACUUUUAAAACAUUAAAAAUAUCAAAAACAAAUUAAAAACCAUUUAGAUUCUAAAUUUUCUGUUAUAUAAAAUAUUAAAAAAAUUGUUUAUAAAAACUAUUUUCCUAAUAGUUAUUUUCAAACACAUUUUCUAAACGGAAUUUAUAUAUGUUACAUUUAUUUUUAGAAAAAUUUAAAGAUUUAAAAACAAGAAAUCAAUCCUUAAAAAAAUAAAUCUCAACUUUAUUUCAAAGUGAAUCCAAAUUAAUAUGAUAUAUAAUUGAGAUUUAAAUAAAUAUAAUUUCAUAAAUCUUAAACAAUGAUAUAAAAAACAAGUAAAAUAUUUUAUAAAUCUAUUUAAUAUACUUACUUAUCAUUGUAUUUUUCAUUCUUUCAAUUUAUUAACUUUAACUUUUUCAACUUUUAUAUUUGUUUAUAUAAAAUUUUUGGUUUUAUAUACUUUUCUAAUAGAUUAAAGGUUUUUAAAAUUUUUUUAUUUAUUAAAAGUUUUGUAAUUUUAUAUUUAAUAUUUUAAAAGUAGAUUCUCAUAUGAUUUUAAACAAUUUGGAUUUUAAUGCUUGAUUAAAUAAUGGUACAUUUACAAUAAUACUUAAUUAUUAAAUUAUGUAUAUUUUUUCAAUAAAAAGUUUCAUCACUUUGGCUUAAUUUUUAAAUUAUUUUUAGUAUAUUUUAUUUUAGUUUCACAUGGCAUGAUAAAACAAAUAAUUUUACAUCUUUUUCUUUCUAUCAUCAAUACAAAUUAGCUUGUUAUAAAAUUUAUAAAAAAUGUUAACUUCACUAAUUUCCUCCUAAAUUAAUCUUUUAAAAAAUGCUAAUAAAAAUAUUCUUGCAUUUUACAAGUGACAAGAACAAAGAAAAUAAAGAAAAUAUGAGAUAUGGUUUUUUCAAACAUUCAAGUUUAUGAUUUUGUUUACAAAUUUAAGUGUGUAAAACCUAUAAAAGCUAUAAUUUUAUAUUAGAUACAAGAUUUAAGUUCCUAAUUUAAGUGUGUAAAACCUAUAAAAGCUAUAAUUUUAUAUUAGAUAUAAGAUUUAAGUUCCUAACAAGAGAAUUUUUCCUUGGACACUCAGGUUUUAUUUAAAAAUUAAAGUGUGUAACGGGAAAUUUUCUCAUUCGUAUACAAUGAAAGGAAAGAAAGGAGGAGAAAAAAAUCAUUUGGAAUUAAUAUUUUUUUUUUUAAUUGGAAACCUAAGAUCAGGUACUACAAAUUUUGUUGUGUAUUUCUUUUUUUACCUAGAUUUUUUAAACUAUCUCUUAUAAACCAUUUUUUUUUCCUUUUAUGUUUUAAUAUAUUCAUAUUACAAGAAAAGGAAAUGACACGUACAGAAGAUUUGGAGAUAUUAUUUUUUUGAAAAAAAAUUAAAUUGAAAAUCUAAGAUCGUGUACAAAUUUGGUUUUGUUUAAUUUUUUUUUACAAAGAUUUUUUGCACUAUCAUUUAGCAAUUUUGAAAAAAAAACCAUUUUUUUUCUUUUUAUGUUUUAAUAUAUUGUUUUUCAUAUUUAGAAAAAGAAUGAGGCUAUGUUCCUAUUUGAGAACUAUUUUUUAUAAUAGUUUUUGGUUUUUGAGAAUAGUUUUUUAUUUUUCAAAAUAAAAAAUGCAUAAAACACGUUUGACAACCAAAAACUAUUUUAUAUUUUUUUGUUCUUACAAAUAUAAAAUAUGGUAUUUUUAGAGAAUAUAUUUUAAUUAUUUUUUUUAUUAUUUUUUGUUUUUUUUUAAUAAAUAAUUAUAUAAAUAUGUAGAAUAAUUUAAAAUAAAACAUUUGAUAUAAAAAUUAUGUUUAAAACAUAUUUAAAAAUAUUAAAAACAUGUGAAAAAUAUUUUAGGUUUUUAAAUAGACUUUUGUUCUACAAAAAUCAUAAAACAGUUUUUUUAUAUUGUUCUCAAAAAUUAUUUUUUAGAAUUUUUUUUAAAUAGUUAUAAAAAAAACCUAUUUUUUCAUUUUCCUUAAUUUCUUUUAUCUUUUCAAAUUUAGAAAAUAUAUAUUAUAAUUAAAAAAAUUCAUCCUGGCCAUUAAUUCGUUAACUUCCUCCUACAUUAAUCUUUUGAAAAAUGAUAAUAAAGAUAUUCUUACAUUUUACAAGUGGCAAGAGAAAAGAAAAGAAAAGAAAAGUUGAUACUUGGCUUUUCGAAACAUUCAAGUUUAUGAUUUUAUUUAAAAAUUGAAGUGUCUAAAACUUAUAGAAUCUCAAUGUAUAAUUUUAUAUUAAUAUAAGAUUUAAGUUCCUAACAUGGGAAUUUUUCCUUAGACAUUCAAGUUCUAUUUUAAAAUUAAAGUGUGUAAAGGGAAUUUUUCUCAUUUGUAUAUAAUAAAAGGAAAGAAAAGAGGGAGAAAAGAUUCAUUUGAAGAUGGUCUCUCUUUUUUCUUUUUUUUUAAUUGGAAACCUAAGAUCAUAUACUAAAAAUUUUGUUUUGGGUAGUUUUUUUUACGUAGAUUUUCUAAACUAUUCCUUAUCAAUUUUUGAAAGAAUCCAUAUUUUUUCCUUUUUAUGUUUUAAUAUAUUCAUCUUUCCCUUUUUCCAAAAACUCAUUAACUUUCUUCCAGAUUAAUCCUUUAGAAAAGUGCUAAUAAAAAGUCCUUGCAUCCUACAAGUGACAAGACAAGAGUGAAAGAAUGAAAAGAGAUAUGGUUUCUUAUGUCCAUGUUUGUUCCUCGAUAGUUUUCAUUGCAUUUGUGUCCUCAUGUAUUAGAUUAUCUUUUGCAAGGUCAAGCAUCAUGAAUGAUGCGUUGGUAGAAAAACUUUGUGCUAAAAGCACGGAUCCUUCAUUUUGUGCAAAUGCUCUAAAAUCUGAUCCUCGUAGUGCCAUCGCAGACAUCACAACUUUUGAGCAAAUUGCGAUCAACUUGACAAAGGCCAAUGCCACGGAUACCUGGAAUUUUGUGAACUUAAAUGCAGGACAAAAUAAUGAUCCUAAGAUCAAAGCCGCAUAUCAACGAUGUUCUCCUCUUUACGAAGAUAUAAUAGCCGCCACUGAUGAUGCAACAACAUCUUUGGAAGCUCUAGACUAUCGUGAUCUGGACACUGAAGGAGAAAGUAUCAUGGAUAGUGCAGACGAAUGUGAUCAACUUUUCACAAAACCUUCCCAAAUGUCAGAUAGAAACAGAUUUGCUAGACUUUUGGGUGAGAUGAUUGCCUUAAUCGGUGAUGUUUUGAUUUCUGGAUGAUUAUGUAUUUGUUCAAGUCCUUUGAACUUGUUUCACCUUAUCCAUUGAUAUGUUAGAAGUUAUUAUUAUAUUAGAAUUAUAUAUUUAUUUAAUUAAUUAAUUAUUAUAUCUAUUAUUUAUUUAAUUAUUAUAUUAAAAUUAAGUAGUAAGAUAAUUAUUUCUUUAUUUUUUAUUAGGUCUAUUUAAUUUUUAAUGAUAUUAUACCACUUUUCAAGGGAAUUCCUAAUGAGAAAUCUUAAAUUUUCUUUUCUCUUUCUUUUUGAAUAUUUUUUAGAUUUUAACAUGGUAUUAGAGCUUAAUUUAGAAGGAGGUUGUAAAUUCGAGUCACAUCUACCUUAAACAUAAGAAAAGUUUAUAGCCAUCAAUAAAAAGUUGAGUUAUUUCAACCGAAUUCGUUUGAUUCCCCUAAAUAUAAGAACCAAUGAAUUUAAAACUAUUACCCAAUUCUUAAAAUUUUUUGUCUAUUCUACCGAAACAUAAGAGCAUAAAUUGGAUUUGGUUCUUAAGCUUGUUUUGCAAUGUCAUACCUAAGUCUUUUUUCUUUAUACUUACCUCCCAUGUUACACUUGUUAGGAUAGAGCUCUUUAAAUUUAUUAUUUAUUUAAUAUGAUUUUAAUUUCAUUUUUAUCCAUCUUUGUCUCAUGCAUUAUAUUUGUACGAAGCAUUUUUGUUUUCAUCUAUUGCAAGACUUUGGUGCAUGAAGAGUUGAUGAUUUGUUCACGGCCAUAGUUUUAAAAAAAUUGAUGAUAUGCAAUAUUACAUAUCUGUUCACCUAGUCUAGUAAAUAAUUUCUACUAUAUCUAAUAAACAAAUAUUUUAUUGACCAACUAGGGGAUACAUUAAAUAAAAGAACAUAUAAUGAUGUACAUGAUGGGCAAAAAGUAACGGGGAAAUUGAUUUGCAAAAAUGAAAAUAAAGAUGAUUGUGAGUUAUAUUUUUAUUUUUUUAAAAAUUAUAUACGAAAAUACAACAUAAUUUGUAAAAGUGAAAAUAAAGAUGAUUAUAGGAUUGAUUUGUAUUUUAUAAAAUUAUAUAUAGAAUAUAACAUAUUUAUUCUUUUAUUUAUAUAAAAAUGGUCUAAAUUUAAUUUUAUUUUUAAAUAAAAAAGUGAUUUUAUUUGCCUGAAUUUGAAAAUUUAAAUGAAACUAAAAAAAUAUAUUUAUACUUUCAUUCUUUUUCUAUCAAUGGACAAUAAUAUAUUAAAGCAUAAAAUAAAAUAAAAAUUGUUUUCUUUUUCAAAAUUGGUGAGGGAUAGAGCAGAAAAUCUUUGUAAAAAACAACUACAAAAUCUGUACAGCAUCUUAGAUUUGCAAUUUAAUUUUUUUUCAAAAAGAUAUUAUCUCCAAAUUAAUCUUUCAUUCUCCUUCAUUUCCUUUUUUCUAAUAUCAAUAUAUUAAAACAUUAAAAAAAAAAUGGUUUCUUUCAAAAUUUGAUAACGGAUGUGGAGACCCCUAAUUUUGGAUCUUAGGAGAGAGAUUUUUUGGAGCACUUUUUGAGUACCUUCUAGACACUUCUAAAGACCUUAGCUGGGGAGGACACGUGGUCUAUCAGGAUGUCAUGAUAGUUUGUUGAGAGCAGCAGAGAUUCUUUGCAGGUGAGGACACGUUUCAGGGUGAUUGCUUAUUCUAUUAGGUUGGUUAGUGAGCCGUGAGAGAGAAGCGAAGGAGAGAGCGUUUUAGGAGAGCUGCAGGGAGGCUGGAUGGAAAAGAAAAAAAAAAGUUUUACAGAGAGAGUGGGUUAGAGUGAGCGGGGCAGGGUGAGGUUCCAGGCUGUGAGAGUGAGCUGGAGAGAGGGCAGAUUCCAGGCUAGCAUGAGAGUGAGCUGAAAGAGAGAGAGAGCAGAGAGGAGUAUUCCGGGUUUUUGGUGGAGGUCUUGGGCAGCAAAGAACCAGAGAGAGGGUGGUGAGCUGAGUGAGACGCGUUUCAGAGAAGAAAACUUAGAGAAAGGGAGAUUAGCAGGAGAGGAGGGAGCUUUGCUGAUUCUGUGAGCAAGAGAGGGUGCUCAACUUGUAAUUCACGUAUGUUUCUAAUUCCAUCUUUAUUUAUACAUUCAUUACGUUUAUCAUACAUUUUUGCUUUAUAUUAACUUUUUUAACAAGUAACUUGACUUUUUUUCAAAGACUUACUAGGAAUCACAUUUAAGAUUUUACUAUUUUUUUUCUUUACAAAAUAAAACUUUUUUUAAAAAUCAGUUUUCAUAUCUUGAUUUUUGUUAUGGAUUGACUAAUCAAUUGUCAUAAUUCUCUUUAUUUAUUUAAUAGAAACCUAACUUUUAGAACUUAAAAGGUAUUAUAGUUUUUCAUAUUACUUUUUAAUAGGUAACUUGACUUUUUCAAAGACUUACUAGGAAUCACAUUUAAAUUUUUUAUUUUUAUUUUUUUUUUCUUUAAAAAAUAAAACUUUUUUUAAAAAUCAGUUUUUUAGACAUAAAAAGUAAGACUCGCAAUUGAGUAGGAACACAUGCGAAAAAUUCGGAUUCAUUAGAAAGUUUAAAAAAUCUAUAUAAAAAGGAAACUACACAAAAUAAAAAGGGAAAAAUCCUUUAUCACACUUUAUUUUUUAAACAAAACCCAAAGGUUCAAGGAAAAAUGCCCUUGUUAGGAAAUUAAUUCUUAUAUUUAAUAUAAAAUUAUACAUUAAGUUUCUAUAGGUUUUACAUACUUCAAUCUUUAAAUAAAAUAAUAUAUUUGAAUGUCUCAAAUAGCCAUAUCUCCUCUUCUAUUUCUUUUCUUCUCUUUUGUAACUUGUAUAAGUUAAGGAUAUUUUUAUUAACAUUUAAAAUGAUGCGUUGGUAGAAAAACUUUGUGGUAAAAGCACGAAUCCUUCAUUUUGUGCAAAUGCUCUAAAUCUGACCCUCGUAGUGCCAUCGCAGACAUCACAACUUUUGAGCAAAUUGCGAUCAACUUGACAAAGGCCAAUGCCACUGAUACCUGAAAUUUUGUGAACUUAAAUGCACGACAAAAUAAUGAUCCUAAGAUCAAAGCCGCAUAUCAACAAUGUUCUUAUCUUUACGAAGAUAUAAUAGCCACCACUGAUGAUGCAAAAACAUCUUUGCAAGCUCUAGACUAUCAUGAUCUGGACACUGAAGGAGGAAAUAUCAUGGAUGGUGCAGACGAAUGUGAUCAACUUUUCACAAACCCUUCCCCAAUGUUAGAUAGAAAUAGAUUUGCUAGACUUUUGGGUGAGAUGAUUAUCAUAAUCGCCGAUGUUUUGAUUUCUAGAUGAUUAUGGAUUUGUUCUAGUCCUUUGAACUUGUUUCACCUUAUCCAUUGAUAUGUUAGAAGUUAUUAAUAAAUUUAAUUAUUAUAUUAGAAUUAUAUAUUUAGUUAUUAUAUAUUUAUUUAUUUAAUUAUUAUAUCUAUUAUUUAUUUAAUUGUUAUAUUUCUUUUUAAUAGUAAGAUAAUUAUAUCUUUAUUUUUUUUAUUAGGCCUAUUUAAAUUUUAAUGAUAUUAUACCAUUUUUCAAGAGAAUUCAUAAUAAGAAAUCUUAAAUUUUCUUUUCUCUUUUUCUUUUCUAAUCCUUUUUAGAUUUUAACAUGGUAAUAGAACUUAAUUUGGGAGGAGGCUGUAAAUUUGAGUCACAUCUACCUUAGACAUAAGAAAAGCUUCUAGCCAUCAAUAAAAAGUUGAGUUGCUUCAACUGAAUUCAUUUUACUCCGCCCCAAACAAGAACCAAUGAAUUUGAAACUAUUACCCAAUUUUAAGAAAUUUUGUGUCCGUUCUAUCUAAACAUAAGAACAUAAAUUGGAUUUGGUUCUUAAGCUUGUUUUGCAAUGUUUUACCUAAAUCUUUUUUUUUAUAUACUUAAAUCUCAUGUUACACUUGUUAGGAUAAAGUUCUUUAAAUUUAUUAUUUAUUUAAUAUGAUUCUAAUUUCAUUUUUAUUUAUCUUUGUCUCAUGCAUUAUAUUUGUACGAUCAUUUUUGUCUUCAUCUAUUGCAAGACUUUGGUACAUGAAGAGUUGAUGAUUUAUUUAUGACCAUAGUUUUAAGAAGUUGGUGAUAUGCAAGAUUACAUAUUUGUUCACCUAAUCAAGUCAACAAUUUCUACUAUAUCUAAUAAACAAACAUUUUAUUGAUCAGCUAAUGGAUACAUUAAAUAAAUGAAAAUAAAGACGAUUAUAAGUUUGAUUUUUAUUUUUUUUAAAAUUAUAUAGGAAAUACAACAUAAUUUGUAAAAGUGAAAAUAAAGAUGAUUAUAGGAUUGAUCUAUUUUUUAGAAAUUUACAUAUAGAAUAUAACAUAUUUAUUCUUUUAUUUCUAUAAAAAUGAUCUGAAUUUAAAUUUAUUUUUAAAUAAAAAAAAGUGAUUUUAUUUGUCUAAUUUUGAAAAAUUAAAUGAAAUUAAAAAAAGAAAAAAAAUAUACCUUCAUUCUCUCGAUGGACAAUAAUAUAUUAAAACAUAAAAAAAAAAAUGUUUUCUUUUUCAAAAUUGGUGAGGGAUAGAACAGAAAAUCUUUGUAAAAAAGAACUACAAAAUCUGUAUAGCAUCUUAGAUUUGCAAUUUAAUUUUUUUUCAAAAAGAUAUUAUCUCCAAAUUAAUCUUCUUCUCCUUCAUUCCUUUUUUUCUAAUAUCAAUGUAUUAAAACAUUAAAAAAAAUGGUUUCUUUCAAAAAUUGAUAAGGAAUAGUUUAGAAAAUCAAAAAAUGGUUUCUUUAGAAGUGUCUAGAGACCUUAGCUGGGGAGGACACGUGGUAUAGCAGGAUGUCAUGAUAGUUUGUUGAGAGCAGCAGAAGACACGUUUUUCAGGGUGAUUGCCUAUUCUAUUAGGUUGGGUAGUGAGCUAUGAGCAAGGAAGAAAAUAUCGUGAUAUUUUAAAAAUAUCAUUAUACUUCUAAUUAUAUUUUUAUGAAAUUUUUUUAUAUUUUUUUAUAAAUUUUGAUUUAGGUUUAUCAAUAUUUUUUUUCAAAAUAUUCGUCGAUAUAUCUAAUAUAUCCGUAAAAUUAAAGUAUCGAUAUAUCCGUGAUUACCGAUAUUUUCAUCCUUGACUAUGAGAGAGAAGCGAAGAAAAUAGGGUUUUAGAGGAGUGCACGAAGGCUGGAUGGAAAAAAAAAAAAAAGGUUUUGCAGAGAGAGUGGGUUAGAGUGAGUGGGACAGGGUGAGGUUCCAGGCUUUGAGAGUGAGCUGGAGUGAGGGCAGAUUCCAGGCUAGCAUGAGAGUAACCUGAAAGAGAGGGAGAGAACAGAGAUGAGUAUUCCGGGUUUUUGGUGGAGAUCUUGGGCAGCAAAGAACCAGAAGGAGGGUGGUGAGCUGAGUGAGACGCAUUUCAAAGAAGAAAACUUAGAGAAAGGGAGCUUAGCAGGAGAGGAGGGAGCUUUGUUGAUUCUGUGAGGAAGAGAGGGUGCUCAACUUGCAAUUCACUUAUGUUUCUAAUUCCAUCUUCUUUAUUUAUUCAUUCAUUACGUUGAUCAUACAUGUUUUGCUUUAUUUUAUAUCCUGAUAUUUUUUAUUCAUCUAUUGACCAAUCAAUUGUCAUAAUUCUCUUAAUUUAUUUAGUAGAAACCUAACUUUUAGGACUUAAAAAAAGGGUUAUAGUUUUUCAUAUUACCUUUCUAAUAGGUAACUUAACUUUCAUACCAUACUCGAUUUUUCAAAGACUUGUCAAAAAUCACAUUUAAGGUUUUUCUUUUUUACUUUAUUUUUUCUUUUAAAAAUAAAACUUUUUCUAAAAUCAGUUUUUCAGAUAUAAAAAGUAAGUCUCACCAUUGAGUAUGAACACAUGCGAAAAAUACGGGAUCCACUAGAUAGUUUAAAAAAUCUAAUAGAAAAAUACGGGAUCCACUAGCUAGUUUAAAAAAUCUAUGUAAAAAGGGAACUACACAAAAUAAAAUUUGUAGUAUAUGAUCUUAGUUUCUAAUUAAUUUUUUCUUCUUCCUUUCUUUCCUUUUAUUGUAUACAAAAAGGAAAAAUCCCUUUAUGACACUUUAAUUUUUAAACAAAACCCAAAUGUUCAAAGGAAAAAUGUCCUUGUUAGGAAAUUAAUUCUUAUAUUUAAUAUAAAAUUAUAUAUUAAGUUUUUAUAGGUUUUACAUACUUCAAUUUUUAAAUAAAAUAAUAUAUUUGAAUGUCUCAAAUAGCCAUAUCUCCUCUUUUCUUUCUUUUCUUCUCUCUUGUGUUAGGAAUUUGGGACACUUCCUAACAAUCUCCACCUUAGAACAAAUUCCAUGAAGUUAAUCUUCAAUCUCUCCAUGACACAAACCUUUUUGUAUCAUAUCACCACGAAAGAGCAAUCGACUCCAACUUCAGUGAAAAUUCCUUUUGUUUUCAUCUUAUGUGCUUUGUGAUCUUUUACUUUUCCAGAAAUCUUCAACCCAAGCUCUGAUACCAAUUGUUAUGCCAGCCAAAGCUAUGAUGCCACAAUGUUAGUUCAAAAAUACAAAGAUAAAACAAUCACACAUACGGUACAUGAGGUUUUAACGUGGUUCGACCAACCAUGCCUACGUCCACGGAUGAGAGAGAAUGAUUCCACUAUACAAUAGAGAAUAUUACAGAGGACAGAACCAAAUACAACUAUUGGGUUCCCGAAACAUCACAUGUUUCCCCACUCCUUGUAUCCAUACCCUACUAUGAGUCAUCUCGCUCCACAGAGUACCUCUCGUUCUUCUUCACAUCUCUAUCCACCUCGUAUAGUCUCUACAAGUCCAUCUCCAUCUUAUAACUUUUUCCCCUCAUGACCUAGAAUAUUUUUAGAGAUAUUUCCAACAAUCUUCCUUAUUCUAUAAGAAAGUCUAAUAUUACAAUAAUAUAUCAACCUAGAAAUAUUCUAUAUAAUAUUCUUUACAAAAAAUGAAUCUAUACUAAUUAGGUCGAAUUCUCAACCUAUGAGAAACAAAAAAUAGAGAAAACAUAUGCCAAAGAAAAACAAUCACACGCACAAGACAGUAUUUACGUGAUUCAGCAAUUUGCCUACGUCCACGGAGUUGCAGGAAUAUCACUAUUAUCAGGAAAGAAUACAGAGUACUUCAAUCGGCUACAAUAUUUUCCCUCUAUAUAUAACACGACAACCACACCACACUAAAAACCCCUAAUUACAAAAGGUGGUUCCACAAUGGGCUAAACGGUCCCAAAAGCCCAAGCCUUCGCUCCAUGGACUAAGACUCAGUAAAUUUCCCAUUAGAAAACCACACAAUAUUAUUCGGGUUGGGUCGCCAAACCGGAUCAAACAAAACUAGGCUCCACAAAGCCCGACAAAUCUCCCACUUGAAGACUAGUUCAAUCACCAACAUCAAACCGUUAUCCUCCAAGAAACAAUCCCUCAUCCCUGCAACUCAUCCUCUUGUCCUCAUGCUAGAAGACCAAUUGAAGCUGCGCACAGCUUCAACUUCUCAAUAGUGACACCCUUAGUCAACAUGUCUGUCGGGUUCUUAGAUCCACAAAUCUUCUCAAAUAUUACUAGUUUAUCUUUAACAAGGUAACGGAUAAAGUUGUAUUUUGUUUGUAUAAACUUCGACUUUGAAUGAAAAGCCAAAUUUUUGGCAAGGAAAAUUGCACUCCGAUUAUCACUAUGUAGAAUGUCUAUCUUCUGCUUCUUACCCAAUUCAUCUAAGAAACCAUGUAGCCAAAUCAUCUCCUUUCUAACUUCAGUUGCUGCAACAUACUCAGCUUCUGUAGUAGACAAAGUAACAAUCUUCUGUAGAUUUGAAGCCCAUGAUAUAGCUAUACCACCUAGAGUAAAAACAAACCUAGUAGUACUCUUUCUACUAUCAAUAUCGCCAUCAAAAUCAACAUCUACAUAACCCUACAGUUUCAAAAUUGCACCUGUGAAGCAAAGACAUGUAUCUAAUGAACCCUUCAAAUAUCUUAGAAUCCACUUGACUACCUCCCAAUGCUGUUUUCCAAGCAUACUCAUGAAUCUACUCACAAUUCCCACUGCAUGUGCAAUGUCUGGCCUUGUACACACCAUAGCAUACAUCAAGCUGCCAAUAGUUGAGGCAUAGGGCACCUUACUCAUAUGGUCUCUUUCUUCUCCUAUCUUCGGUGACUGUUCUUUACUUAAUUUGAAAUGACUACCCAAGGGUGUGCUCACUAGUUUAGCUUCAUUCAUGUUGAACCUGCUGAGACCUUUCUUCACAUACUCUGACUGUGAAAGCUACAAUGUACCAUUAGCCUUGUCUCUAAUGAUUCUCAUACCAAGGAUUUGCUUUGCAGCUCCUAAAUCCUUCAUUGCAAACUGUUUGGACAAUUGCUUCUUCAAAUCAUUAAUUUUCUCAAUGUCAAACCCUACAAUAAGCAUAUCAUCCACAUAUAACAGUAAUAUGAUGUAAGAAUUGUCAAAAGACUUAACAUAACAACAGUGAUUAGCUUCACAUCUCUUGAACCCAAUUUUAUGCAUAAAACUGUCAAACUUCUUGUACCACUGUCUAGGAGCUUGUUUAAGGCCAUACAAGCUCUUUCUCGGUUUGCAGACUAGAUUCUCUUGUCCCUGAACAAUGAACACUUUUGGCUGAAUCAUGUAAAGGUCUUCCUCCAAGUCACCUUGAAGGAAUGCUAUCUUCACAUCUAACUGCUCAAGAUGGAAGUUUUCUACAACCACCAUUCCCAGUACAAGUCUGAUUGUUGACAUCUUCACAAUUGGAGAAAAUAUCUCUGUGUAGUCAAUGCCCUCCUUCUGCUAGAACCCUUUAACAACUAAUCUGACCUUGUAACGUUUGCUACCAUCAUGCUCAUUCUUUAUUCUGCAUAUCCACUUGUUGUGCAAAGCCUUCUUUCCUACUAGCAAUUCAGUCAGUUCCCAUGUCUAAUUCCCCAACAAGGAAUCCAUCUCAUUCUUCAUGGCUAACUCCCACUUACUUGAAUUCUCAUCUUGCAAGGCUUCAUCGUAACACUCUGGCUCACCUCCAUUAGUCAACAGGAGAUAAUUUAAAACAAGUGAAUAACGCUAUGGAGGUCUAAUGUUCCUGGAAUAUCUACGAACUUCAACUACAGGUGUACUCAGAUCUACUUGUGAAUUUACAUUCUCCUUAUCUUCUUCACCCCCUUUUUGGACAGUAUUUUCAGUCAAUUCAUCUAAGUUGACAAACUCAGAUUUCUUUUAAUCUAUCUUUGUAACAUUUGACACUACAGUUAACCUGUCCUUGUACAUAACCUGUUAAUUAAAUAUCACAUUUCUAUUUCUGAUAAUUUUCCUAUUUUGUUCAUCUCAAAUCCUAUAGCCAAAUUUCUCAUCACCAUAGCUAAUGAAAAAACAUAUUUUAGACUUUGCAUCAAGUUUACUACGAGCAUCAAAAUCAAUAUGAACAUAAAAAACACAGCAAAAAACUUUUAAAUGUGAAAACUUUGCCUCUUUACCGCUCCAAACCUUCUCAGGAAGUCUGAACUUCAUGGGAACUGAUGGUCCUCGAUUUAUCAGGUAAGCUGCAGUGCUAAUAGCAUCGGCCCAAAAAGUUUUUGGUAGUCCAACAUGCCUCAUACUUCUAGCACGCUCAUUGAGAGUUAUGCUCAUGCGCUCAACCACACCAUUCUGCUGUGGUGUCCCAGGAAUGGUUUUCUCCAUCCUAAUUCUCUAUGCCGCACAAUACUCUCUGAACCCUCCAUCUAUGUACUCUCCUCCAUUAUCUAACCUCAAACAUUUUACUUUCAAACCUAUUUCUGUCUCAACCAUGACUUUCCACUUCUUAAAAGUUUCAAAUACAUCAGAUUUAUUUUUCAGAAAAUAAACUCAUACAUUUCUGCUUGAGUCAUCAAUAAAAGUGAUGUAGUACCUUGAACUUCCAAGGGAUGCAACCGGAGAAGGCCCCCACAAAUCAGUGUGUAUUAGUUCCAAUUUUUCAGCCUUCGGUGUCCUGCCAGUUUUCAAGAAGCUUACUUUUUUUUGCUUUCCUAAGAUGCAACUUUCAUACAUGUCAAAAUCAAUGGACUUCAAUUUUGGUAGUUUUCCUUUUGAUAACAACAUCUUCAUCCCUUUCUCACUCAUGUGACCAAGUUUGUGGUCAUAGGCUUGUAUCAGUACUUGCAUCAGCAACUGCAAUUGUGUCUCUUAGACAUGAGGUCAUAUACAGAAUACCAGUCUUCUUUCCACGAGCCAAUACCCUAGCUCCUUUUGUAACCUUCCAAGUACCACUAACAAAUAGUAGUGCAUGUCCUUCAUCAUCAAGUUGUCCAACAAAAAUCAGAUUCCUCCUCAGGUCAGGAAUAUGUUGAACCUUCUCCAGUAACCAAACAGACCCAUUGGGCAACAAUAUCCGGACGUCUCCCAGACCCACAACAUCCAAGGCUGAACCAUAAGCCAAAUACACCUUACCAAAGUCACCUGCAGCAUAAUUCUGUAUGAUUUCUCGGUGUAGAGUGGUAUGAAAUGAAGCUCCUGAAUCCAAAACCCAAUCAUCAAGUGGACUGUCUCCUGUACGAAGUAAUGCAUCUUGUACCUCUUCUGUUAUAGCAUUAGUAGAAUCAUCUUCAUUUUUCUUCUUAGGACUUUUGCAUUGCCUUCUAAAGUGACCUAUUUUCCCAUAGUUCCAGGAUUGUACUUGUUGGCCUAAUCUAGAUUUGCUUCUGUUCCGAUUAGAAUUUCUGGAUUUUGAUCUACCCCGAUUUGAAUUUAUGUCAUUACCUCUACCUCUUGUCUCAAGGUUUAGGGUAGAACCAAAUCCUAAGGUUUCGCCUACAUCUUUUCGGUGAAUCUCCUCAACCAGAAUUAAAUCUCGUAUAUCAUUGUACUUGAGCUUUUCCUUUCCCAUAGAAUUGCUUACUGCCAUCCUCAUUGCCUCCCAACUAUUUGGCAAAGAAGCCAAGACGAUUAGAGCACGAAUCUCAUCAUCAAAAUCAAUUUCUACAGACGAAAAUUGAUUUGUGAUUGUAUUAAAUUCAUUCAAAUGUUGUGUUAUUGAUGCAUUCUCUGCCAUCUUCAAAUUGAACAAUUUUUUCAUCAGAUGCACCUUAUUGUUUGCGAACGACUUUUCAUACAUACUGGACAAAGCCUUCAUCAGAUCUGCUGUGGUCUUCUCCUUUACAACAUUGUGUGCAACAGACUUAGAUAGAGUUAACUUAAUAACUCCUAAAACCUGUUUGUCAAGAAGCACCUAUUCCUCAGCCUUCAUACUCUCAGGUUUUGUCCCCAAAAGGGGCAGAUGCAAUUUCAUCCCAUAGAGAUAAUCUUCAAUCUGCAUCCUCCAAUAUGCAAAGUCUAUGCCAUCAAACUUUUCUAUUCCAGACGUCUUUCCUGCUUCCUCUGUCAUUGCUCCCACUCAAACCUAACCCUAGGCUUUGAUACCAGUUGAAGGGAAUAGGCCGAAUUCCCAACCUGUGAGAAACAAAAAAAAUAGAGUAAAUACACGCCAAAGAAAAACAAUCACACGCACAAAACAGUAUUUACGUGGUUCAGCAAUUUGCCUACAUCCACGGAGUUGCAAGGAUAUCACUAUUAUCAGGGAAGAAUAUAGAGUACUUCAGUCAGCUACAAUAUUUUCUCUCUAUAUAUAACACAGUAACCACACCACACUAAAAAAACCCUAAUUACAAAAUGCGGUUCCACAAUGGGAUAAACGGGCCCAAAAGCCCAAGCCUUCGCUCCAUGGACUAAGACUCAGUAAAUCUCCCAUUAAAAAACCACGCAAUAUUAUUCGGGUCGGGUCGUCAAAUCGGAUCAAACAAAACUAGGCUCCACAAAGCCUAACAUCUUGUAAUUUGUAUAAGGCAAGGAUAUUUCUAUUAACAUUUUAAAAAAAAAUUAGAAGGAAGUUAAUGAAGUUGACAUUUUUUAUAAAUCCUAUAAGUUAUAACGAGCUAAUUUGCAUUGGUGAUGUAAAAUUAUUUGUUUUCUCCAGUGUUAAAUUAAAAUAAAAUAUAAUAUAAUAAAAAUAUAAUACAUUUUCUAGUUCUUUAUAUUUAAUAUAUAUAUAUAUAUAUAUAUAUAUAUAUAUAUAUAUAUAUAUAUAUAUAUAUACAAAAAAAAAUAGCAAAGGAUUUCAUUAGAAAAUUUACAAUAAUUUUACCAAAAUUUGCAUAAAAAAUUUAAUUUUUUUAAAACAAUUGAAUAAUUUCUCUAAUAAACUCUAGGAUUUCUCUAAUAAUUUCACUGCAAAUGAGCCAAAGUAAUGAAACUUUUUAUUUAAAAAUUAUAUAUAAUUUUUACAGUGAAGUAUCAUUGUAAAUGUGCCAUUGUUUAAUCAAUCAUUAAAAUCCAAAUUGUUUAAAAUUUUCAAAAUCAUAAGAGAAACUACUUUUAAAAUAUUAUUUAAUAAAAUAUUAAAUAUAAAAUUACAAAAAUUUUAAUAAAUAAAAAAAUUUAAAAACCUUUCAUUUAUUAGAAAAGUACAUAAAACCAAAAUUUUUAUAUAAACAAAUAAAAGUUGAAAAAGUUAAAAGUUAAUAGAUUGAAACAAUGAAAAAUGGAUUAGAAUGAAAAAUGCAAUGAUAAGUAAGUAUAUUAAAUAGAUUUAUAAAAGAUUUUCCUUGUUUUUUAUAUCAUUGUUUAAAAUUUAUGAAAUUAGAUUCAUUUAAUCCCAAUUAUAUAUCAUAUUAAUUUGGAUUCAUUUUGAACUGAAAUUGAGAUUUAUUUUUUUAAGUAGUGAUUUUUUGUUUUUUACUUUUUAAAUUUUUCGAAAAAAUCAUUGUUGAUAUAUAUGGCUUUGUUUGGUAAUUAUUUUUUAAAAUAAUUAUGAAAAAAUAGUUUUUAAGAACAAUUUUUAAAAAUUGUUCUAUGAUGUUUUAUAAAAUAAAAGUUUAUUUGGGAAUCUAAAAUUGUUUUUAACCUAUUUUUAAUAUUUUUAAAUAUACUUUAGAAAUAAUUUUAUGUUCAUAACUUUAUUUUUAAUUGUAUAAUUAUUCUUUAAGACAACUCUAAAAAAACAACUUGAAACAACUGAAAACACUGGGUUAUGGGCCUGCACUUUCUGAGCACAUUAUUUUGGAUGCUGGUCUGAUUCCAAACACAAAAGUUUCUAAGGAUAGCAAAUUUGACAUUGAUACAAUUCAGCGUUUAGCCCAAUCUGUCACUAAGUUUGAGAACUGGCUAGAAGAUGUUAUCUAAGGUGAUCAAGUUCCAGAAGGUUAUAUUUUAAUGCAGAAUAAAAAUUUUCUAAUAUGAGUCAAAGCGUAGAUGCAAAGGAAGUUGCCCAAGAACAACCACUGCUUGGAUUGGCUUGUGUUUAACCCUUCCAAGUUGAGACCAUGUUUGCUAGCUCCUAAUGGCCUUGAAGAUUUCCUUCCUUAACAGGGUAAGUUUUUUUGCUUAAAUGUCCAUAGAAUUGAAUUUUAGCUACAUGAUAACAAGUUAUUUACAACAGAGAUGAUGAUAAAGCAGUUUCAAUCAUGUCACGCCAUCGGUAUCCAGUUGAAAUUUGUCGAGUUUUUGAGCGUACUGCCACUACUAAGUUGCAAGCAGCCCUCACAUCUCCCAAGGAAUCGGAGAGCAAUGAAGCAGUCAAGGCCAGUGAGGGUGGAAAUAAAGUGUCUGAUGCGCCUAGAGAGAAGCAGGGUAACCGCAAAGGUGUGAAGUCAUCUGAGCCAAGCAAAAAUACUAAUGAUGGUGCUCGUGCCAAGCAAGCGACCUUGAAGGCUGUUCUUGGAGAGGCACUGGGUUAUGGGCCUGCACUUUCUGAGCACAUUAUUUUGGAUGCUGGUCUGAUUCCAAACACAAAAGUUACUAAGGAUAGCAAAUUUGACAUUGAUACAAUUCAGCGUUUAGCCCAAUCUGUCACUAAGUUUGAGAACUGGCUAAAAGAUGUUAUCUAAGGUGAUCAAGUUCCAGAAGGUUAUAUUUUAAUGCAGAAUAAGAUUUUUGGAAAGGACUGCCCCCCAUCUCAACCAGAUCGUGGUAGCCAGGUUGUGGAUGUGUUUUUUUUUUUUCUUUAUGUGUGCUAAUCCAGAGUAGACUGUCAUUUCCUUCCAUUUUUGCUUUGAUAUGAUAUAAUCAAGUUCCACAUAUGUGUGAAUGUAAACAUGUUUGUUUGGUUUACGAUUAGAAUAGUGUUAUUCAUUACGUGUUUUAAUACCCUUUGCAGAUCUAUGAUGAAUUCUGCCCAAUUUUAUUGAACCAGUUCAAAUCAAGGGAGUUUGUAAAAUUUGAGACUUUUGAUGCUGCAUUGGAUGAGUUCUACAGUAAAAUUGAGGGUCAACGACCAGAACAACAACAAAAGGCAAAAGAGGUCUCUGCCAUGCAGAAACUCAAUAAAAUACACGUGGAUCAGGUCUUUAAAUUAUUGUCUGAUAUUUGAAGCCAAUAGAAUCAUUUCCUUCUUUUAAGAAGAGUGGUUUCACAUGCUUUCUAGCCUUUCAGCUAGUUGCUUGCUUGCAACUAUGUUAUAGUGACUUGGGCAGCAAGCAAUGAGAAUCUAGCCAAUGCAUCAGUGGUUGUAUGGGCAUGCUAUGGUCAUUCUCUCUUUACAUGUCCAAAGGUUCUCUGCUAGAAAUAUUAUUCAGUAUUUUAUGAUCAUUGCCAUGUGUUAUAGUCUCUUUCAACUUGAUGCUGUAGGAAAAUCGUGUGCAUACACUGAAGAAAGAGGCUGACCGCUGCAUUAAAAUGGCAGAAUUGAUAGAAUAUAACCUAGAAGAUGUUGAUGCUGCCAUAUUAGCUGUCCGUGUUGCUUUGGCAAAUGGUAUGAAUUGGGAGGAUCUUGCCCGAAUGGUGAAAGAAGAGAAAAAAUCUGGAAAUUCUGUAGCUGGCCUCAUUGACAAGCUUUAUCUUGAGAGAAAUUGCAUGACACUGCUGUUGAGUAACAACCUUGAUGAAAUGGAUGAUGAUGAAAAGACACUUUCAUGUGGAUAAGGUGUGGUGGCAUGAUGCAAUUUUUUUUUUUUUUUGCAUCUUAAUGCGUCAUAAUAACAAAACUGCUUAUGUUUACUUCCAUUUGAAGGCAUUCAUGCUGAUUCUAAAUUACCAUUAAGCUUAUCUUGUUGGAUGUGACAUAUGCUAAUUUCCACUCUGGUUCACAGCUGUCUGAUCAAACAAAUUACAGAUCAUGUAAAGCCCAUAUCUUUAUUCUUCAAACUUGUCAUCUCUUUUCUUUUCACUUUCUAGGUAGAAGUUGAUUUGGCACUUUCAGCACACGCGAAUGCUCGGCGGUGGUAUGAACAGAAGAAAAGGCAGGAAAACAAGCAGGAAAAGACUAUUAUAGCUCAUGAAAAAGCUUUUAAAGCUGCUGAAAAGAAGUCUUGCGUCCAGCUUUCACAGGUAGGAGAACAUUACAGUUGUUUUUCCCCUUUGAUUUAUUUUGUACUGAUGCUAUUUUCAAAAUUUUGAAUCAUUAAAUGCAGCUGGUCCUGAGUUAUUGGCCCUUGGUAUUAUGUUACAUGUGUGCUGUGAGGAAAGUUAGUACUUAACCGUAUCUUCGCUGAAGAUUCACAGGAAUGAAUGAUUAGGACCUAAGUUGAAUGUUUAUUAGCAUCUAGUUUGAUUUAAAUGAUCUGAACAACACGGUACCCUUUGUAUACUUCCUGUGUACCUUGUUGCGCUCUUUCUUUGGCACGUGUUUAUAAUAUCUCACCAUUACUUAUAAAAAAACUAACAACACACCUGCCUCUCAGCACCAGAAGAAUUACUAAGCAUGAUUUUAGUUUUGUUUUUAAUUAUUGGUUGAGCUUAAAUGAACCAUUAAGUUGUCUUUUCUCAAUGGUCAAGUGUCUGAAUCUUCUCAUCUAUAAUUGUGCUGGAAAAAACCGUUGCCACAAUUUCACAUAUGCGAAAAGUUCACUGGUUUGAGAAAUUUAAUUGGUUCAUCAGCAGUGAGAAUUAUUUGGUUAUCAGUGGACGUGAUGCUCAACAGAACGAGAUGAUUGUCAAGCGUUAUAUGUCAAAAGGGGACCUGUAAGUAGAUUUUCUCCAUUAAUAAACAAAUUUAACUCUAAGAAGAGAAAAUGGGCAAAAACCUUUAUCUGUAUGGGGAAUAUAUCAAGGGGAAAAAAAGAGACGAAAAGGAAAGUGGCACUGGAAGUUAAGAGAGUUAAGGAGGAAAAAAAUGAGGCCCAAUUCCACCCAUUACUAUGCCACAAAAAAAGAAGUUUCAGAUUCAUACAUUUCAAAUCAACCAACAACAACUCCUCAUCAACAUUUUUGUUUUUCCAAAGGCACCUAAACACCUGUUGCAGAAUACUACUCCACUACUCUUCCUCAUAACUCCUAUGACAUGUUAAUCCAACAUUGACUCUCUAUAAGUAGAUAUUAUUUUAUAAAAUCUCUUUCAAAUGUUUCUGACAGAAGGAUCCUUUAAUGAUUUACACAAAAGUUUAACAUGUCUUAGGCCAAAUAUUCAACCAAUAAAAAGAUUUAUUGUGCAUAUUCAUUAAAUAUUGUUAAAUGCUAGUCUAUUAUUUGGUUUUGUUUUUUGUCCGUUGUUGUAGUACUUAUUUUAUUUUAGUUUGGUAUUUUAUUUUUUUAUUUAUUUUUUAUUGAACACUUUCUUUGAAUGAGAAGACUCAAAAGAGUUGUGUAAAGACUUAGAAUUUCCAACUUAUUGUAAUACAGUCGUCAGCAUUUUGGUGAAAGUAUUUUUGAAGCUUACAGGCUUUAGUUAUCUUUCUAAUGCCAGGUAAUUUCCUCUUCAUCUAUUUACUUUGUGGAAACCACCUCAAUCACACUUACGUAUCUUAUUCCCCUACCUAUGCAAUUUGAGAUUUAAUAGACCUGUUUCUCCUAUUAACAUUAGGGGAGGCCUUUUCUGCUUUAUGAAUUAAUCUUCACAAAUAUUUAUUGUAAGUUAUACUUUCUUGUCUCUUUUCAUGUCAAUCAUGUACAUUGGUAGACGUUAUUAAUUCUCUGAGUUAUGAAAUGGGAUUUAGGAAUUUAGGAUUAAAGGGAAAUACGAUUUUAUGAAAUAUGUCUUAUCUAAUUCAUAGACCUCCAUGAUUUAAGCUUUUAUCAGCUUGCUGUUAUCCCUCUCAGCUGAUUAUUGUUAUUAUGGAAUAUGAAUUGAUCCAAUAAUGUGGAGUCUUAAUAUCCCUCUUUUUAAAAAAAAAUAAAAAUAAAAAUCUGAAAUCUUAAUAUCCCUGUUGUUUCUUCUGAUAUUGCUCAUUUGAUUAUGAAUUAGGUAUAUCCAUGCAGAUCUACAUGGAGCUUCAAGUACUGUGAUCGAGAACCACAAGCCUGAACAUCCAGUACCCCCUCUUACUUAGAGCCAAGCAGGAUGUUUCACUGUAAGUUGGUCAUCUUUCAAUAUUCUUUUGGUAUUAUUUCAUUUUAUUGUGUCUUAAGAGUGAACAGCAUAUCUGCACUCUGAAUUAUUUAGCUUGCAAUUUUUUUGUAAAAUAGGUUUGUCACAGCCAGGCGUGGGAUUCAAAGAUUGUCACAAGUGCUUGGUGGGUUUAUCCUCACCAGGUCAGUAAAACUGCUUCUACUGGGGAAUAUCUUACAGUUGGGAGUUUCAUGAUCCGUGGGAAGAACUUUCUUCCUCCACACCCUCUUAUGAUGGGCUUUGGCUUGUUAUUUUGCUUAGAUGAGAGCUCCUUGGGAUCACAUUUAAAUGAAAGGCGGGUGAGAGGUGAGGAGGAAGGGGCACAAGAUUUUGAGGAGAAUGAAUCUCUUAAAGGAAAUUCUGAUUCUGAGUCAGAGAAGGAAGAAACAGAUGAAAAACGUACUGCAGAGUCAAAAAGCAUAAUGGAUCCAUCAACACAUCAACCAAUAUUAGAAGGCUUUUCUGAAAUUAGUUCUGCUCAUAAUGAAUUGACCACCUCCAAUGUUGGAUCCAUCAAUUUUCCCGAAGUUCCUCUUGAAGAGAGGAAUAUGUUGAAUGGAAAUGAUAGUGAGCAUAUAGAUGAUAUUUCUGGAAUACAUGUUUCUUCUGUCAAUCCACAACUUGAGGAUCUCAUUGAUAGGGCUCUUGAACUUGGAUCUAAUACUGCAUCUGGUAAGAAGUAUGCUCUUGAAACUUCUCAAGUUGAUUUGGAAGAACACAAUCAUGAAGACAGAAAGGCUAAAGUCAGAGAGAAACCUUAUACUAGCUACCAAAGUCAGAGAAAAAAAUGAACACAAAUUUUGCGCCUGUAACAAAAGAAAACACUUCAUUCCAUUUGUUUAGCAGUUUAGAUGUACACUUGUAGGUUCUGGCUUGCUUCAUAUGCUAGUGUAUUUGAUAAGUAUGACCAACAGGCAUAGGCGCAAAAACUGGGGUGUGAGAGUUUGGCAGUGCAAUACUUUUGUUUCAGUGCCACUAAACAAGACAAGAACAACCAAUCCUUCACUAAAUGAAAGAUGAAGUGCAUGAAAUCAUGUAGCCUGGUCUAUUUCUCAAUACUAGCUACCAAAGCAUUUUUUUUUUUUUUUUUUUACAUCAGAUCUACUUCCUUUCACCUCAAUUAUAACACCCAAAAUCGAAUACCACAAUAAAAAAGUUGACCCCUCAGUUUGGAGCAUUUGAAGAACAAGUAUUAAGUCAAACCAUCCAAUUUUCAUACUUUUGGGCCUAUAGCGUCCCAAGAUUUUUCUUCACUAUCAAAAACAACUAAAAAGAAUUCCUUAAAGCACUUCGAAUUGAAAUUACCAAGGUUUCAAAAUUAAAAAACAUCCUGCCCAAAAAAGGCAUCCACCUGGAACCUUUUAGAACAAAAUGAAAUUAUUAGAAUCAUUCCAUUUUCCUAGUUUUUAUACUACUGCAGCAAUGAAACAAACAUCUCAGGUGACAAAGAAGCCCUCUAACUACAAACACUAUGUUUUACUUACCAAACCAAAACAAUUGAAGUAUGCAAAUUCUACCAAAGAAAAAGAAAAAGUUAUAGCAUGAUAAAAUCAUUGUAUUUGUCAAAUAAUUCAAACUGAAAAGUAAUAGCAACUUCAAGAUCCAACAACAAAGCACAACAUAAAUUUGAAAUUGUUUGUUAUUAAUCAAAAACUCUUAAAAAUUAAAUACCCUUUUGGGUUGAUUUACCAUUGGCAGUCAAAGAAUUAUUCCAUUAAUACUUCUCUCAUGAGAAGCAACAACCCCUAAAGUUAGCUGCAAAGCAACUCAACAACCAUUAUGUUCAAUCAAUUAUUGAAAAUUUUAACUUAAAAGAAACUAAGCUUAGAACAGAAAAGGGAUGGGAUAUUAGUGACCAAAUAGUCACAUUAUAAUUGAACACAUUUAUAAUAUGUCAUACAUACCAGUAGAUGAAUACAAACAAAACCAAAUACUCAUGUUAUAAUUAAACACAUUAAUAAUGUUUCAUACAUACCAGUAGGUGAAUAUAAACCAAAAGUCAUACAUAUAAAAACGCCAAGACAGUAAUACCAACAUGGAAAACAACACCACAUGAAACAAUAACAACAAGAGCAACCGCUCCUUGGACUGUGGAUGGACUCCUACAACUCAAAAUUCCUAGUCGAAUCUGAAGGAUGUUCACUAUUGAGAGAAUUAGAAAAAUACAUCCCAAGAUUGAGCUAAAGAUGGCACAAAGCAUCACCUUUCGAAUAGACUUUCUAUUGAAGUGGCUUCUAAACUCUUUAUUUGAUUCAGCAGCAUUGACAAGUUUGAUCAUUAUCUUCAAGCCAUGAGCCACCCAUGAUGAUGUGAGAAAAAAUGCAAAGGAAAUGACCUCAAAGAACAUCAGGGUCCUGAUCGUGCUGAUAUUGGCAUCGCAGCCAAGACGACCAUCAAUGCUAUGUAGUCCUAUGGUGGUGAGGGAGAAUCCCAGAAAUGAGGAGACAGCGUAUAAGGAGUUGAAACUCACAACGGUAUCAAGGGCAGCGAAUUGAAUGUCAUCUCUUAUCUCCUCUCUUGAUUUUACUUGAAUAACCCUGAAAAUAAAAGUAAUAGGUUAAUUUAUAUUGAUUUAUAAAAGGAAGUAAAAAAAUGUUGAAAUUAAGAUAGAUACUGUUGGGCCUUCAUUUCUGAGACAGUCUUGUAGCAGGUGCUGUAAAUAAAAAACUGGUGAGAAUUAGUUAAGAAAAAGAGUGGAUAAAAGGCAAGAAAAAAUAUUUGCUAUUAUCAACUAUGUAAAACAAUAAAUUUUCAAUUAAAAAAAAAUGAAAAAAUGAACAUAAAUUAUCAACGAGCAUCAUAGUUCAAGCCAGAUAAUCCCCGGACUGUAAAGUAAAUAGUGAUGAUCGAAAUUAAUAAUUAAUAAUUAUUUACAUCGAGGAAAAUUGUUCGCCGAAAUAUCGGAUAUCGGUCGGGCCCGAUAUUCGAACCCGAUUAUCGAUUUCCAGGAAUAUCGUUAAAAAAUCGGCAAAAUGGCCUAUAUUUCGACCGAUAAAUAGGCGAUAAAUCGCGAGUGGAGCUGACGGGCGGAGAACCCGGAAGAGAAUUUAAAAAAAUCGCCGAUAUUUCGGGAAAUUUCCCGAUAUUUCCUACCAGUCCAGCCCGCGCACAGGAUACAAAAUCUGUCCAAUUUUUUUUUUUAAAAAAACAUAAAAUGCUAUUUGGGGUAAUCUGAUCAUGAUUUGCGGGCAAAGGUUGUGUUUUUCAGCCUGGCUCAAAAAUCGUGGAUUUAGGGUUCGUGAAAUUUAAAUCCAAUGGCACAACAGCAAAGAGACCCCUAAAACAGAUCCAGAAAACACAGGGAGCAAAAGAAAAGCAAUUUUUCUUGGUUUUCUUUGGGGGUUUUGCAUGGAUUUUCUCGGAAAUCAAACGACGAUGAAUUUUCCCGGAAAUCGAAUGGGGGUUGGAUUUUCUUGGGAAUCAAACGGGGGUUGCAAAAAAAAUAAUAAUAACAUGAUUAGAUUAGUACCUGCGAGGAUUGAGAGUGGCAGAGGAAAAUAGGGCUUUUUUAGGGAUGCUCUCGCCUGGAGGACAACUUCAGGAAAGGCCUUCUUGAUGCGCGAGUGAGAGAAGUGUGUGCCUUUUGAUUUUUAUAUUUAGUAGAGAUAAAAGAAAAUAAACAAAUCAUGAGAACAAUUUUCCUCUCUCUAUAAAUAAUUAUUAAUUAUCGACCUUUAUUUUGAUUAUUAAAUAAAUUAAUAUUAAUAAAAAGGUUGUUACUAGUAUUUUAAAUAAAAUUUAAAAAAUUAAAUUUUAAAUAAAAUAUUUUAUAUAAAUUAAUUUAAUUUUUCAUUUAAAAAAUGUUUUAAUAAAAAUAUUUUUACCUAAAUGACAACUUCUUCUUAAAAAAUUAAUAAUAUUUCUUUCAAAUAUAUUAUAUAUAAUUCUAAAUUUUUAUUUAAUUUUACCACCAAAUCUUAUUAUUAUUUAAAUAUUAUUAAAUUUGGGAUUUGAAUGCAUUAAAUAUUCCAAUAAACAAGAUUUGAAAUUUAUGAUAUGAAAGAAGCAUAAAUCAUCAUAGUAAUUAUGAAAUUUGAAAUUAAUGAAAAUAUUCUAACAAACAAGAUUUAAAAUUUGUGGUAUGAAAGAAACAUUUUUUUUCCUUGAAGAUUUAAAAUUAAUGAAAAUAUUUCAUUAAUAUAUAUAUAUAUAUAUAUAUAUUCAUUGUACUUGUUAAUGGAAAAUAUUCUAACAAAAAGAAUAAGAAAUUUGUGAUAUGAAAGAAUAAUUUUUUUUCCUGAAAUAAUAAAAUAUUUUACUAAAACAAUAUUUGAAAUUUGUGGUUGAGAAGAAAUAUUUUUUUUCUCUGAAAUUUGUAAUUAAUGGAAAUGUACGCAUAAAACACUCCAUAAGUGAAAAUAUUAGCAAAGGUUAGGUUAGAAAAAAUAAAUAAUUAUUAUAAAAUUAUUGAUUCCUUAAAGUGAAAAUAAUCGCAUACUUUAGAAAACAUAAACAAUUACCAUAAAAUUAUUGCAAUGGUGAUUGUCGGGUAUGACCACUGCACCACUCACCAACUUAUAUUAAAAAAUAGAUAAAUAUUUAAAUGCAUUAAAUAUAAUCAUUUUUAAAAUUAUAAAUAAUAAGAACCCCAUUAAUAUUUAGAUAUAAUUUAGGUUGAUUUUCCCUUUAAAAAAAUUAGAGCUAAAUAUAGAUACACUUAAAAUGUUAAUGGAAAAUAUUUAUUGUACUUAUUAAUGGAACAGGCCCAACUGCCCCCAUUUUCUCCCAUUUUAGUUGUAACCCUCGUCACGCAUGGUUCAAAGUCGCGGUAUCGGUCACUAAUUUGGAGGGCCCCGAGGCGUAUCGGUUUGGUAUCGGGCGAUACGUAAAAUAAGUUAAUUAGAAAAUUCAAAAAAUUAUAAAAAUAUUAUGUAAAUUAUAAGAAAAAUAUAUACAAUUAAAUAAGCUCAAAAAAUUAAUAAAAUAAAAUUGUCUCACAUUUAACAUUAUUUAAAUAGUUAUAAAAGUACCUACUCAGAGUUAUUUAUGAUAAUGCUAAUAAAAGAAAAUUAUUUUAUUUCAAAUAUAAUAAUGUUUUUACUAACAAACAUACAAUACAAUAAUCAAUUCCAUGUUGAAUGACGAGGGGGUUCAAAAUCAUUAUCAUCAGUCCUACGACGAGUAUAUGAUUACUACUCAAAAAGUGUUAUUUGAUAGCUUGUAAUUAACUCUUUUAAACACUUUUGAGUAGUAGUUAUUACCUUUUAACCCAAUUAACAUAUUAAGGAUCCUUGCAAUCAAUUUUAAUCAAAUUGUGUUAAGUUUUGGUGUUUUGAUAGCUUUUUGAUCAUCAAAGCAAUCAGAGAUUGAGGAGAGUCCUUAGGAAUCCAUGGCAAAGAUGUCCGGACAGGGCGUCCGGACACACCAUUGGAGAGCGGUGGAAAGUGGGUUGUAGCAAGGCUUGCUCACUAUAGCCAAUGUUUUCCAUCCGGACAACAUAUCCGGAUAAGAUAUGCUAUCGUUCGGAUGGAGUUGCUCCGGAUAACAUGGCGGUGCGUGUCCUCUUGGGAAAUCCGAAUGGAGUUGAUUCGGAUAUAGCCUUGCGCACUCCGUGUCAUCUGGGAGAGGGGUCCUUACACCUUGCACAAGCAAACGGUCCCCCUUGCGCAGCAUAGCUCAGUCCACCCGGGGAGGAAUUCCGUGCGCCGACAUUUUACAUCCGGAUAUCUCACAGCCGGAUGGGAGAGGAAGACGUUUCAACUUCUCCGGAUAGAUAUAUCCGGAUCUUCUGAUAGCGCUCAUCCGGAGAGCAUCUGCACCCGACAUUUCAGAUUACCCGGAUUUUGCACAGUGACACGGUGUUCUCCUGAAGCUUCAUGAUAUUUCCGACCGACAUUUUAAGAUAUUUUGGGAUAUUUUGCUUUAGAUAUUUGAUGUCUAAAUCCCCAAACUCUCCUUGUAAUCCACCUAUCAUAGGAUUCCUUAGUCUUUAAGUAAGUACAAAGGGUGAAUAACCUCUUAUAUAUAGUGUGUAAUCUUCUUUACAAAGAUAUCUAUUAUGUAAUCAAAGGAAGAAAGAAAUAUAUUUCAUAGAGCACUUGCUCUGUUUUUCCUUCAUAUAAUUGUUUUCUCGUUAGUUUUCUUACUAGCCAAACAAGCUUUGAGGAAGUUUCCUCAGAGAAUGAGUGGCUAGACUUUUAGUUCCUUGGAGUUAAGGUUGCCGGGAAAGGUUCCAAGUGCAUGAAUUAGUAGCUUUGUGGUUUCAGUCUUUAAUGAAGAGAAAGUGUGAUCCUUUAAUGAUUUCUAUGUUUUUAAUUAACUUAAAACACCUUCAAGUCACUUGAGCCAACACUUGGUAAGGCACGUGAUCUCCGUCCCUGGAGAUGCACUUGUUUAUCUCUUGCAAGCUUUUGGGAAGUGACUUAGAGGUAGGAUUUUCUAGAAUUACCAACACUUGGUAAGCUUUUGGACUCUAAGGAGACAUCCAUUAGUUAUCUCUUGCGAGCUUGAGAAGGGAAGUCCAAAGUUAAAGAUCACCUUGAAUGGCAAAUGUUAGGUGAAAGGCACGAGUCAUUGCAAGUUGCAUCAGUGAGAGGGAUUUAGUGUUUGAACCCAUAAAAGGGAAGCAUUUGUACAGCACCGAUUAAAGAAUUGACUAUAUGUUAAUUCUCUAAUGCGAGGAAAUGAACCAAAUGACCAGAGCUUUGUUUUUGCAUAAGGAACCUCCCCUGUGAAUCUAAACCUCCAAGGAAUGUUUUUCUUCAUAAGUAAUUUCCAUUACUUUCUUUUUAGUUAACUUUAAACAAAACCUCAUUUAAACAAAGUUUGUGUUUUAUUUCUUAAGCUAACCUUGAAAUGAAAAAGCACCAAUUUACUUUGAAUUGGUAUCAGUUGAGAGUUGAAAACCCUUCCCAGUGAACGAUCCUAGAGCCAUUAUGCUAUAUUAGCUAAGCUAUCCUAAUGCAUGGUGAUAUAGGUUAUAAAUUUUGUUGAUUACUCUCUCAAUCAAAGAGCACCAGCUGGACAUGAAUCAGCUAAGACACCAAUUGGGAAUGAAUCAGUAUACAAAUUAGGGUGGCAAUUCCCGUAAUGAGGAUAUGGUUGAAAGAGUUGUUCAUAACUCGAAUAUGUUGGCUGAGAUGAUUGACUUGAUGAUCCAUAAUCAGGAAAAUAUGGUUUUGAAGGUUGUUCGGGAUCAACACUAUAUUGAUAGUAUCCAAAACCUCGACAAGCAAUGCUACUGCUAUCAGAAGAUUGAUCAUAUCCAUAUGAAUCACUAGCUUGUGUUCCAGUAUUUGAAUAUCCCUCUGGAUGCAUAAUUGGAAAUCGAUCAAAAUCAUUUCUACUAAAAGUACUAGAAGAGCUAUUACAGUCUCUAAAGGUGUGAUAUGAUCUACCAUCUACCCCUCUGAAAUACGGUCUUAAUCUCAUACCCAAAUUUUGCAAGUGCCCAUCGAUACGGUGAUAAUUUGAUUUAUGAUAAUCAUGCCCACUAGAAUAAUCAUCAUCACUAGGAAAUGUAGUUAGUCUUUCCAAAUACUUUCGUUGUUCCCAUAUCCCUAGUCGAUAUCCAUGAUCUGUAUCUUGCGUGGUAUAGUAAUUUUCACCUCCUUGUGCCCAUGACAUGCUAGGAUCUACUUGACUAACAUAACUGCCCCCAAUGCUACCAUCUCCUCUAGUACCCUCACCAAUGCCACCAACUCCUCUACUACCCCCACUAGUGCCACCACCCCGCCUAUUGCCCUCAUUGUCACCAUUAUCACUACUAGAAUUUAAAGAAAUUUUUCUAGAAGCCUUACCUUUACGGCGGGAAUCAACAUUUCUUUCUUGUGUAGCAUUACUUGUACGCGUACUAACUCUACAAUUUGUGGCACCAUCUUCUUCAUGAACUGUUUCUCUACCUUCUUCAUUAGAGGGAAGACCUUUAUCCAACCAAUCCAAAUUAUCAGAUGAUAAAAUAGGUUCCUCUCCUUCUCGUAUCCACUCAUCUAAUAUAUCAUCAUCAUUAAAGAUAUUAUUCAGAUCAAUUGGAUUGUAUAAAUCUUCAUUGUUUCGUUCUUGCAUCAAAUUCUUAACUCGAAGUCACAUAUUGUAGUGCACAUAAACUAACUUAUGCAACUUUUUCAUUGCCAAACGGUUGCGCAACUUUGUGUGAAUCAAUGAUCAUGUGCUCCAAUUUCUUUCACAACCUGAUGAAGAACAAGUUUGGCUUAAAAUUUUAAUAGCAAUCUUUUGUAGAUGUGGACCUUCGUCGCCAUAGUUGUUCCACCAUUCAACUAUAAUAAAGAAAAUGCAUACUUAUUAAUCACUAUGAUAUAUUUAACAAAAAAUGAUGAUAAUUUCUUAUUUGUAAUAGAUGUAAAUGUAUUAAGUACUUGGAAGAGAUUGAUUUAUUGCUUUCUUUGUAAGUGCACUUCCAAAUUCUCAUCCACUGUCAACAAAUAAUUUCACCUACAUCAUUAACAUUUUUUUUUGUUAAUGCACAUUACAUAUACAAAAUGUAUUAUAUAAAGGUCACAAACUAUUAUUAUACCUUGUUAAUAGCUUUUGCUUGUCUAUUCAAAUCUAGCUUUAAACUCUUGAUAACCUCCUUUAAUCCAACUUUAAUUUCCAAAUGGUUGGAGAAGUGCUUUGAAUAUUGGAACAUUGGAUUUUAAAAAUAUGCCGGCAUAAGUUAAAUAAUAAUCGGUUUAUAAUAAUUUGUACUGAAAAAAAUAAUAAAAAAUAUAUAAAUAAUUUUUUUAUUACCUGCAGCAUGCAAAUGGUUGUGCAAUUGACCUUCCCACUUUCUAUCAAUGACUUCUCAAUACUUUUCCCAUUGCUUGACCGAUGCCUUGAUAGCCAAUUUAUCUCUAUCCAUUGCUUCAUAAAUGAUUGAUACUGUGGACUUUUUAUCUUGAUCAACCAAUUUCAAUACUUUGACGAGAGGUUCCAUAAUGGUUUGAACUUCCCCUAUCUUCUUCAAAAAUCGAUCAGUUAAGAUAAGGUUGGAUACCUUAUCUCUUAGACCUUUUCUGUUCCUAUCUUUAUUGAAUUCAUGCCACUUAUUUGUUGUGCACAUUCUCUUCAAAUAAGCCUCAUAACAUAUAAGACUCUCAAAUGAAAUGAAUUAAGUGGCAAAACGGGUUAUUCCCGACCUUAACAUAUUUAUAUCCUUGGUAAACACUUUCAUUAAAUUCACUACUUUCAAGUUAUUAUAAAUAAAUCUUGUGAUCAUCUUAGCUUGAUCUAAUGUCUCUUUAAUCUAUUUCAUGCUUGCAAUAUCUUCAAGCAUGAAAUCAAUACAGUGGGCUGCACAAAGAGACCAAAACAAAUGUUUCCACUUCUCCAUCAACAACAUACUGACUACUUUAAAACUUGUCUCAUUAUCAGUGACUACUUGAACAACAUUUUCCUUCCCAACCUCCUUUACAACUUAUCCAUAAGGGAAAAGAUGUAGUCUACUGUCUUAGGUAUAUUGGUAGUGUCAAUUGAAGAAUGAUAUAUUAUACUUCUAUCACAAUAAAUCAUGAAAUUGAUGAUAGGCUUUCAAGUCCUAGAAAUCUAACCAUCACACAUGAUUGUGCACCCAUAUAUAAGUCAUUUAGCCUUCAAUGUUAUUAUAUAUACCUUAAGCUCUUGCAGCUCAUCAUCUAAAUAUGUAUUUCCAAUUUGGUAUCCAGUGGGACCCUUGAUGCCUGGACUUGUUUCUGCUAUGGUAUCAAUCAUUGAUUGAUAGUAAAGCCCACUGUCAGUUGCAUUAAAGAGUAUUGCAUUAAAGAAAAAUAAUUUAGAAAUAACUUUACAUACUUUCUUCACACCUUCAUUAGAAAACAAGUUUUUUUAUUGAUUUCUGCUUUGAUGGGAACAUGUAGGGGUCAAUUCCUUUUGGAGGUAUGCUAGCUCAUUCUCUUACACUGAAGCUACAUGUCAAUCUGCGUUUAAUCCUAGCAUUAGAAGGUUGUGAGGAACUACCACCCUUCUGAUGUUUUUGUCUACCUUCUUCAAAAAUUCGACGAAUUUCUUUCAUUGCUUGUUUCAUUUGUCUUCUUUCAAAAUCAGACAUAGCAACUUCCUCAAUUUCAUCAUCAGAAUCACCCUCAUCAUUUUCAUAGAAAUUUUCUUUAUUUAAGGAACUCAAAAGUCGUUCAUUUUCUUUUUUUUCUUUAUUUGUGUUUUUUCUUUUAAAGUAUCAGACAUAUGUUGUCUAACACUAUAUGACACUUCUACCGAUACACGUGGACAUCCUUCCACUUGUCCGGAUAUAUGUGCGAUGUGUUGCUUUAAUCUUGUUAUACCGCUAUGUAUGACUUUCCCACAAUAUUUACACUUUGUGGUUCUUCUACUACCACCAACAAGUUCUACAUGCUCCCAACUAAUAUAAUGUUUUGAAGUCAUUUUGAAAUAUUAACCUAACCAUGUAUAAAAGGAAAACAACUUACUUUUCAAAUUAAAUAUAUAUAAACACAUUUAUAUAAGAAUUAUAAUAUUCAAUUUUCCACUCACUUAUAUGUUUCAUAUUGUUACCAUAUAAAAAUAAAUUCUACUAAAAAAACAAUAAACACGAUCUCACCUAAGUACAUCAUUUUUUGUCUUCCACUUAUUUAUAUGUUUUUUAAUUAAAAUAAAUAAUAGUUAAAUAAAUGAAUAUUUUUUUUAAAAAAAAUCUUUUAAAAAAGUUUGUUUUGAUAAUUAUUGAUUUCCUAUUGUAAUUUAAUUGUAGAAUAUUAUAAAAUAAAAAAUCUACAUGAUCUAAUGAAGUAAAAUUGAUUCAAAUAUAAAUGUAAUUAACCAUGUAAAUGCAUACCCUUCAUUCCGUAUUAUUAAAUCAUUUAUGAUUAUUUGAAAAAAAAAUUAUUAAUUUUCUAAUGUAAUUUAAUUUUGCAAUAUUAUAAGAUAAAAACAUAAAUUAAAAAUACAAUAUCUAUACCAUAUAAACUUUACCAUAUAAAUGUACUUUAUAUUUCUAUACCAUACAAAAAUAAUUUAGUGAACCAAUUUAUUGUUUUGAUAAUUAUUGAUUUCCUAUUAUAAUUUAAUUGUAUAAUAUUAUAAAAUAAAAAAUCUACAUGAUAUAAUGAAGUAAAAUUGAUUCAAAUAUAAAUGUAAUUUACCAUCUAAAUGCAUACCCUUCAUUCUAUAUUAUUAAAUCAUUUAUGAUUAUUUGAAAAAAAUUAAAUAAUUAUUAAUUUUCUAAUGUAAUUUAAUAUUGCAAUAUUAUAAGAUAAAAAUAUAAAUUAAAAAUACAAUAUAUAUAUAUAUAUACCAUAUAAAUUUUACCAUAUAAAUGUACUUUAUAUUUCUAUACCAUACAAAAAUAAUUUAGUGAACCAAUUUAUUUUUUGAUAAUUAUUGAUUUCCUAUUGUAAUUUAAUUGUAGAAUAUUAUAAAAUAAAAAAUCUACACGAUAUAAUGAAGUAAAAUUGAUUCAAAUAUAAAUGUAAUUUUUCUAUAUCAUGUAAAUACAUACCCUUGAUUCCAUAUUAUUAAAUCAUUUAUGAUUAUUUGAAAAAAAAUUGUUUUAAAUAAUUAUUAAUCUCCUAAUGUAAUUUAAUUUUGUAAUAUUAUAAGAUAAAAACAUAAAUUAAAAAUACAAUAUUUGUACCAUAUAAAUGUAUUUUAUAUUUUUGUACCAUACAAAAAGAAUUUAGUGAACCAAUUUAAUAUUAUAAGAUAAAAAAAAAUCACAUAAUUUAAUAAAUUAAAAAUAUAAUCUCUAUAUAAAAUAAAAACAUUACAUAUAAAUAUAUUUAAUAUCAUCAUAAUAUUAUCAUUAUGAAUUCUCCAAUUUUAUAUAAAUAUUAUUUUCCAAUUCUUCAUUUUCGUAAAUGGUUUUUAAAAAUCAUUAUUGCGAGUCUCAAAGAAUUAUUACAUUUUGUAUAGGAUUUAUCAUUUUAUGCUUUUAAAAACAAAAAUAACAAGUAUAUCCAAACCAUACCUUACUUCAUUUGGAUACAUUUUCUGUUUUUUUUUUAAAUAAAAACUUAUAUGUAAAAAGUAAGAACUUUCUUACUAUAUACUAAUCUUAUGUUGUUAAAAAUUAUUUUCAAAAAUUUUAAAGUGAGUUAUUAAAAACUAUUGGAUUGUCAAUAAAAGUUACCACCAUUUUCUAUUUUACAAAAGAAAAAAAAACGAAAAGGAAAGAUAGAUUAUAGCAACAACAAAGUGUGUUAAACCAUAUACACAGGGGUAUAUAUAUACUCAUAUGGUUCAUUAAGCACAACACGAUAGCAAAAAGGGGGAAAAGAGAUAUAAAUGUGCAUUUUGUAAUAAAAUAAUGAUUUCACAGCCAAACUGAGGCAAAAGAAAGGAAACAAAAUAAAAAUCGAUAUUCUUCCCUUUAUUACCUCUAUUAGUUAUUACCUGUUGGUUUGAAACCCUUGUCUUCUAUCUUCUUCCCCAACACCACGAAGACCGAUCUGCAAUGACUAUCUUUUUCCCCAACACACCACGAAGACCAUGAUCUACAACCUCUCAGACUAUUGGACCUUUCCACUACUAUCAUACAACCACGAUCUGCUACUUUCUCACCGACAGCGCACCAAAGACGAAGAUUCUACACUCUGGCAAUGGUGGAUUUAAGGUUAAGUGAGUUAUUCUUCAAUCGAGGCUCUUUUUAAAGGCUUUUGAAAGGGUCACAACAUUUACAGUGAGACCUGUAACAAAAUUUACGGUGAGAGCUUCUCUCUCUAAAAAUGUAGAGAGAGAAAAUAGAUGUUAGGGCUUUCUGAGGAGAAAGAAUGCUACGAAGAUGAAUCUUUAGAGCAAAAUGAGGAAAAAGAAUACUAAUAUGAAAACAAAUCCGAUUAGGAUGGCGAACACCAUCCACUAUCCGAUUAGGAUGAAUCCUUAUAGCAAAAUGAGGAGGAAGAAAAUAGACAUUAUCUCCCAUUUUUUCACACUCUUGUGUGAUUAAUUAGCCUCCUUACACUCAUUGUCUAGCUUGCCCUAUUUAAAUAUAAUUAUAUUUAAAUUAAUCAAUCAUUAAAAUGGUGAAAGGAUUUAACUAACACCAACCAACCAAAAAUCACUUAAUUGGUUAAUUAAGAAUGCGUUUAGUAGUGAUGUUUGUAGCUAACAUUAUUAAAAAAGAAGCAAAACUUGUGAGAAUUAGUAAAGAAAAUAAAAUAUAAUUAAAAAACUUGUGAGACACCUAAAAUAUAAUUAUAAAUAAAAAAUAAUACUUAAAUAUAAAAUAAACCUUUGCUAUGUAAGACAUGCAUUAUUUCACUUAUAUUUUACUUUUUUUUUUAUUUAAUUCACGUUUUUGUGGUUCUUUUACUCUUUUUUUUUCUUUAUUUAUCUUAAAUAUUGUCAUUUUGGCACUGAUCAAUCUACUAAAUAUUAAAAAAAAAUCAUUAAUGUUGAGGCCUCACGUCCCUGGUGAUCCACGUAGUUGCCAAAUGGAUGGACGCACGAUCUCAACUAAUAUAGGUUCUUGAUUCAGUCGUUCCACCUGCAAAAGGCGUCCAAACGGGGUGUCCGGACGUACCCUCCGAAGGUUUUGUCAGUCAUGGUUAGAGAGAUGAAGAUAAAUCAGUUGACCUUUUACUAGGUAUAGCAAGCUUACCUUCCUUUUUGUGUGAAGGUUCGUAUAUAUAACAUCAGAAGCUUUGUUCCCCUCUUUAAUGGUGGGGAGAUAUUUUGUGUUGUCAUGAUGACACUAGGUGGUGGCAGAGCCAUCAUCACCCUACGGGCGGCUGACAGAGAUCGUGGUAUGUGAUCAUGUGAAGUGAUCGUGGGAAGUGACUUGUUGUCACUUCAUCUUGUCCUUUCACUCUGCAGGUGGCGGAACGUGGGCCAUGACAGGCUGUUGUGAUAACGUGCAAGACUUGCUUACUUUAGUUAAUGAUCUGGGCAAUGUAUCCGGGUGGCCUAUGUUUAGUCGUCCGGAUGCAUUGCUUAUGAGUGUCGUGUGCUUCUCCUUGAGGUAGUCCGGAUAGGAGAAGCGCGUCACGUGUACUCUUGGGGAAAUCCGGAUGGGGUUAACCCGGAUGAGAAUGUGUGCCACGUGUCAUCAAGAGAUGUGUGCCACGUGUUAUCAGAGGGAGGAGUCCCUACAAUUAAUAUAGCAAAUGAUUAAUAAUAUUUUUUUUCCAUACCUUACAUAAAAAAAUUUAUCUUUAUUUAACUAUUAUAAAUUAUUAUUUUUGAUUGAAAGUUAAUUUUUUUUUAAAUAUUCUAAAUGGUUUUUUAAUUAAAAUAAGGAAUAUGACCUGAGGGUGUUUUAGGAAGAAAGAUAGUGGGGUUCACCGAUUGGGACCCACAUCGCGGGACCCCUCCAAUGAGAAGCGAACUCACGUUGACUCCAAAGGAUUAAUUUUAUAUAUAUAUAUAUAUAUAUAUAUAUAUAUAUAUAUAUAUAUAUAUGGAAAGUCAUAAAUUUAGUGGAGUAGUAGGUUUCAUCAGACCUGUAAAAGUAGAGCUCCUCUCUAAAAAUGUAGAAAGGCUUGGGAAGUACGGCAUUUACAGUGAGAGCUGAGAAAACGAGCUUAGGAUAUAUGUGAGUUAAGUCAUGCAGGUGGAAAUUGCUGUUGAUUAACAGGAUACGGGUACACAAUGUGGGCUCUAUAUGGAAUUUUGUUGAUUAACCAUCAAGUUCAUUGGUUAAGUGCAAUGAGCUUUAGGAUAUUUAAACAAAUUCAGAUUGUUGCAGUCGUGAUAUGUUUUAUUUUGAAUGGAAAUAUCCCACAAGAAACCACUUAAAGAGAAGGAAAAAGCAGCUCACUUGACAAAAUUAUUUUUGUUAUACUAGCAUCAUAGAACAUGCCAAAUUAUGUUACUGGGUAAAUUUUACAGGAUGACUCUUCUCUAUUCACCUUUAGAGCUUGGUUUAUUCACCAGUAUUCAAACACAACAUCCCACAUCUAGCCAAAAAACAGGCUAGAUGUGGGUACACUUUCCUGAGAAACCUUAAGGCAGCUCAAAUCGCCAAGUAGCCAACUUUUAUAGGAACAGAGUUCUGAAAUACUAGUUAGACAAAAUUAAUCAGUUACUUUCUUUUUCUCUCUAAUAAUUGUCAUCGUCUUGAAUUAACACCACGAUCACUGACCUUGAUAACGCUUGUUUCUGAUACAGCAAAUAACAAAUGGCAACAAAAUUGUUGUAUGUGAUAAAUGCGGAUGCGGGUUUUGAUUUAAGCUGAUAGAUGCCAGGCCCAUGCACCAAAUCCUCCAUGUCAUGGUCCCAUCUUAAUUUGAGAGGAGCGUCCUCAAUAGAUGUCAUCACUCCAUGAGAUGGGUUUCAUCAAAAUUUAUUAUCGUUCAGAAAGAGUAGAGGGAUCAAAACAGCUGAUUAGCAGGUGACAACAGAUGAUCGUUGAAGCAUCGACAGAGUGGAGGCUGAAUACAAAAAACACGUAAAUAUAAGGUGGCGUUUGUUUUUUUGGCUUUUUGCUGAAAACAAUUUGCUUUCAGAAUUUAGGUUGUUUGUUUUUUUAAUUUUUGAUGACUUAUUACUGAAUUUUUAAAAUUUUUGACUAAAUAAAAAAAGCUAAAAAAUUUGGCUUUUUCUAUUUAGAAAAAGCCAAUUUUUUAAACCUUUACCAAAUGCGAUUGAACCCGAACCCGACGCCCAAACCUACCCACCCAUCCCUUGUAGCUCUCUGCAACCCCGAUCCUCAACCCUCACCUCAUCCCCAAAGCAAUAAUUUCUUCAUUCUCCUCCUCCAUCGCUUUCCUUCCGAGACUACAGAGUUGGAAAGAAGCUCCUCUUUCAUUCAGCAUCGUUGAUCUAAUCGAAGGUAACUGACCCAAAUUUAUUUUGGUUUUAGGAUUUCAAUAGAGCAUUUGAGUCUCAUUUUCCAGUACUUCUCUUUCUAAAACUCUCAUUUUCAAUAGAGCAUUCUGGUUCACGUGUUGCAGGUCCGUUUAUUUUUUAAGGAAGAAAAACUUUGUUUGGUGAUAUCUUAUUAUUUAGAGCCUAUUUGAUAUGGUUGUUGUCUCAUUGUUAAUUUGGGUUUGUUUGAUUGUUGUGAUUUUUGUGGUUUGUUGGGUUAUUUUUUAAGGAAGAAAAAUUUUGGGUUUAAUCUUAUUGAUUUCAUAUUAUAGUUUGUUGGGUAGAGCAUUUGUGCUCAAACUGUUUGUUAGAACGCCCAUGAGAGUUCUUAAAUAACGUGGAAUACCCCCUCCAAAUGAUUGAACGCCAUUGAAAGUUGUUGUAGAGAUGAAAGGUUUCUCUGAUUGUUGGGGGGUUUAUAGGAUUUUUUGAGUCCUUUUUGUAAGGUUGUAGGGGUUUGGAUCAUCCAAAAAUGGCUCCUACACUUGCCUACUGCAUUGGACUUAUGCAUCAUCUUGUCCUGAUGUGAAAUAGUUUAGAAGGAUCAGCCCAUCCCGAGCAGCAUGGGCUUUUCUCUACAGUGAAUUUAUGAUUUUGUCUUUCUCCAUCAUUUUUUAAUCUCUUAAACAAGGCUUACAUAGUCACCCUUGUAACCUAUUCAAUUAGAAUCCAUCCUUAGAGGCAAUUUUGACUGCUAAAUGUGAGGGUCAUUCUCCAUAGGAAUCAUCAUCUCCUUUUCAUAAGGAGAAGUUAUAUAUAUUUCACAUGGACAAGGAUUUAGAUGCAAGGUACAUGGCAGCCAUAGCAAUAUCCCAUUUCUCCCCCAGUUUAAACAGAGGCUCAUGCUCUUUGGCAAUCCUAUUCACUCUUAUAUCAUAAUUUGUUCCCCACUCCAAUGCCAAGCUCUUGUUAUCCUGUUUUACCCUUCCUUAAGUCAUUAGCAGCUUUUUUAAGAAUGGUAUGCCCCCCAUUGCCAAAGAAAUUGGUAAUUCAAAUCAUUCCUUUCUUUUUCCACAAAGAUCAAGAUGGCUUUACAGUUCCUGUGAGCCCAGAAACCAAUUACAGAGGAACCUAAUUCUAAAAUGAUUUGGCAUAUGAAAUGUUUAGUUUUACAUGAGCAGUGAUUUUUUUAUACAAUAUCCACUCAAUCUGCUGAGAACCCAAUUUGUUACCAAGAAGCAAUGAGGUUCCAGAAUCUUAAAGAUGGAUCAAAGGCAUGAGGCUCAAACAGAGCAUCUCCUCCUAUCAUUUUCUUCUUAAACCCCAAUGCUGAUUUUGGAAUUUUUAACAUAAUGCCAUUAUCAAUAUCAGAUAGAUUAUCAGGCUUUCAAAGUAAUCUUCUAUCAUAAGCUGCCCCUUCCCUUUCCAUAUCCCAAAUUAUAUUCUUUUGUUCUGAUUAUAAAAAACUAAUAUAUCAAUAUUUUAUAACCCACAAGAUUAAAAUAGCUUUGGAAGAUAAUUUGUCCUAUUACAAAGCAAUGGUAGAACCCGACAGAGAAUUCCUUGUGGUGAUUAAAGAAAGCAAUUAUACAAACUUGAGCAAAUGAUUAAAUCACCCCAAGGUUGCUGGGUCUUUAUCUUUUAGAAUUUGUAUGGGCUUUAACUUAUCAUAUAAAAAGUAAAAAAAAAAAAAAAAAAGUCAUGUAGAGGUUGAAACAAUGACACAAACAAUGGACAUUAGAUCAAAUGGUUUAGAUGGCAAGAAACAUUGGCCUAUCAGAGUAUAACUUAUGUGACUGGGGGUUUCUAUUGAAAAUGAGAAAUCAUAAUUAGGGGCAUUGAAAUUGUUUGCUGGAUAUAUACUUGUAAAAAUUAUGGUAUUUCUUAUGUCCCUUUCAAUCAUUUGCUCAAGUUUGUACAAUAUUUACCAUGUAUCUAAUAAUACAUAUAAAUGCAAGGAUGCUGCAUACUCCACAAAUCUUCUCUACAUCUGAACCACCUCCAUGUUUUUGCCUUUGCCUGUGCCUCCUCUCUACACUCUACACACACAACUCUACCUUGUUAGCUAUGACCCUAUAAAGCUUUGAAAUUUUGAGAGUGCAGAUCUUGUGUAAUUAUUACACAAUCAAAUGAUAUAAAUGCUCAGAAACUUGAAAAUGAUAUGAUGAAUUUAAUGUGCAAUAGCAAAAUCCAAAGUUUUCUUACUUUUGGGUACAGUCUACUAUGAAUACAUAGUAGACCUUUUUCUCACCUCUUUGUGUUUGUGCUAUCCUUUCCUACAGAAUCACAGCCCCCACCAUUUACUCUCUCUUUCCACCAUUUAUGAGCUGCUACUUUCCUCAAAAGCACCCCUUCACUUUCUCCCACUUUACAUAUAAUCCUUUUUAAUAUUUUUGUUAGAAAAAAUUAUUUUCCUUUUCUUUUUAGACAUACCAAACCAACUGAAGUUUAUUUUAUUUUAUUUUAUUGUCUUUAAUUGAAAAUUGAAAAUUAGUCAUUAAUGUUGGUUGGUUUUUUGUACAGUAAUGAGUCAAAAUAUUGAGAUUAGUAGGGCAAAUUGGACUGCCCCCAUCCAAAGAAAACACUUUAUUGAUCUUUGUCUUCAAGAGGCAAACAAAGGCUUUAGAUCAGGUGGAGGUUUAAAGUCUAGUGCUUGGCCUCGAAUUGCUGAAGAGUUGGAGAAGUUACUUGGAAAACGUUAUACUUCAAAACAACUUAAGAAUGGGUGGGAUUACAUGAAAAGACAAUAUCUCAUUUGGAGUAAAAUGAUGACUAUGACAGGACAUGGUUACAACUCUGUAACCAAAACUUUUGAUUGGCCAGCUGAAAAAUGGGAAGAAUAUCUACAGGUAGUUUUUUUUAUGGAUUUGAGUGAAUUUUAAAAAUAAUUAUCUUAUAUAUAUAUGUAUAUAUGACUAAUUUGUUGUUUAUCUUGUAAAAUAGAAAUAUCCAGAAGCUAAACAAUUCCGUUUUAAACCAUUAGCAAAUGUGGAAGAAUUAGAGGCAUUGUUUGGAGGAGUGUUAGCUACUGGGUCUAAAAAUUGGAGCUCUGGGGGAGUGAUAGCUUCUGGGGCUGAGGAAUCAUCAACACAUUCUACAUCUAUGCCUAGUGAAACUUCAAUUAGUUUAGAAGAAGAUGAGGAUUUGCCAAGAAAUACUAAUGAUGAAACAGAAGGUUCUAAGAAAAAACAGAAGAAAGGAAAGAAAGAGCAAACUCAAGAAGAAAUGUAUAGAAUAGUGAAUGUGUUGGAGAAUUUUGAAGGACCCACAGUCAAAGAAUGCAUGAAGAUUUUGAAGAGGCUUUUGACUUAUGAGGAUCCAUUAUACUAUGUAGCAAUUAAUGCAUUUUGCAAGAAGAAAGAGUACAGAGAGGUGUGGAUGGAGAUGGAAAGUGACGAAGAGCGAAUGAGAUGGAUUCAAGCUUGCGAAAAUAACUUUUUAAAUAUUUGUUUUAGAUUUGUGGAAUGCCUAGGGUAUAUGACUUAUAUGAUGAUUUUAAUUUGGUACUUUUGGUUUGUUUGUUUUGGAUAUUUGAUACAUUUAAACUUAUGUUUUUAUUUCAUAACUAUUUUUUUUUUAUAAUAGAUAUUCUUAUGGAGAAUCCUUCACAUCACUCAAAUAGUUCAAGUUCAUCAUCAUCAAGUGAAGAUGAAGAUACAAAGUUAGAAGUGACAAGAGUUUAAAAAGAAGAUUGGUUGUGUUGUUGCUCAAAUUAUUGAGUGACUCAUCCAUUAAUAAGGAACGAGUCUCUACUUCAUCAUUUACAGGUUCACUUUUCAUUCAAGAGCUUUUAAAUGGUUCAUCUAGCACAUGUUAUGAACUAAUGCGGAUGGAAAAACAUGGAUUUAUUUCUCUAUGUCACAUGUUUCGAGAAAAAGGAUGGCUUGUUGACAGUAAACAUUUGAAUGUUGAAGAGAAAAUGACCAUGUUUCUUAUGACUAUUAGUCAUAAUCUUCGGAAUCGAUUGAUUAAGAAUAGAUUCCAACACUCAAGUCAAACAAUUCAUAAAUACUUCCAUGAGGUUUUAGUGGCCAUGGUGAAUUUCUCAAAAGAGAUGAUUACUCCUCCAUCAUUCAAUGAUAGUUCAAAUGGUAUCUCCAAUCGUCGGCUAAGACAAAUUUUUAAGGUACAUUAUUUUUUAUUUCUAAUUAUUCAUAUCAUAUUUGUAUUAUUCUCAUAUAAAAAUAAUUAUUUAUAUUUUAAAGAAUUAUUACCAUGUAGGAUGUUGUUGGUGCAAUUGAUGGAACUCUUAUCCAUGCAUGUAUUCCCACUAAUCAACAAGUACCUUAUCGAGGUCGUGGGAGAGGAGAGUGUUUUCAAAAUGUUAUGGCACUUUGUGAUUUUGACAUGAUAUUUAGGUUUGUUGUUGUUGGAUGGGAAGGAACAACUCAUGAUUCAAGAGUCUUGACAGAAACUAUUCGUAACCUGCAACAUAAUUUUCCAAUGCCCCCAUCAGGUAAAUAUUUUAUUUUCAUUUUAUUUAAUAUAAUUUGUAUUUAUUCAUUAUAAUAAUCAACUCAAUCCUUUUUUUUUCAGAAAAAUAUUAUUUAGUAGAUGCAGCAUACACACACAGUCGAGGUUUUAUGGCACCAUAUCGUAAUGUGCGCUAUUGGUUGAGUGAUUUUCGUAGUGGUGGUAAAGCUGUAGGAAAAGAGGAGAUAUUCAACCAAUGUCAUGCAAGAUUAAGAAAUGUCAUUGAACGUGCUUUUGGUGUUGUUAAGGCGCGUUUUCCAAUCUUGAAGAGAAUGACACCUUAUUCGUUUACUACUCAAACAAAAAUUGUCAUGACAUGCUUCUCCAUUCACAAUUUUCUUCGACAAAUCUCAGUUGCGGAUAAAUUAUUUUCUGAAUAUGACAAUGAAGUGGAAUUGGAAAGUGACAAUGCCAAUCAAAAUCAAAACUCAACUACAAGCAGUUUUUUUGCAGCAUCUGAUCAAGAAUUCAUGCAACAAUUCCGAAACCAAAUCACAAAUGAACUCUUUCAAGUGUUUAGUUAACUUGUCAUUUUUAGCUUUUUACCAUUGUAAGAAAUGCAAUGUUUAGAUAUUAGCAUAAAAUGUGAUGUCUUCGGAUAUUUGAAAAUAUGUACUUGAAUUGUUAUGUUUUUUCUUUAAUUUGAUUUAGGUUUUUAUCAAUCCAUUAUUUUUCAUAUUAUUAAGUUUAAAUAUUUUAUUUUAAUUAUAUAAAAAAUAAAUAUAUUAAUUAUUUUUUGUAAGAAUGAUAAUGAUAAAUUAUUUAUUAUAAAAAUUUUAUUAUUUGGAACUUUUUAGAAAUAAGUUAAAUUAUAUUUUUUUUAAUACAUUAAAAUAUUAAGAUAUUGGUUUUCAGCAUAAAAAAAAAACAGCUUAAUACUUAAUAGAAAUAAAAUUUUAAAAAAACAAACAACUUAAUGCUUAAUGCUAUUAAGCAUUAUUUAGUAUUAAGUUAAAAAAAAGUUCUAUUUAGAAUUAAGCCAAAAAAACAAAUGCCACCUAAGUGCCGGCCUUUUGAUUGGAUGUACAUGUACAUAUAUGAUAUAUAUAUUUAUAUCUAUAUAUACACAUGUAGGGUCAUCUACAAAAUAUGGACUUUGAACUGCAACUUCUUACAUAAAAUUACCUCCCAGCAGGUUUAGCAGAUUGUCAUUGUGUUUUAACUUUCUUCCUUAAAACAAUCUUUUGCAUCUUAUAUGAAUGUAGAUCUGUACAUCAUGAUAUAAAAUAACCUCUGUUUGUAAGCCAGUAAGUGACUGCAUUCUGUUUUGGUCUUCUCCUCUAUGAAAAGUGAACAAUGUUCGGAAAAAAUUAAGGUUAUAUUUUGUUUUAGUAGAAAAAAAAAAUAUUAAGAAAAAUAGUUUUUCUAUGUCCGAUUUAUAUAAAAUAAAAUUAAAUAUAAUUAAAAUAAAUUUAAAAUUUAUAUAUUUUUAAAUUAUUUAAUUUUACUAUUCAAAGAAAAUGUAUGAACUAAUUUAUUAAAUUAAUUUUUUUUUUCUUUUUUUCUAUUUUCUUUUUUUCAUAUUUUCUCUCAAAUUUUUUGAUAAUCAACUAUAGCUUAAAAAUAUUGAGUUUUUUUUUUCUUUGAAUGAAAUAUUAAAGCAAGAUGUUAUGAUAGUAUAAUAUUCCUUCAAGAUUUUUUUUAGAUGGCUUAUUAAAAACGAAUCACUUUUUAAGGNNNNNNNNNNNNNNNNNNNNNNNNNNNNNNNNNNNNNNNNNNNNNNNNNNNNNNNNNNNNNNNNNNNNNNNNNNNNNNNNNNNNNNNNNNNNNNNNNNNNNNNNNNNNNNNNNNNNNNNNNNNNNNNNNNNNNNNNNNNNNNNNNNNNNNNNNNNNNNNNNNNNNNNNNNNNNNNNNNNNNNNNNNNNNNNNNNNNNNNNNNNNNNNNNNNNNNNNNNNNNNNNNNNNNNNNNNNNNNNNNNNNNNNNNNNNNNNNNNNNNNNNNNNNNNNNNNNNNNNNNNNNNNNNNNNNNNNNNNNNNNNNNNNNNNNNNNNNNNNNNNNNNNNNNNNNNNNNNNNNNNNNNNNNNNNNNNNNNNNNNNNNNNNNNNNNNNNNNNNNNNNNNNNNNNNNNNNNNNNNNNNNNNNNNNNNNNNNNNNNNNNNNNNNNNNNNNNNNNNNNNNNNNNNNNNNNNNNNNNNNNNNNNNNNNNNNNNNNNNNNNNNNNNNNNNNNNNNNNNNNNNNNNNNNNNNNNNNNNNNNNNNNNNNNNNNNNNNNNNNNNNNNNNNNNNNNNNNNNNNNNNNNNNNNNNNNNNNNNNNNNNNNNNNNNNNNNNNNNNNNNNNNNNNNNNNNNNNNNNNNNNNNNNNNNNNNNNNNNNNNNNNNNNNNNNNNNNNNNNNNNNNNNNNNNNNNNNNNNNNNNNNNNNNNNNNNNNNNNNNNNNNNNNNNNNNNNNNNNNNNNNNNNNNNNNNNNNNNNNNNNNNNNNNNNNNNNNNNNNNNNNNNNNNNNNNNNNNNNNNNNNNNNNNNNNNNNNNNNNNNNNNNNNNNNNNNNNNNNNNNNNNNNNNNNNNNNNNNNNNNNNNNNNNNNNNNNNNNNNNNNNNNNNNNNNNNNNNNNNNNNNNNNNNNNNNNNNNNNNNNNNNNNNNNNNNNNNNNNNNNNNNNNNNNNNNNNNNNNNNNNNNNNNNNNNNNNNNNNNNNNNNNNNNNNNNNNNNNNNNNNNNNNNNNNNNNNNNNNNNNNNNNNNNNNNNNNNNNNNNNNNNNNNNNNNNNNNNNNNNNNNNNNNNNNNNNNNNNNNNNNNNNNNNNNNNNNNNNNNNNNNNNNNNNNNNNNNNNNNNNNNNNNNNNNNNNNNNNNNNNNNNNNNNNNNNNNNNNNNNNNNNNNNNNNNNNNNNNNNNNNNNNNNNNNNNNNNNNNNNNNNNNNNNNNNNNNNNNNNNNNNNNNNNNNNNNNNNNNNNNNNNNNNNNNNNNNNNNNNNNNNNNNNNNNNNNNNNNNNNNNNNNNNNNNNNNNNNNNNNNNNNNNNNNNNNNNNNNNNNNNNNNNNNNNNNNNNNNNNNNNNNNNNNNNNNNNNNNNNNNNNNNNNNNNNNNNNNNNNUAAAUGUCUAUAGAUGAAUUUUAGCUACAUGAUAACAAGUAUUUACACAGAGAUGAUGAUAAAGGAGUUGCAAUCAUAUCACGCCAUUGGUAUCCAGUUGAAAUUUGUCGAGUUUUUGAGUGUACUACCACUACUAAGUUGCAAGCAGCCCUUACAUCUCCCAAGGAAUAUGAGAGCAAUGAAGCAGUCGAGGCCAGUUGAGGGUGGAAAUAAAGUGUCUGAUGCACCUAGAGAGAAGCAGGGUAACCGCAAAGGUGCGAAGUCAUCUGAGCCAAGCAAAAAUACUAAUGAUGGUGCUCGUGCCAAGCAAGCGACCUUGAAGACUGUUCUUGGAGAGGCACUGGGUUAUGGGCCUGCACUUUCUGAGCAUAUUAUUUUGGAUGCUGGUCUGAUUCCAAACACAAAAGUUACUAAGGAUAGCAAAUUUGACAUUGAUACAAUUCAGCGUUUAGCCCAAUCUGUUGC
rnacentral:lncRNA from 1 species